ACUCCCAUUCUCAUGCUACCUUGAGUCCUACCUCGAACAUACAAACCAGUUCUAUAAGAGAUGAAAAUACCAGGAGCAAUAAUUUUGAAUCUAAUGAUUCUCAAAGUCAACAGCCGAUGGAUACUGAUAAUAUGACAGUCAACCGUGAAUUUACCACACCUCAAGAUAAUCAACCUGACACUAUUCCUGAUGAUAGUGAAGAAGUCAUCAUUAGAAGAUCUACUCGUAUAACCAAGCCACCUUCCUACCUAUGUUGGAUCGGUAUGGCAACCCUAGGGGGGAGAGGUGAAUAUGGUUUAAUUAAACUUUUUAACAAAUAAAAAGUAAAUUCAACUAAUUAGAUAAUUUUUAAAUUAAAUAAAGAAUCUUUGUAAAAUUUGUUAAAUAACACUAUUGAUAAAAAGAUAUAAAUGAGAGUAUGCAAUCAAACUUAACCAACAAAAAUAUGUAACUAAAAUUAAAUGCAAAAAUAAUUAGAAAAGAGUUAGAGAAGAAAACACCGUAAUUUUAUAGUGGUUCGAUUAAACUCAACCUACAUCCACUUUCUCAAGCACUUCUUGGGAUUUUGAUUGAAGAUCUUCUUUUGACUCUUUCCACGAAUUUGAGCCGAACCGAUUCUUGCUCUUUGUUCGGUUUCAAGAGCAAACCCGAUCCUUUUCACGGGUUAGGAUCCAAUCGCUACAAUAUGUUGAAGUUUUAAAUCACACAAAAGAAAACUCUCUAAAAGAGUGAGUAUACAAUUUGAAGCUCACAAAUUUAAUCUUCACAAUACAAUAAGAAUUCUCUCAAGAAUAAGAUAAAAAGAAAGAUUGGAAGCUUUAGAGAAAAUAACAAUAUUGACUUUUUCACUUUGUGAGGAUUGUAAAGUUUUUGAUAAUUUUCUUGAAAACUUGGAGAAAAUGAAGUAUAUAAAAAGAGGGGAAAGAUAAAUUCAAAAUCAUUUUUGGUCAUUGGAUGUAAGUAAAAGAAAAAUGAAUGGUUGAGAUUUAAACUCAAUUAGUCGUUAGACACAACACAAAUAAUAACAUAAUAAUAUGUCUUUUCACCAUCUUUAAAAAAAAACUAGCCGUUAGACACAAAGAUAAAUUAUAAUAUUAAGGUCAUUUUCUUUUUAAAUUCAUUUUCUUUAUAAAAGUCAAUAAAACAAAACCAAAAGCCACAUUUGUUACUCCUCCAUUGCUCCAAAUGGCUUUCUCUACUUGGUUCAAAUUGAAUAGUUGGUCACCACGUCACAAUCUCGGGUAUUUUUCCGAAGCUUCUUUGAGCAAUAUUUUCUUCGUUUGAACUUCGAUUUGGGUGAUUUAAGAGGCGUUAGAAUCAUUGUACUAAGCUCUACGUUAUGGACAAUUCAAAAUAAUAAAAUUGUCAAUAAAAAAAUCAGAUUUGUUAUCAUCAAAAUAUUAAUUAAUUAGUUUGAGAUUAAAGCCAAAAAAAGUCAACAACCUACAAGCAUAUCAUUGUAGCCUUCUCACCACACAUCGCCCACCUACCCAAAAAUCCACCGGAUAUCCCAUAAACCAAUACUUGACUUAUCAAGCCUUGUCUCCUUCAUACACACAUCCCAUCCUCCAAACUUCUAUCCAAAAAGAACCUUCCUUUUAUCAUAAAGCAAUUUUAUCUCAAGAAUGGCGCAAAACCAUGGAAACAGAGCUAGAAGUUAUGGAGACGAAUCGAACGUGGAGUAUUGUUCCUCUGCCUAAAGGCAAAAAUUUAGUUGGUUGUCGUUGGUUAUAUAAGAUUAAACACACGGUUGAUGGUUCUAUCGAGAGAUAACAAAGCCCGUUUAGUGGCAAAAGGAUAUACUCAACAAGAAUGUCUUGAUUUUUUUGAAAUCUUCUCACCAAAUGCCAAGAUGGUCACUGUUAAAACUUUGUUAACCAUAGCUAUCUCAAAAGAAUGGUCAUUAGUUCAGCUUGAUCUUAAUAACUCCUUCUUACAUGGAGACUUAUUUGAAGAAAUUUAUAUGGACUUGCCAUUAGGCUAUAAACCGCAACAUGAGAUUCAAGGGGAGAAACUUAUAUGUAAACUACACAAAUCCAUCUAUGGAUUAAAACAGGCCUCAAGGCAAUGGUUUACAAAGUUCUCCACCUUUUUAAUCUCUCUUGGUUUUCAACAGUCUAAAGCCGACUAUUAUUUAUUCAUCAAAGACAAAGAUGACUCUUUUAUAGCCCUCCUUGUUUAUGUUGAUGACAUUAUCAUCACCGAUGCAAAUGUGCUUCACAUACAAGAAUUAAAAAGAGAUCUUAAUAAGAAUUCAUGCUCAAAGAUUUGGGUCCUUUAAGAUUCUUUCUUGGCCUUAAAUUUGCGAGAAACUCAUCUGGACUCUUCAUCUCGCAGAGACAUUACACCCUUUAGCUCAUUGAAGAUACAUGGCUUCUUGGUGCAAAACCAACUUCUAUACCGAUGGAUCCCACCGCCAAAUUAAGUAUAUAUGAUGAAGACAUUCUUCAUGAUGCCACUCCAUACAGACGACUCAUUGGAAGGCUGCUAUAUCUAACUAUAUCUCGACCGGAUAUAACCUUUGUAGUUCAUAAAUUGAGCCAAUUUAUGGCCAAACCAACCUUAAGUCACAUGAAUGCAGUCAAUUAUUUGGUAAGAUAUCUCAAAGGUGAAUGAAUGGAAUUCCCAUAGCGAAAGCGUGUGAACGCAGUGCAAAAGAAAUUCAACUUGAAACACAGAGAAAACAUCUAAACAUGCUCCUAUGAAGGAUAAGAAGAAAAGAAAACCAACCUUUGCAGAACCUCCCAAGAAGUCUCGAACCUCCCAAGGAACACUACGAGCAGAACACCAUAGAAUAUAAUCUUCCUUGUUAUCCUCAAGAUAAAAAGAAAAACACAGAGAGUUUGUGGGGCUUCUGUGUUUUGUUUAAAAGGAAAAAAUAUUUGCAGAGAGAGUUAGUGAAAUUGUAUAUCACCUCCCUUCUAUAUCUUAACCAAAAGAUGUGAAGAGAGAUGGAGAGGGAAGUUAUCAAAAUAAUUUCCUCCCUUUCCCAUUACGUAGAAUAACUCUCUUAUAAUAUAAAUUUAAAUUAUAAUAUAAUAUAAUAUAAUAUUUUUAAAAUUAUAUAGUAUUAUAAUAAUAUAAUAUAAUAUAAUAUCUCCCUUAGAAUAACUCCCUCUCCCACAAGAUUUAGAGCAUCAAUCCCAACAAAAGGAUAUCCUGGAAAAGACAUCAUGUUACCAUAAGUGAAAGUCUUCUCUAUUAGCGCUUUUGCUGAUGUAGAUUGGGGUUCCUGCCCAGAUACAAGACACUUAGUAACCAGUUUAUGUGUCUUUAUUGGAAAUUCUCUUGUUUCAUAGAAGUCUAAAAAGUAAUAGACUAUCGCAAGAUCAUCUACGGAAGCUAAAUAUCGAGCCUUAGCUGUCACUAUUGUGAAGUUAUAUGGCUUCGAAGACUUCUUAAUGAGCUACAGAUUAAAAUUACAUAUCCAACUCUCAUGUUUUGUGAUAAUCAAGCUGCCAUCUACAUUGCAAAUAAUCUCAUGUUUCAUGAGCGAACCAAACACAUCGAGUUGGACUGCCAUUUUGUUCGGGAUAGAAUAGUGGAUGGUUCUAUAAAGCUCCUGCCAGUAUGGUCUUCUAAUCAGCUUGCAGAUAUUUUUACCAAGCCUCUUCAAGCAAAUAUUCUUUUUUCAUUAAUAAACAAGAUGAGUGUACAAGAUAUUUUUGUUCCAUCUUGAGGGGAGUAUUAAACAGCGACAAUUUGUUAAUUAGUUUGUUAGCGGUUAACUUCUCUUGUAACUAAUUAUUCUUUCUCAUGUGUGUAUAAAUACCUUUUUACACUUCGUUAAUAAAGAUGAGAAAGUCAUUUAUAUUUAGUGGCCUUUCUAAUAGUCAUGAAUGGUAACACAAUAUCUAAUUUAUAGUUUUUUUAUUCUACUAAAUGUUUUUAUGAUUUACUUCAAGAUUUCAAUUUGAAAAAAAAAAAAAAAUAGAAGAAUGGAGGAGUUGGAGAAUGGAUGUGAGAGAUUUGAGUUUUGGAGAAAAAAAAAAAGAAUCAAACUAGGUUUUGAUUUUAUUUGAUAAAUGUUUCGAUUAGGAUUUUGUGUUGGCAUACAAAAUUUAUAAAAUAAAUUAACAAGAUUUCUUGGUAAUUUAUUGAUUUAAGUAAUAUAUUGAAUCUGGAGCAGUCAUAUGUUAAAAAGUUAACCAGAUCAUUAGGAUACAGAGCAAAGUAAGUUUUCCAAAAAAAGAUGAAGACUAAUAAGACGUUUUUAAAAAUUUAUAAAUUAAAAUAGAACAAGAUACAAAGUUUAGGAAUCAAAAUAAAAUUUAAACAUGACAAACCCUUUGAACAUAUUUACAAAGAUUAGCAAAAUUUUAUAUUAUGUCAAUAAUAAAUAUCGAUAGAUUUCUAUCAAUAUUGAUAAAAAUUGAUAAGUCUAUCGACAUUUAUCUUCGAUAGAAUAUGAAAUUUGAGUGUAUUUUGUAAAUAUUCGUUAUUCGUUUGGCUAAAUUACUCAAUGUUUUAAAAUAAAAGCUUACAGCAUCAAACAAUGUUUAAUUAGGGUAGAAACGUGUUUGUUGUGAGAUUGGUGUAUGCGGAUUAAUUCAAAGCGACGAACUCACAAAAUUGAUUAAUGAAUUAUUUUAUUUGCUUUCAAAUUAUUAAUUUGAAUUCAAAUGGGCCAUUCUUAGUGCAUCCUAUGCCUUAGCUUGAGGAAUACUCAAACCACUAUACUUUUUAAAACAAUAUUUUGAGUUUUGUAAAAUAAUAAUAAUAAUAAUAAUUGAAAUUUGUCUUAAAAAAUAUUUUAAAAUUUGACUUUUUUUCUUCAUAUAUUUUUAAAUUCAAAAGUUGAGACUUUUGAUUUUGUUUCAUUUGUCUAAAUUUUCCCAUUGAGAAUGGGAGGUGGAAAAAAAUUCAAAUGAUUAAAUGUAGUGUAUGAAUAUUUUUGAAAUAGUUGUUAUCUAUUCUUGGUAAUUUUGUCUUCUUUAUAAUGAAUGAAAAUACACUAUUUAUUUAUUUUUGAAUAUCCAUGGAAGAUGUAUUAUAAUGGGAGGUGGUUCUGUUUUGCAUCUUUAAUCUUUGGGUAAAUUGAAAAUUUUGGAUAAAAGGUUUGUUUGAAUUAAUCUAAGCAAAAAAAUAUUUUUUAAGAAAUUUAUUUUUGUUUAAACUAAUUUUUUUAAAAAAAUUAUUUUGAGUAGCUUUCAAAAACUUUAAUUUUUAAAUUAAACAUUUAAAAAUGUAAUCCAAAAACAUACAUAGUUUCAUCUCCAACAUUUUAUUUGUUAGCUAAAAGAAAAAAAUAGGAUCAUGAAUGACUUAAAACUGAAAUUUAAUUUUAAAUAAAAUCAAAAUAUUUACCAAUACAAUAAAAUUUAGGGUGAUAUUAAAAGGCUGUUAAUAGAUUGAUAUUUUACAAUAUUGGUAAAUUUUUGGAAUGAUUUUGUUAUUUUAAACAAUAAGUACGAUCAUACAUGAAUUUAAAAGUCGAGAAAAAGAAGAAAAAAAUAGAGUCUGGGAAGAAAUUAGAAUUGAAAAAGGCACAUCUUAAAAUUAAUAAUAAAAAUACAUAGUUUUUCAAUGUAUCUUUAUCUCUUAUAUGUAACGCUACAUAAUUAAAUAGUUGUUGCUCGACUUUUUAAAUAAACACGCGGUUUAUAUAUAAGUACAUUUCUUUUAAGAAUUUUGUUACAUUAGAUGUUGAAUUUUUUCUUUCAUUUUCCUUUUUGUUUUUAGUCUAAAUUGUGAUUGAUGUCCAUUUAUAUUAUAAAAUUCAUGUUUAUAAUUAUUUUAAAAUUUAUUAUUAUUGUAUAAUUUUGCAUGACUUUCCGAGAAGAACAUAAAGACGACGACGUUUAGAGUUAAACGCGUCCACAAUGUGAGACACCGAACAUAGCGUUACAUUAAAUUACAUCUUUAAAUGCAAAAUUAAACGGAAGAAAAGGAUUGAUAAGAUAUUUCCUAGGAAAUUCGAAGGUAGCCUCUAUAUUCUCUGAAAUUACACAACUCCCCCAUUUCUAUUUCUACCCACCCCCUACAAUUUAUUUAUUUAUUUUCCAAAACCUACUCUCUCAACUCUCAAGUUCUCAACUGUCAACUCUUCCGUGGAUUCAUAAUUACGCCCUUCAAUUUCUUAUAAACCCAAAAAGCGGAACACCUUUUCUUUGUUUAUUUAUAGUUCAACCCCCCCGCUCCCUUUUCUUUUGCUUCAUCAAUAUUUUGGUUUUAUUUUUAGAACGAUCAUUUUUGCCACAUUCUAAAAUCGCUCAAUAUUCUACCUCAGAGAUUGCAAAACUUCUCAUUUCUUUCAAUUCUUUGUUCUUCUCUUAGUUUUCUUUUUUUGUGUCUGGAUCUUGUAUGGGGCAGCAACCAUCCAAAGAUGAGCUUGUGUAUCAACGGGCUAGCAACGGCGAUGUUGAAGGGAUUAAAGCCCUUGCAGCAGAAGGAGCCGGCCUUGAGGUGAUUGGAAUUCGAAAUUCUUUUCUUUAUUUUACUAGUUUCCUCAUUGAUGAUCUUGUUUUCGUGAAUCUGUUGUUGGUUAUUUGCUUCAGUGGGUUGAUAGGGAAGGGAAGACUCCAUUGAUUGUUUCCUGUACGAAACCAGAGCCUUAUAACGUGGCCAAAACGUUACUAGAACUUGGCGCCAAUGUCAAUGCGUUUGCACCAGGUUUGGUUUGAACUUUUAGGGUUUCAAUGAAUGUGUAGAUUUGGUCAAUUAAUUGAUUUAUUGGAUAUGAAUAUUAUAUUUUAAUGGAUAUCAGAAUUUGUUAUUUUAGAUCAGUUUGUUUUUGUACUUUAGUGUUUGUUAGCGCAUGUGUUUUGAUUUGAAUCUGGCUUUAUGUUCUAUUAGGCCGUAAUGGUGGAACGCCGUUGCAUCAUGCAGCUAAAAGAGGGUUGGAAAAUACUGUUAAAUUACUUCUUUCUUACAGAGGUUUGUUUUCUUUAUCAUUUUUAAUACAAUAACUUGGUCUACGUCCAGUAUCUGAUAAUUGUUUAUGUUUGUUGUGAUUUAACAUCUAUUUUUGCUAUAAAGAAUGCUUAUUGUUGUUCAAAUUACCAGCAAAUACUUCGAUAAUUAAUGAUGCUUGCCAAACUGCAUUGGAAGUUGCCAGAGCAGCAGGGCACAAGAAUGUUGUUCGUGCCAUUGAGGUUAGAGAAUAUGCUUAUAUACUAUCAAUGCUCCCUGCAUUUAGGCUCAAAUAUUAAUUUGUUUCAACAUGUAAAUUCUUAAUAUCAAUUGGAGAGAAAAAUGACAUUAGAUGGGUGAAAUUUUCUAUUCUAGUACAUGUUAAAUUAUCAUUAGGCUUGGAGGCUUAAAUAAACUUAUUGGUUUAUGUACAUUUUAACACAUAAAUGUCAUCUUAAUAUAUCGGGUUGAGCAUAACUUAAUUGAUUUACAAAUUUGCCCUUGACCAAGAGGUCAGAGGUUCGGAGCUUGUCACCUACCAUGUCGUUGAAUUCAAAAGAAAAAUGAAAAUACUUCUUCAUUGUGUUGAAGCAGUCUCUAAACUAUACAACUGGCAACUUCAUUUCGAUACUAUUUCUGUUCUCAAAAGGAUGUCUUUUAUGAUGUUUUGUAGAAUCAUAUUAGUCUCUUCUCUGGUUGGAUGCGGGAAUUUUAUGGGCCGGAGUUUCUUGAAGUACUAGCUCCUCAUUUCCUUUCACGGAAAGUGUGAGUAUCUUUUCAAUGUGAUUAUGGUCAUGUUUAUCUUUUCCCCCCUCUUUCAAAUAAUAUUGAUACCCUGCAUUAUAUGCUAGUCGUUAAAGGCACCAGCUAAUCUCUUCCACUAUCUUUUGAUAUUUGUCCUGUUUUUCUGUAAAGCCAUGGAUUGUUUUAUCAGUACUUUGUAUAUGAUAUUGCUUGUACAUUAACCAUGAAAAUUUCUGCAGCUGGAUAGUUGUUUUACCUUGUGGUUCUCGAAAUCCUAUGAAGCCUACCAAGUUGGAGCUUGCCGUAUAUGCUAGCUUACAGGUACUGGUUAUAAUAUGUCAGUCUUCCAUUUCCUUCCUUUGACUGUAUUGUGAUAGUUGUGAUCCAAGUUAUAUUUCAUUAUCCCGUCUCUAGAAAAUGAAUAUAUGAUUUCUGUGAAGAUCAUACACCCCCACCCUCAACCCCACCACAGAAAUAAAGGGAAAAAAAAUAGAGAGAGGGAGAGGAGUAGCUUAUGUGCGAUCUUUAUAACUUAUAUGACUUAUAUGCAUUUUUUCUAUUUUAUGCCUUUAAAGGAUUCAUGAACUUCUAGUUAUGUCUAAUCAUUGCGAAAGGUUUCACCAGUCUCUGCUUUCCUGCAAAAAUGCUUUAUUUUAUGUACUCGUUUUGCUUUUGAUGGUUGAAUCAAAUUGAUAAUUAUUUAAUAACUGAAUCAACUAUGGCAUAUAUAGGGGCGUAAAGGAAUUUCUUUCUUGGACUGUAUAGGUCAGCCUCAAUUUGUUUUGAAAAUGUGAAUGCAACAUAUUCUUUGUUGAGAUUUGGAAUAAAAUAAAAAAUGUUGGUUCCUGGGGAUUGUUCUGCAAAUCUGUCAUCUGCUAAACAAACAAAUUUGAUAGCUUCUUUGGCAUCCUGCUCUAACACAAUAGCUUCCUUAGCAUCAUGCUCUGACCAAUGUAUUUUAUUGUGAAUGAGAUACUGCUGUUUUAUCUAUACAUUGUACUAGUUAUACUGGGGGAUUUGUUUAUCUUCUAAAAUAUUAAUGGGGAUUCGUUUCUCUUUCUAAAAAGUAUUAGGGGAUUCUAUAUAUCUUGCUCAUGUGUAGACUUUUUUAUUGAAUGGACAGGAUGCCCAGCCUCGUCUAGUUAUUCCAUUGUGGAAAUCAUAUUUAGAGGAACAUAGGUUACAGGAAUCUGAUCCGUCUGUUGUCAUUGUCGACAACACUCCAAGUAAUUUCUAAUUACUAGAAAACACCAUUUCACAGUUGUUGACUUCUUCCAUUUUAUUUAUUGACCUUGGCUUCUUGCUCUCAGACCUAACCCCAAGAGGAGGGAGGAGGCGAAGACGGAGUUGCCACACCUCCUGGGAAGCCAGAUGUCGAUUUCGAAAAUCAAAGAGUACGUAUGAAGAUAAAUGCUCAUACACUUCUAUUUAAAAGUAAAUCAUUCACACUCCAUGUUUGAAAAUUCUAUAAAAACAUAAAUUAUAAUUUUGCGAGUUUGAUGUUUCAAAUAUCAAAUGUUUUAUAUGCCCACUGUUUUUCAUCCUACAAAUUAUUCAGCAGGUGGAAUCAAUUUUGUUGCUAUUAUAGUUGAGAUGUAGUAAGUAAUUUUGUUUAAUUUCUGUGGUUUCUGCAGCUGGACGCCUUAGACUCGCACCUGCUAAUGAGCACGACAGACAACAACUUCAAUGGUUUUGUGAUGCUUGCAAAGGGAUUCCUCAGCCAAAGGUACCGUGCCUUUUCUUUCUUAUUUCUUGAAAGUGACAGAAACAUAUUUAUUAACACAUAUUGUUCUCAGGCUAUCAGUUUUGGAAUAUCUAUAUUGUUGUGGUUUAAACUUUCAAGCUAAUCUUGAGAAAACUUAACUGGAGGCAAACUUUAACAAAUCCAUUAUCCAAAGGGUUUUUUUUUUUUUAUAUAUUAUAAUCGAGUAUUUUCUUAAAUCGAGAAUAGUUUUCUAACAUCAUUUCAAUGAGGUCUCGGUAUUUCAUGCUGUAGUCUUUGACGAUACAUGCUUAUCCGUGGAGGGAAAAACUGCAUUUCUUACGUUUUCCUGUCUUCGAAGUAUUUUUUUGGCUAUGCCUGCAUUCCCAUUAAAGAUAAAUGAAUGUUGCUUUUGUGGGGCUGAUGAUAAUAUCAAGUGCUGUUUUGAAAUUUCAGGUGCAAUCUACAGCUUCGCAUGAUUACAAGAGCCCAAUCAACAUUGCGACGAUAUCUCCCGGUGCUGAAGAUCCGGAGCUCAUGAUGGCCAUAAAUGCCUCUAUUCAGUCAGCUAUGCAGGAAAGAGGACAGCUUCAUCAUAAUCCUCAUUCAUCGAGUUCUGAAGCAGGUGCCUCCAGUAGCGGCGCAUUACCUCAACCUGCUCCUCCUAAAACAAGUUCUAGCAAAUGGACAGUGCACGAAGCAAGCCACGAUGCUUGUGCAGAAACACCAAAUGAUCCUGUCCCUGUCAUCCAGAUCAUGCAUCCUCCAAAUGCAGUUCCCACAGCUCCACCUGUGGUAGCCAAUACUUUUGAGGCUAGCACAGGCACAGUUGACUACCCGUUGGUUGAUUCUGACUCUGCAAACGUCAUACCAUCUUCAUCAGUUGGGAAUGAAGGGAAACAAAGUAACGGCAACUCGACGUGUGUCAUAUGUUUGGAUUCUCCAGUAGAAGGAGCCUGUGUUCCCUGCGGCCAUAUGGCUGGAUGUAUGUCUUGUCUAAAUGAGAUCAAAACCAAGAAUUGGGGAUGCCCAGUUUGUCGCACCAAGAUCAAUCAAGUCAUAAAGUUGUAUGUGGUAUGAUGAGCCUACAAAUCAAUUAGCACAAUCAGAUGAAGUAUCGUUGAACUUGGUCCAAUAUAGUUUGCGUUACAUAUCUUUACCUAUGAUACUUACAUCAUAUAAACUUUUGAAGUCACAGAUGUAAAUUAUUUGGAUGGAAAGAAGCAGAUUGUUUUACAGUUACAACUUCUGCUAAGAAAAAGAAAAAAACGGUAGUAAAAUGAGUAUUAUACUCAUAAAUUAGGCUCUAGGCGUAUGUGUGUAUAAAUAUAUUUUGUGUAUGAAUUUGUUUAUUUCAGAUUACGAGUUUGUUCAUUCGUUGUUUACAUCUAGUUUUUAAAGGUGUGCUUUAAUAUGGUGAAGAUGUUAUGUUUAAACUUGUGUAGCAUCAUUUUUUCUCAAAUAAGUGAGGAAAGUUUUAUUUUUGAGGACAUGUGGGUGGAAAUUGAAAUGGAAUCAGUACCAUCAAGUAGAAGGUCCUAAAUUUAAAUUCUGGUAACAUCAUUUUAGGGAAAUGUUUUUCUCUGAACAUGUGAGAUGAAAAAGUUGACUAAUUAUCAUUAAAGAAGGAAUGCUUCUUGUCUUCCUGGACAAAGAGUGAAAAGGAAUUGUGAAGUGUUUGAUAUAAUAAAAUUUAUUAAACUGGUCAACCAUUAGAGGUGAAUAAGGACUUCUACAGAUUUAAAAACUUUGUAUUAUUUGUGCAAAUAAAAUAGGUUGUAUAUGGUAAAGUUUAACAAAAGAAAAAAAAGAACAGUAACGUUGGAAGGCAUUGCAACAUCUGUUUUCCUGGCACAUAGACACAUUAGUAAACCCUCAGCCACAAAAUUUUCUUUUCUCUUUUUGAAAAAUAAAAAUACAUAAAGUGACGUUUGACAAUUUCGUGAUUCGUGAUAAUCCUGUGCCCAAUUGGUCCUCAAUACGACAUCUAACUUAGUGACCCCACCGAUACGACGUGUAGUUUCUUACCCCUCCUCUACACACUUCGCCCUUCACUGUUCCUUUCUCGUUGCCUCAUCUGGAACGGAAUAUGCUUCACACCUGUCUUUAUUAUUUGAAUAUAGAAAAGCAAAACAAUCACAAUAUGAAUAUGAUAUGCAUUUAUUUAUUAUUAUUAUUAUUAUUGACUUAGGAAUUUAAGUAACAUAUAUAUAUAUAUUGGAAAAAUAUUAUUUCGAGGGGAGCUAUUUCAACCUCGAACUUCUUUGUUUUUCGUAUAUAUAAAUAGUAGUUGGACUUGUUAUCUGUACUAUCUAAUUUAAUAUAUAAAGCAUUUUCAAAGAUUAAAUAAUAAGGACUUACGAAAGAAGAAACAUUUAAAACUCAAGCUUUGUCAUUUAUGUCUAAUAGUCUAUUUUUUAUUUCGCCUCUCAACUUUCAUAACUCAAAGUUAAUUAAAAUUUAAAUUUCAACAAAAAAGUCUACUAAAUCAUUAAAAAUUGAUUAAUAUGUUUCUAUUAGAUAUAAAGUUCAAUUUAUAACUAAUAUAUCAAUUGGUGCAUCUAUUUAUUGGAGGUAAAAUAUAAAAGUUCAUAAACAUGUCAAAUAUGCUGUAAGUUUAUUAACCCUUUUGAAGAAUUAGUUAGGUAAAUACGGUUUUAGUUCAUCUAUUAUGAUUUGUUAAGUUUUAGACCUACUGCAUUUAAAUGUUAAAAUAUAAUUAUUGAUAUUUUUAAAUUUAGUAAUUAUUAGACUUUCUACCAAAUUCUUUUAAGAUAUGAGUCCUUAGAUCAUUACUAUUGAUCUUGUCAUAAUGGGUAAAUAUUUUACUUAUUUUAUCAUUUUCUUACUAUUUCCCUAUAUACUAUCAAAUUAAACAAAUAACAAAGUACAAUAAAAAAAAUCAAAAUGAUAUUCUUUUUCAAUUAAAUAGAAAGAAAAAACAAAAUUUUAUUAUAGCCUAAUGUUUCUAAGAGACCGUUUUCUCUAAAGCCGUUAACUAACGUUCGUGAAGUCCACCUCCGUCGCAGUGACGGCGUCGUUUGAUUGGUGACCAGAAAAAUCCGCCCCUUAGGUUUCAGUGUGUCCGUUGUUUCUUCACGCUAUUAAAUAUCGCUUCAUCUCCCUCAAUCUUCUCUCCACUUUUCUAUUGACUCUCUUUCAUAUUUUCUCUUCCGAUUCUUCAUCUUUCUCUUGAUCUUCCUCAGCCAUGGCUCAAGAACCAGUUCGAGUCCUUGUCACUGGAGCUGCAGGUAACUCUACUAUAAAACAUUCCAUUUCUUUCCUUUUCGGUUCUAUUCAUGUGCUAAAACUUGAUCUGAGAUCGUUGUUUGACUUUCAAUUGCUUCCGUUCUUGUUUUGUUUCCUUUUUUUUUUUUUUUUUUUUUUUUUGUGUUCCUCCGCUCGAGAUCUGUUACUGUUGCUGAGUACAUCUAGUUUUUGGUGUUUAGUUUGAGUUUACGAUCAGAUCUGUUGUUUGUAGUUCAUUUCUUAAGUUUAUGCUCCGGAAUUAUAGCUUCUUGGAUGUUUUCUUAGUUAUGUUUAGUGAGAUUUACAGUUGUGAGUGUUCAAAGAUUGAGACAAUGAUGUGGAUCUGCACUGUGAAUCUGCACUGUGAAUCUGCGUAGCUUAUGGAAGUGUUUUUACUUGACAAGUAGCACCAGUGCAUGUUGAUUAGUUCUUGUAAAUUCUAGCUUAUGUGAUCUUGCUUGUACAGUUAUUUAUUAUACUUUAAUUUGAUAAAUUAGGUUUACUGUUCGUUCUUUUAGAGAAGUCAAUUACUAGCUUUUUCUUUUUGGUUAUAUAGUCCUUUAUCAAACUUUAUUUUGAUGGAAGGCGUUUCUUUAUAGUGACUAAAAGUUAAUUGGAUUAUUUUGUUGACAGCCUCACUAUUUUUGUAUGAAUAAUGCGUUUGCUUCUUGGUUUUCCAGGACAAAUCGGAUAUGCUCUUGUGCCCAUGAUUGCAAGAGGAGUAUUGCUAGGACCUAACCAACCCGUCAUCUUGCACAUGCUUGAUAUCCCACCUGCUGCUGAGUCUUUGAAUGGCGUAAAGAUGGAGUUGGUGGAUGCUGCUUUCCCACUCCUUAAAGGUAUAUAACACAGCAAUACUUUUCUAAUAUCAAACACGAAUUCUGUCUAUGGUUUCUGGGAUUACCUUAUCAUUUGUGGAUGGUUGAUACAAUGUUUUAGGUGUUGUUGCUACAACCGAUGUGGUUGAGGCUUGCACUGGUGUCAAUAUUGCUAUCAUGGUUGGUGGAUUCCCAAGGAAAGAAGGUAUGGAAAGAAAAGAUGUGAUGUCCAAAAAUGUCUCAAUUUACAAGGCUCAGGCUUCUGCCCUUGAAAAGCACGCUGCUGCCAACUGUAAGGUAACUGACAUAAAUUUAAUUACAUAAAAAUCAUUUUAUAAUUUUUCAUACUAAUGUAAUAUUAGAGACUUUAUCCCGAAAAGUAAUGCUUUUUAUUUCUUUUGAGUCGUUAUGUUCGAAAGAUCAGACACUGACUCUUUGUAUCCUUGCUCUUUCAGGUCUUGGUUGUUGCUAACCCGGCAAAUACUAAUGCACUGAUCUUGAAGGAGUUUGCUCCUUCCAUCCCGGAGAGAAAUAUUUCUUGCUUGACUAGGUUGGAUCACAACAGGGCAUUGGGCCAAAUUUCAGAGAGAUUGAACGUUCAAGUAUCAGAAGUUAAGAAUGUUAUUAUUUGGGGUAACCAUUCAUCAACACAGUACCCUGAUGUCAACCAUGCUACUGUCAAGUUAUCAUCUGGGGAAGAGAAAUCUGUCCGCGAGCUUGUUGCUGAUGAUGCAUGGUAGAGUUUCUGUAGUAUAUCUCUAUCUCUAAGUUUGAAGAGAAGAAUUUUUAAUAAUAAUAUAUGUUGUUUCUCCAUUGAAGGUUGAAUGGAGAGUUUAUUAGCACCGUUCAACAACGUGGUGCUGCAAUCAUCAAGGCCAGGAAGCUCUCAAGUGCAUUGUCUGCUGCUAGUGCAGCUUGUGAUCACAUCCGUGAUUGGGUGCUUGGAACUCCUGAGGUUGGUGAUUUUGCUUAAGUCUUUUCUAUUUCGUGUUUUGAAAUACUGAAUUAUGGAGCUCACUUAAACUUAAUAUCCUUCCAGGGCACCUGGGUUUCCAUGGGAGUUUAUUCUGAUGGAUCAUACAAUGUACCAGCUGGACUGAUCUACUCAUUCCCUGUUACCUGUCGUGACGGUGAAUGGUCAAUUGUGCAAGGUAUUCGUUUACUUUUUUUCGUUUGAUUGAUAAUUGAUUAAUGUGGGAAACCAUGCUUAUGAAAAUUGGAAAAAAAAAAAACAGCACAAAUAAAAAAGGUGCCAACCAGUUAACUACAAUAAAAGGUCUCAAAUCUAAAGUGUAAGAAAUCCUUGGAAAUCAUCAACACCCAAGUAGAAGCAUUAAACCCGAAAAUCCUCUUUCUCAAUUAUAAGGCUUGAUGUUAUUCGCUUUUCUCAUAACAUUCAUCCUGAUUCUUGUGAUAUCGUCCUGCCGAGAUUCCAUCUGAUAAUUGUAAAGAAAACAGAUGGAGAUGAAAAUCGUCUCUAUGUGGAAGUUUUUGGAAUUCUUAUAUGUUGCCAAAUUUUAUUGGCGUGGAUAUAUUCAUGUGAUUCACUAUAUAUUUUUCUUUAUGCACAUAAUGUAUACUCCAUGCCGAUUCCCGAGAUCUCAUCUGUUUCUCUGUGAUACCUACCUUUAUGGAUCCAGGACUUUCGAUUGAUGAAUUCUCUAGGAAGAAACUGGACUUGACUGCUGAGGAGCUGACCGAGGAAAAGGCGUUGGCUUACUCGUGCCUCUCAUAAAUAGUAAAGUGCCUCUUAAUUUACUUUUUGUUGAAUCGAAUGGCUACAGUUUUGAUUGAAUAAUGCCAUUGUUAAGAAGAGGUUAUAGGAAGCAGUGAAAACAGGACAAUACAUCUUCUCUGCUUCCUUUGUGUUUUUAUGUAUUCCUAUUUUGUUGAGGAUUUUUCCUUUCCCUUACGGCUUCAGCCGGCAAUGAAACCAUCAACUGCCUGUGUGAUGAGUUUUACAUGAAAAACUUUGUUGAUUGGAUUCUCACGUAUGUUAUCAACUCACCACAAUAAUUUCCUCAAAUUUGUUUACGCGAUAUGUUUGUUUAUUCUCGAAAAUUGUUUGUUUGCAAAUUUAAAAGUUAAUUUAUCUUUUUUAGUAAUACCUAAAAUUUUAAAUUGAAAUAAAAACAGUAUGUAUUAUUUGUUGGAGUUUUGUUUCUCAUUGUCAUUGAUAUGGGGAACAGUUUCUUAUUGGUUUAAAUUAUCAACAACAAUAUCAAAUUAUUAGUUUUACUCUAGAAAAAUAGCAAAAAUAAUCUUAAAUUGUUAGAAUAACAAAACAUAAAAAUAAUCUUAAAUUGUUAGAAUAGUCAAACAUAAAAAUUUAAAAAAUAAAUAAAUGAACUAAUUUCUUUAGUCCCUACUCAGUCUGAAAAAUAUAAUUGUUUAUCUAUAGUUACAAUAACAUAUUCUACAUAAUUUUUUUCUCCAAAAAACAUAAAGAUUAUUUGAUUUGAUUUGAUUUGAUUUUAUUCCAAAAAACUUAAAUACUUCUCAUUCUCACCUGAUUGAUUUUAUUUGCUUGUUCCCUAUUUACUUCCUCUUCCUCUUUUCUCUACGAAGAAACAUUCGAAAAUCAUGAAUAUAGAUACGCCUUCCGCAACAAUCGCCACCGUCGUCAUCAUCAUCGCUAGAAAUCACAUGCCCACUUUCUUCACUACCGCUACUAAUACACCACCAACUUAAUUAUUCUCAUUCUUCUAAUUUCUCUCCAUAAAAAAUCCAUCCUCUUCAUUUUUGCUUCUUUUUAAUUUUAUUAUUGCACGAACUUGUAAAUUCAUCGAAAUCGAAUAAAAAAAUAUUAUAUAUUAACCCUAGAUUUCAUCUCUCUUUAUCUCAAUUUCGCUUUUUUUACUAUAUCAUUACUCCUUAUAAUCAUAUUAAAUUAGAUAAUAAGAAAUUCUAUCUCAAAACUAUGUAUUAAUAAAUAUUUGAUAUUAUGUAUUAUUUAAUAAAAUUUUCAUAAAUAGUUUAAAAUAUAAAGAUUGUGAAACGGUUGAAUUUAUCUUUGUCAUUAUUUUAGAUUAUGAUCUAAAAUUUGAAUCCAAAUCGUUAUUAAAAAUAUCAAUUAUGAAUUAUACAAAUAAAUUGUUAAUUAAUUGAUUUCAAUAGCAAUAAUCCAAAAAUCUAGUAGAAAUUAUAGUCAUAUUUUUAGAAGAUGUUGGUGCAAUCUUCCCAACAUGAAAAUAACAUAUUUAGUUAAGAUUUAACAAAGUUGAACAUUGUUUCCAAAUUUGUAUUCAUGAAUACGUGAUUGUUCACACGAGAUUUCGAAGAAACAUAUUUCGUGAAAUUGAACUUUGUUAUAUUGAUGAAUAUUGUGAAUACAAUCUCUAGUAUUUACUCAUUCGAUGAUUUCUCUCGAAUACAAGUUAAAAAUCUCGAAUACAAGUUAAAAAUUUAGAAUUUCUUGAUCUUCGGUCUUUAGGAUGUUGUAGUUGCCAGUCUAUUUGAGCUUCAGUCUUCUGGAAUUCAAGAAAAAUUGGAUCUUUCAUGUCUUCAAUCUUUAAGAAGUUGAUGAUCUCGAAGUUGAUAAGAACUUGUACGUCUUGAGAGCUUUAUAGAAGUUUGAAUCUUCAAUUUUUUAGAGCUUCAGUACUUCAGAGCUUCAAUUCUUCAUUCAACCAAAGACCUCUCAAAUGAAUAACAAAUGUCUCUAUUUAUAGAGAAAAUUUGUGGGCUAGGUGGGCUUGGGUCCAUUUGCUUGUUGGGCUUGGGCUUGGACCAAUUUGCUUGUUUGCCCUGAGAAAAUUAUUAGUUUUCCUAUUGAGUAGUUACCUUGCCGGUGUCCUAUGGGAUCACCACCUUUAUGUGCAUCCUUCGAGAUCACAAGACUGAUAUGUGCAUCCUUCGGGAGCACUAGACUGAUAUGUGUUUCUGCAGAACACUAGACUGAUUAUGCAUCCUUCGGGACGUUAGACUGAUUGCGUAUAUUCUACUGGAUCACAAGACUGUGACUGUGCAGGGUAAUCCAUAGGGAGCUAAUAGUUUAUUUUUCCCUAACGAGACCAGUAGCGAGUCUCUUACUGAGUAUGUUUAUACUCACCCCUUUAUGUUUAAUUUUUCAGGCAAAGGUAACAAGGGAGGCAGACCGACGAGGGGCAGGAAGGAAGCGUGAUUGCCAAAGGGGACAUUUUAAUUUGCUUCAGCUUAAUGUUUUCUUUCUCGUGUUUUGUUUUAGUACUUGAAACUGUUUAGAAAAUUUUAUAGUUUAAGUGCAUUCACGAAUUGAUGGUUGGUUAACCUUUCUUGGAAGUUUUGGUUAUUUUAAACAGGACCCAUAUAUAAAUUUUUGCUUUCUUUGAGUCUUUGAAAUUAAUUGAAAUUGAGAUUUUUGUGUAAACUGGUAUUUGUUUGAAAUCAACGAUUUCGACUUACUUAGAAAAGUUGGGUCGUUACAAGAACUCUAUAAAAGAAUGUUUCAAAACAAAAAAUUAUUUAAUAACGACAAAUUUUUAACAUCAAAAUAUUUUAAAUAAAUAUGUGUACAUGUUGUUGGAAUUUUUUGUCCUAAAACUCGUAGUUUGUAAUCAUAUUUUGUUCAAUAAAGUUGUUAUUGAGAAAUUAAAUAUUAUAAUCUUAAAUCCAAUAAAUCAAGUUCCAAGGCUAUUUUUGAAUAAACUUGAACUUUAUGUGUAAACAUAAACGUGGAUCAAGUUCGAGUAUAUAACCUAAAUAGUCUAUAGUAUAUGAAUAAUGGUGUGACGCCUUAUUUAGAGAAACUAUGGAUGCGACCCACUUUGUAGUACCCGCUUUGGGGUACAAGAUGGAAUUUACUCCUACCCGCUUUGGGGUUAGUAGAUAGGUUGUUCUCUUAAGCACUGAAUCCAAGUCUUGAACAAUGGGCCCCAUCCUCUCAUUGGCCCGAGAGGGAUUAGGUUUAUAGGUUGAACCUUAAACCAAUUGUUCAAUAGUGAAUUAGUGGGAUGUAAAGAGCAAGAUGUAAUCUUGGGGGUAAAACGGUAUAUUGACCCAUCCAAGAUUACGAGCAACCUGUGAAGGAUUAACUUACUAAUUAUGGUUUUAUCAAAUGGACACAAAUAUAUCUAUAGUGAGAGGAGUGUAACUACGGGACUUUAGUGGAAUGACCCGUUAGUUAACGAAUGUUGAUUAACUCGUUCUAAAAGUGUUUAGCUAGUUAAUCUUGAAUCAUUGGAGCCCAUGAUCUAUAGGUCCAUUAGGUUCCUCUACUAGCUCAUAUGGAUUAAACUUAGAACAAUGUGAUGAAAUAAGUCGAAUGGUUCGAAUUGGGAGAAGAAAGAGAAACCGACAAAUAUAAUGAUAUAGUCGUCGGUAUUCUAAUUAGAAAUAGAGCUUUAUGUUUUACAUACUAUAAGUAUGAAUGCAGAUUCAUACUAAGAAGCUGGGAAUUGAUGGAAUUGGUCAAAAUUUGUAAAAAGUCAAAAUGUUGACUUUUGACUUAGAAAAGUCAAAGUUUGACUUUUGACUUUAAAUAUCUAAUGACCAUUUUACCGUUGGACUAAGUGGAAAAAUCCAACAUUUUGUUGAAUAAUCCCACUAAAUCUUAGUGGGAUAUGUGGUUAUAUGGGAUGUAGACACCUAUCUCACUAAGUUCCACUAAUUGUUAGUGGAACAUUAGGUGUUGAGAUUUGACAAAUUAAUUAGAUGCAAAUGGUUGAAAACUUUUGCCUUUUUUAUCAUUCUCCAAUAUCUCAACCAAGAAAAAGAAAAAACUUCUACCUUCCAAUCUCCUUUUAUCUCCAUUACUUUCUACACCAAAUUGGGUCCCACAACCUGGUUCUUUGUCUAGAGGAUAGUAGUUGACUACUAGUGGUGGUCUCGGUUUGAAUUAGUAAGGAGAUACCGAAGAUUUUUGAAAGCUUCAAAGGUAAUAUUUCCUAAAACCUCAAUUUGAUUAGUUUAGUGUUACAUGUUAAUGGUGGCAAUUAGGGUAGAAAUUCGAUUCUUUUUCCGCUGUGCAUGUCUUAGUUCUAUCAUGUUGAUGAUAAUAUGUGUUUGGGGGAAGGAUUAUGUGGGUAGUAUUAUGAUAAAAUGUGUUUGGAGGAAGGGUUAUGAUAGUAGUGUUACAAUAUUUUUUUUCUAAUAUAUGUAAUGUAGAUUCAAUACACAAAUUUAUUUUAUUAAAUAAUCAUACUUUUCUUAAAAUCAUUUGGCCUUAAUUUUCUUAAUUACAACGUUGUAAAUUCGACCACUCUGUAGACGUCUUCGACUAGUCAUUCGCAUAUUCCAUUCCGUCAUUUGCAUAUUCCAUUCCAUUACUUUUUAUGUUGUAAUAGCUUGUUUUAAUCGUUGUCCGUUAUUUUAAUAUCAAAAUAAAUUGUAUGCAAUAAUAAAAACAUAUUAUUUAGUUUAAAAAACUAACUAAAGUCGUUAUUAUUAUUAAAUGCAAAAUUAAGAAAAAGAAUUCAAAAGCAUAGAUAAAAAAAAUCAAAACAACAUGUACCCAUUAAUUACAACAAAUAAAACCUACAUCCAUCAUGUUUGGUUCAAAUUGAAAUCUUAAACUAAAAUUCAAAUUUCCAAUUUUUUUCAAGCAUUCAAACAAACAAAUCAUGGAGAUCAUCUCAAAUCCACUAGGGUAAAGCAUCAUAAAAAGAGACAUGAAACCUUUGUCAUAUUUGUACAAUUUAUGAAGGACAUGAAACAACAUUGGAACAUCUUCGAGAAUUAUGCAACAAAGAACAAACUGUCCAAUCACCAUUGUAGUCAGAAUUCAAGGAAAGAUAUGAAAAAAAGAGCUAGCCCAAUUAAUGAUCAUAAUUUUAUUUCAACACACAAGAAAGAAAAAGAAUGAGAUCAUAAUCUAAUUUUCAAUUAAAAAAUAGUAUGUAAUUUUAAUUCUUUCAAUUAGUACAAUUACAAGUUAUACAAUCUUAUAACAUGUAAAUCCAAUCUUCACAUCAAGUUCUAACAGAAAUUCCAAAUCUCCUUACAUAUUUGGUUCAAUUUUAAAAUGAGAGGCAACCAAUUUAUUAACCAAAGCAAGUGCAUUACUUGUAAUACAACCAACUUUCAUCACUGAUUCCAUAGCAAAUCCACUACUUUUUCCCUUUCACCUUCAAAUCCUCCGAUGCAAGUAUCUUCAUCCGUCAGUGCAGCUCUGACCUGCCGUUAGAUUCCCUAUUUGUGCAUCAAAAUUUCUCUACCUGUAAAGUUCAUCAAUUUCAGCUUCAAACACCUCCACACAUUUUGUCCUGUUGUUCGUCAACCUCCCUAGGAGUCCUGCCACUUUUUUUGCCUCUGCUAUCGUACCAACAUCCCUGCUUGAGCCCAUUUUGUGGGGUUGAGCUUGGCGGUGCUUUCAGAGAUCUUGGUGCUAUGUUCCUUGGACGAAGCAGCUUAGCCAUGGGAGAAGGAAGAAGAGGGGAACGAAAAUGAAGGGAGAGGGCACGGCGGUGCUUGCAGAGAUCUUGGUGUCGUGUUACUUUGGCGGAGUGGGUUAGCCAUGGGAGAAGGAAGAAGAGAGGAACGAAAACAAAGGGAGAGGGAAGGAGAGAGGGAAUUACGGGAAGGAGUAUGGAGAGGAUUACACGGGUUAAGGAAGAAACUGUGAGGGUGUCAUGAUGUAAAUCGGGAGUUAUGGAAACCUUAAAACUAAGUUUCCAUAACUUGGGUCCCAAACAAGUGUUAGGGUUAUUAUAACUCAAGCCGACAGUGAUUAUAUGAGGCCCAAACACACCUUAAAAGUUUAGACCGAGCCUAGUAAUCUCGUAUGAUGGUUGAUGUGUACAAUACUAGAACAUCCUCACACUUGGCCCAAAUAUAUUCAAAAGUAUUUGGUUUUUCAAAUAAAAAAUGAAAAUAGAUUUUGAAUCUAAAAGGGAUGAAGAAAACUUCUAAAACUCCAAUAUAAAUAGACUAAGAGAAAAGGUAAACUUGCUCUACCUCUUAUGCCAGAGACUGACUAAAGUAUGGGAGGUUAUGUGACAAGCACCACAUUAGUGUUUUUUUUUUUUUUUUUGUUUUUUUGCAGCUCGUCUUUCUUCUCUAAAGAUUAGAAAUAAUUUACCAUCGAAGGAACAUGAAGAUGAAAUGAGUGCACAUGUCUCGAUUUUACCAUUAAUACUAUUAAUUAAUCAUAAUAUCAGUUAUCAUUAUCUACCAAAGGAGAAAAAAACUAUUGCAUGUCAUCAUUAGAUUCAUGACCCGAUUAAAAUAGUUUUGCUAAAGGUGGAAUUAGAAAAAGAAAAAGAAAUACAAAGAAAUUUCUUCUUCUUCUUUUUUUUUUCCACUUGGAAAAGAAUAUAUAUAUUUUUUUCAUUUAAAAAAACAAUGAAUGAUAAGUGGCACAAAAAGUAAUAGGUAAACAAAUGCCUAGCAUCAUUUACAACAUAAUGGACAUAAAUACAUGCAUAGAUAGUUGGAUGUGUAAAAAUGAACUAAUUUUGUGAAAUGGUGUUGUAAAUAAUUAUGAUGCCAACAAUAUAAUGUGUAUUAGUGUUAGCCUUUUCAAAUUCAUAUAACCACUUAUAAAGGAAAUAGGUAUUUUGAAUGUCCUUUAAAAUAAUUUUAAAGUUUAAUGGUUGUUUAGUAUGAAACUUUUCAAAAAAUAGAUUUCUGUAUACAUAUAAACUUGAUUUAAAAAAAAAAGGAACUAGACAUAAUUAUAUGUGAGAAAAAAAAAAACAUUGAAAAAACAUCAUUAGAUUCAUGAUCUAAUUCAUAUAUUUUUGCCAAAGGUAUAAUUAGAAAAGGGGGAAAAAAUAUAAAGAAUUUUUGUUUUUUUAUAAUUUCUUUCACUUGAAAAAGAAUAUACAAAUUCCAAUCCAAAGCCGCAAAUAAAUCUCAAAUUCAUUCUUUUUUCUCUCUUCAUCACUCAUUUACGACUACCUCUUUCAGAUUCACACAAUAAUCUCCAAAUUUCUCUCAAUUUUUCUUUCGAUUUUUUCAUAAUUUUCCCCUCAAUAAUUCUCUCCACAAUCCAGAUAUCCAAAUAAUCUUCAUCCUUUAGUGAAUUAUUCUCUGAAUAAUUAGAGGCGUUGAUUUUAUCAACUAAAAUGAGGAAAACAUUUGAAUUUCCAUUGAUAUGGGAAUAGUUCCAAAGAUCUUCAAAAUUCUGGCAAUUCAGAAAUUUCUCCAGCUUUGACAAAAACAUUGUACCAAAAUUCCAUGUCAUCAUCAACAACACAUUGACCGUGUAAUCUCUUAUCCGAAUCUGUUUCCAUCAUAUCCAUGGACACCGGUGGGAAUUCCUCCAUUUUCUCUUCACUAUCAUAAUUCGAAUUUGAACUCGAAUCUGAAUUGGAAUUGGAAUUCGUCAUCGAAUUAUCGACCACCUCGGACCAAAAGCUCUCGUCAAUUGGCGGCAUGGCGUCCUCGGCCGUGUAGCUGUAGUACUCAUUUUCAGUUAUGUAAGUAUGAUCUGUGAGUGAUGAAGAGAUCUCACAACUUGAAGAUUGUUGUGAAGAAGGGGACAUUGUUGUUGAGGAAUAAUUGGGAACUUGGGUUUGAUUUGUACUAUCAAUAAUAAUGGAUGAAGAAGAAUUUGAUGGUUUUAUUUGUUUUUUUCUUUUGUUUUCAGAUAAUUUUGCAGCUGUUGCUUUUUUAAUUACAUUUUUUUCCAGCCUUUUCUUCAAGUGUGUGUGCCAAACAUUCUUGAUUUCAUUGUCAGUUCGACCCGGCAACUUGGCUGCUAUUGCUGACCAUCUAAUAGUAACAAAAAGGGAAAUAAAAAGUUAAACCCAAUUUAUUCAUAACGAAAACAAAAAAAAUUCAAACAUAUAAUAUCUAGCUAGAAAUGAAUAACAUUGUUUUGGUCGAGAAUAUAUCCUUUUCGUAACAUGGAGAGGAAUAAUUGAAUUUAGUACUUCUUAGUUGGUAUGCUUUAUAUUAUGGAAGUUAUACUAUUUAAAAUAAUUGAAAAUCUAAAAGUUGAUGAGAUUUAUAGUAAAUUUUAUUUUCUAACCUAAUUUUUAUAGAUAAGAGAAUUUAUAGUACGAAGAUUUGAAAGUCAUUCGAUGCAAGGAGAAGAACCUAAAAGAAAAAAAUGAAGAUCGAGAGAAAGAUUUACCUAUUGCCAAGCAAUUCGUGUAGGUUAAUAAUGGCAUCUUCUUCUUCUUUGGUGAAGUUGCCUCUCUUAAUAUCAGGUCUCAAAUAAUUUGUCCAACGAAGUCUGCAGCUUUUUCCACAUCUUAAAAGACCUAAACACGAUAAAUUACAAAAGCAAAAGGUUAGGAAGAGAAAAAGAUGCAAAUUAAGUUUAAAAAAUCCGAACUUUAUUCUUUUCCAAAAUUGGAUGAAAUUAGUAAAUCGGUUUUUCUGGGUUUAAGUUUUUCUGUGUAGAUAUUUAAAAAUAAAUUAAAUAAAAGAAAAUCAAAUAAAAAUGGAACCUUUUUAAUGACAAAUGAGUUGUAAUAAUAAGAAAAACUCACCAGCUUGUUUAGGAAGAGCUCGCCAAUUGCUAUGGCCAUGAUUUUGAAUAAAAUUGGUUAAAAUUCUGUCUUCUUCAGGAGACCAAGGACCUUUCUUCAACCCCAUUUUCUCACAGCAAGGAGCUCUCCCCAUUAUUAUUGUUAUUAUUGAUUUUCAAUUCAAUAAUAAUUAAUAAUCACUAAAAUCUUCUUCUUCUUCUUCUUCUUCUUCUUCUUCUUCUUUUUCUUCUUCUUCUUCUUCUUUUUCUUCUUCUUCUUCUUCUUCUUCUUCUUCUUCUUGUUUAUGGUUCUUGUUCAAGUAUACUAAAAUUUCUCUCUCUUUUUGUUUUUCCUUUCCCUUUUUAGGCUCUGAAAUGGAGUCUGAACUGAGAAUGACUCAAGGAGAUUCAAAGAAAAUGAAUUCAGAUUGGUAUUUAUAGAGGAAAUUGGAUCUUCAUAUAAAUUCAAAAGUUUGUGCUUUGAAUAAAUAUAUAGAAUAAUAGUAAUAGUCUAAGUCGACAAAAACAGCUACGUUCAAAUGGAGGAUUGGGGUAAUUUCCAGGAAGGAGAGUUUUAGAUAUAGAAAAUGGGCCAAUCCUAGCCACCAAAAUUAAGGAUUUCUUUAUUCUUUGUUGUUAUUGUUAUUAGUUUAAUAAAAAGUAGAAAUAGUGGGGUUUUGGUUUCUUUGGUAUUCUCCUCAUUUUAUUUUACUUUUUAAAUCUCUUAUCUUUUAUUUACUAAUUCUCUGCUUUUAGGAGAGUAGUUAAAAAUAUCUUAUUAUAAUUGAUGGGAGAAUUUUGGAUGUUGUUAAUUAAUGGCUUGAGGUUUGACGUAAGAUGAAGGAUUGGUUGAGAAGUGGAUAAUAAUAAUAAUAAAUAUAUUACAUGGGUUUGAAUUUUUCAUCUACUAUUUCCUUUUUUUAUAUAUAUAACUAUAUUACCAAGUUUAAUUUUUGAACUUCCCAUUGAUUUUAAAAGUUCUCUAAUUUAAGUUUUGGUGUCUAAUAAAAUUCUAAAAAAUGAUUGAUGUCACAAUUUUAGUCGACAAAAAACAUACCUAACCUUCACGUAAAAGCAACGAUAAAUUUGUUAUUUAAGAAAAAAUGUUAUACUUAUAAGAUGUUUACACACUAAUGUGGUGAGCAUCAUACAUGAAAAACAUAUAAGUAUAUAUCAAUAGAAAAUUUGAGCCUUAGAAUGGAUUUACUUCCUUAGAGGUCAUAAUGAUGUAUUUAUAGUAGAAUCCUGACAUGUGACAUCCUUGUAUGAGUUUCCUAGUCAUAUAUUAGGUUAUCUAUUGAGCUAAUUGAGUCAAAUCAUGCUUUAACAUGUCCUAUUCGUCAAAAUUUGAGACUCGACCAGGAUCUCAUCUUUUGCCAAGGUCGAGGUUGAGGAGGUUGGUUUAGGCUUUUGACCCAAACCAUCAUUUCGUGAAGUCCUUAAUAGGUCAUAGUCUAUAUUCCAUUUUCAUCAAAUGAUCAGGAGCUGGGUUAGUCUCACCAUAAUUCGUCGAGAUUGGGCUUCUUUGGCUCAAAACUCAAUUAACCAUUUUUCUUAAUUCCAAUUCAUUCUAUUAGUAUGUUUAAUUGUCUAUAUAUUAUCAUUUUCUUGGUCCAAUAUAUUUGGCUUCUUUGUUACGUCGGUUCUACUAUUUAGGAAAGAAAAAACACCUAUAACACUAAACUUUCGAUGUUCAUGUCUAAUGGAUAUGUAGAAUUUUAAAACUUUAAAAGCUCACGCAAACUAUUUUUGCAUAACACUGGUGUAAAUGGAUUUACAAGACGGAGAGGUUUUCUUUCUAAAUAUUUUUAAUUAUUUUAGAACAAUAUAAGAAAAUAAGAACCAAAUCAUUACUCAACCAACUUUAAAAUAUUAAAAUAUAAAGAAAUUUAUUGAAUAUGUAAUUGAACUUACUUAUAGAAUCAUUUGUGUGACUCUUCUCAAUUUCUAUUUUUCAAACGAAAAAAGAAGGUUCAAACAAAGACACUCUAAAAUAUCAAAUACACGACUUUCAUUUUCAUACCAUGCUACAAAUUCUUGUUUAUCAACCAAAGAAGAUAUAACUCGAAACUCUUUCUUAUUGUUUUCGUACCCCACUAGUCAUAUCAUGUAGAAAGAAAACUUAAGUAUAUAAUAAAUGAUCAAACAUGAUGUGAAUAUGACACAUAUUUAUUUUUCUUCUAAGUCCAAAUGCACAAAUUUAUUCCUCAUACUCAAAACAACCAAUAUGAACACUUAAAAAUUCAAUCUAUAGAGAGUUAUAAAAUCCAUGAAAUAGUACAACAAAAAGAAGAAAAAGAAAAAGAACUAGAUUUUAGCAAUGGGAUAUCAUUAAUCCCUUGUGAGUGUUCAUUUAGGAGACUUACAAUUAUUUAUCAUUAUCAAAUUUAUCAUCUUUAUUAAAAAUGAAACUAUUUGACUCUACUAUAUAUCAUAUGAAAAAAUACGCGGUUACGUAUAAAAAUAAUAAUAUCUUUUUUGACAAAUAUAUAAAUAAUACAUUAAAUGAAGUCACUUCGAAUUUUAGCUAAAACUUCCAAUAUAUAUUUGUCUUUUUAUUUUAUUGUGACUGGUAAAAGCCCACGAGAGAGUAAGCGAAUUGGUCCGAAAAAUAAUAAUCAAUUUCCCACUAUGACCUUUUACUGGUAAAUAAAAGCAGCCUAAAAAAACCAAAUAUAUAUAUAUAUAUGUGUGAAACGUCGUCGUUUUAGGAAGGAUCCAGGCAAUUGGCUGCUACUUCAGUAGGACAUUUCCAAGUUGCUUCGUGCAUGGCACGUGAGGUUUAUUUAGUUAUUAACUCAUUAACUCUGUUUAUUUAUUUGUUAUUACUAUUCUUGAAAUUGACAACGGUAGGGUUAAUUGCAUAAGGACACAUCUUGGGUUAUUAGUCAAAUAUUUAAACCUUAUUAAAAAUUUGAUGUGAACUUAAACUUUUAAUAAUAAUGUGACGUCAUCACAACUUGCCUCAAAACCUAACAUUGUUAAUAAUAAAAUUCCAAUUAAUCAAACUUUUUAUAUACUAAAUAACAUAAACCAUCAGUCCUUUUCGGUACUACAAUGUGUUCAACUUUUGUUUGGUGUAAUGGUGCCUUGCUAUGAUGCCAAACUUUUUCUUUAUUUACAUUAUUAAUUUCUAACUCCUUCUCAUUUUCAAAACAAAAAAUCAUGAAACUAUUUUCACAUCUCCAAUAUGAAUGUUUAUGUUUAGUUUUUUUUUUUUGUCAAAAUAAUCAAAUUUCACUUUGAAUUUCCUUCUUGUAAAUUCGCGUUUGGGUUGGUUAAAAUUUGUAAGUAAACGUUAUCUUUUUAAUAUACAUUUUAAAGUCUAAAUUGAACUUUUAAUAAAAGAAAAUGAGUACUCAAAUAUUCUUGUUUGUUUUUGUAGUUUUUAAAGUUCGGUUCAGUAAUUAUAGAAAGAUUUUUAAAACUAUGUAACAAAAUGAAUAUACUAAUUGCUAAGUGGAAUUGAUAAUAACAAACAGUUAGAAAAAUAAAAAAUAAAAGAUAGUUUGGAGAGUUAGAUGAUUUUUACUCUAUUUUAUAAAUAAUCUUAAUAUUUUUUUUUACUUUGAAAAAUGUUCUUUUUUAUUUCUUGAAAAUAUAUAUUUCCCCGUCGUCCAUAGAACCUUCUACUUUUGAAAAUAACCUUUUGUAAGAUCAUUCUCGAUAUAAUCAUGAAUUGCUAAUAAUUUUAAGGAAUUUUAAACUAUGCUAUUAGCCCAUACAAUCUAAGAGAUAGAAUAGUGGUUACUGAUUAGCGUGUUAUAUUUCAACAUAUUUAUCGAGUGACAAGUUACGUGUUAAAAAGUAAAAUAAAGUAGAAAAAAAUAAAAUUAUUUUAAAAGUAUAGUAACCAAAAUAAGUAUUUUAAAAUCUGAAGAGUAGACUGAUAAAAAGACAUGACAAAUAAUAAUGAAGCAAAAUUAAAGUAGAUCAAUAAACAAUAUUCAAAUAAUAAAUAUUGAACAAAAGUUAUUUGGAAUAAAGUAUAUGAUUUAAUUCUUCUAAGGAGGCUAGCUAAGUACUUAUUUUGUUUUGUUUUGGAUGGCUAACGUAUUUUAACAAGUUGGGUCAUUAUAAAUAAAAACAAUAUUGAAAUAGUUGCAAAUUUAAUAAUUAGAUUCAAAGUAAUUAAAUAUAUAGUAAUAUUUUAAAAAAUUUAUAAAUAUAAAAAAAUUUGUCAAAUUCUAUCUAUGAUAAAAGUCUAUCAUUGAUAAACCAUGUUAUAAAUAUUGGUUUAUCAGCGAUAAAGCAUACGAGUUUUUCAACGAUACAAGUCUAUCGACUAUAGUUUUACUAUAUUAAUUUUAAAUAUUUUUAUACUUUUAUAUUUUUAAUUAUUAUUCUUCAAAUGAUCAUUUAUUACACUUAUUUGACAACAAUUCAAUAUAAUCUAUACACUUAAAAAGAUUUAACAAAAUUUUCUAUCAUUUAUUAACAGUAGGCAUUAGUUCAUCGAUAGAAUAAAUAUUUUUAUUACAUUUUAUAAAUAAUUUUAAACUUUUUAUCAGUUAUAAUAAUUUAUCAUAAAAUAAAAACAUUGUCGGUUUAAUUGUACUUUUUUGAACUAAUUUAUUUUCUCUAAAUUUGAAAACUUUUUAGAAAAUCUAUUUAGAAAACAAUUUGUGGUGGGUAAUUGGAUUGCAAUUUUGUCAUUUUUUUUAUUUUUCAAUUUAUUAUUACGUGAUAAUUUAUGAUUGAAACAUUUGAUUUAAUAGAAGAGUUCUAAAUAUUUUUAAUCUACAAUUAUAAAGUACUGUUUCAAAAUAAUAUUUAUUUUAAUGUGGGUAUGAAUAAUGUAUUGUAUAGCCGUGGAAGAUAAGCUUUAGAUAUAAAUUAAUACUCAUACGAGAAUCUAACAAUCUAUAAUUAAAUUAUUCUUAUAUAGAUAUAUAUAUAUAGUGAUUUAACUCUACAAUAGUAUAAUUUAUACAUGUCAUGUGGUGUCUUGUUUGUUAGUGAUCUUGUUCCUCAUUGUUUCUUUUUCUAGUUAAUUUAAUUUACGAAGCAUUUUCUAUAUAAAAAAAAUACAAAAGCAUCAUUAUUAAAUAUUAACGGGUUUUAGAGAGCAUAUAUGGUAUUUGAUUUACGGUAAGAAUUUAUAAUUAUGCCAAAAUGAUCGAGUUUGGUGAAAUGAUGUUGACAUAACGUUCGUUCUUAAAAGUUGGAAGUUCUUCUUCACUUCAUAAUUACUGUACUUAAAAGAAACUCUCUUAAAUUUGAUGUAGGAUGUAGAAAUGUCUUGAAUUGGUUAUGUGGUGCUACGAACAACCAACUAGGGAGGUCUCGCUAACCUAAUGGCAGCAUAUUGCAUUCUGAAACAUUCUCUCUAAUAAUACUUGUUCUUCUUUUUGUUUAUGGACGUAGUAACACAUUGUUAUUGAACCACAUAUAUCUUUAUGGCGAUUUUUACAUUUUCUUGUAUUAUAAAUUUUACUUCAUUAUUUUAAAGAGGAUAUGAUUUUUAGAAGUUAUUCUUCUAAUUUAAAAUGUCAUAUAAUUAUUUAAAAUAAAAUUAAAUAUAAAGUUAUUUGAGGGGCCUUUUAAACCUAUUUUUAAGAACUUAGGGACUAAAAAAGGUACAUUUUGAAAACUUGCGUGUCAUGCCCCGCCCUGCUAGCCACUUCAUGCAACCAGAAAGAGGCGUGUCACCUAGACUUCCAACUUGUACCUCUUUGCAAGAUAAUGAGUCGAACACCUAGUAAGCAAAACUCUUCUCAAACCAAUCUCCGACACAGAGCUUCAACUUUGAACUUAAGGGGAUAUCUUUACAACUCAACUUAGCGGAAACCACUUAUACAACCAACUUAGCUUGAUUGCCUAGCCUUAAACACUUAAACUUAUUAGCUAUACUAAGUGAUAAGCACAACAUGGAUACAUAAACACAAUAGAACAGAAAGAAAUAGAAAAAACAACCCUACUUUUAUUACUUGAUCCAAUCCUUUACAAUUACAUUUCUUUUCUCGCAAGGCACAAAAAAAAAAAAAACUUUAGGCUCACCGCUUUCUCUUCAUCCACUGGGAUGCUACUCUUCUCGUCAAGGUGUUUAGCAAUAUAAGACUCCCUUUCUUAUUUUUCUUCUUGAUCGCCUAGUAACCCAUCUCAAAGACAAGACUUUAUCCCACACGCAGAACUAGGAUGCAUGCAACCCUCUCUAAACACAAUAACUUUAAGCAAUCCGAAGACAAAUAACUUGGUCACCUAUCCCGCCCCAUAACCCGUCUUACCUUUCCUUACUUGGUCUCAAUGCUUGAUCACUUGGGAAAUAGAAACUUAAACACGUAAGUCAAAUACUUAGUGAGUGAAGAUUUCAGAAAUCCUUUUUAGGAAUACAAGUCAAGCACAAAUUCAUUUUCAUUUCUCAAACGCAUCUUCCAACACCUCAUUUCAUAAUCACAGAAAUCUCACAUUAGCUUCGCUUAUUCCUUUCCACCAAGAACAUGAAUCCUUCCCCUCAUCAAACCUACUGCGGUUCACUCUCACCAAUAUCUUGCGAUUGCAUUACUAUGAUAUGUUCAUUCCAUCCACAAUGUCUAAAAAGUUUUCUAAUUUAUUUAUUGUUGCACCGAUCGUCCACAUGACGCCACUUACAUUAUAUGCACACCACAUAAUCACUAUUCACUUUAUAGGAAUAAAGUUAAUGAUUUCCACAAAUUCAUCACAAUUAGCACCUAGAAAGCAGUAGUUUUCUCUUUUCAAAUGACAACAACAAUAAUAACACAGAGAGAUACAAAACUCAUUAUACAUAAUUCAGACUAAAAAAGAAUCUAUUAAGAAAACAUUUAGUUUACAAAUUACUCACGCAAGAGUGUUUAGUUUAAGAAAGUUACUCAUGAAAAUGUCUAAUCCUCUUCUUUCCCGAACGCUUCUCCCUACCUAGUACUCCCUCAACGACAAUUCAACUUCUUGCACUCUCUUGACAAAACCUCCAAAUAACAGUACUUCUCUUAGGGUCUUCACCUCUAUUUAUACUAAUCCUCUGAACUAGUUACUUUCUUUACCCGACAGAAUUACAACUUUACACGUGUCGCCUUACCGCCUUGUUGCACUAUGCAGCCAAAUUCAAGCUCGACACAUAAGUCAUAGGUCAACUCAAGAUUAGACAUUCCCUUGAGAUGUCAAUCUUAUCUUCUUGAGAAGCUAAACUCUUCCUUGCCUUCUCUUUUUUGUGACAUACCACAACUGUCCAAUUCUUUUCUCACUGCGCUUUGUGUUCCUUCAUCAGAUCGCCUAACUCUUCUUACGAUAAAACUUCUUCGCUGCAACAACUCUUUCUCCAUCACAUUCUAUAAAACACGACUUCCUUCCUUCGUUCUCAAUUUUAUCUUUAGAAUGAUCAAUCUUUUUAUUUUAAAAGGAUCAUCCCGACGCCUUUUUUCUUCAACAUAACUCAUUUUUUCUGAUCUGAGCCUCACAAUUUGGGGACCAAAUGUGUAUUCUAUAAAUCUAAGGACUAAAAAGAUCUAUUUUCAAAACUUAGAAACCAAACAUACAUAUUCAUCAAAACCUAGAGACUAAAAGGGUAGUUUUCUCUAUAUUCUUUUAUUGUCGUUUUAGAAUUUUUCUGGAUAAUUUGAUCGUAAUUUCAAAAAACGCAUCUUAUUAUAUCAAGAACAGUACAUUACAAAAAUAAAAAAAAUUAUUAACAAGGGGAGUUGAAAAUUAAACCACGUGAUCUACAAAAAAACAGAAAAAAUCAUUUUAAAAUUUUUGUUUUUAUUUUUGAAAUUUGGCUAAAGAAAAAUGCAAAUAAUUUUGAAAAAUUAAGAGAAAACAUGUUUAAGUUUUAAAAAUAAAUAAAUAAAUAAAUAAAAUGAUUAACAAACAAGACAUUUAGUUUUUGAAAUUUAUAUGUACUUUACCUUUACAUCAUAGUUUUACAACUUUAAAAUGAAAGAUAAAUUGAAAAAAAUGAUCUUUUUUUAGUUCAAACUAGGGUUUGCUUCUAAAAAACAGGCCGUGGAAAUAAAAAAAAAAAAAAAUUAAGGUAGGGGAAAGGAAGUAGUUCAUUAUAAAAAGUCAUAGUGACAAAAUUUUACUAGUUAAAGAUUCAGUAAAACUGUAUAUCAAAUAGUUGAUUAUAAAUAGUCAAUUUUAUAUCACUUAAUAAAGUGACGUAAUUUUACUAGUUAAAGAUUCAGUAAAACUGUAUAUCAAAUUAAAUUAGGUAUUUACAUAUGCAGAAUAAAAUUGAAAAUAUUUACGGUUCAUAUAACAAAAUAAAAAAAGCUUUUGAAGUCAGUAUAACUUAAGUUAAUUUAUUCUUAAAUUCUAGAUUUGUCCUUCCAUAAUUUCUUUCUUUGUCUAUAUCGGAUAGACACAAAUAAUCGUCUAUCUAUGUCUAUCUCAAAUAUAUUUAUUUAUACUCAUUACUUUUCUCUUAUCUUAUUUAGAAAGUUAUUUAUUUACCAUUAGAGAAUCAUGGACAAAAAUAUGCUUAUUUUUGUCUAUAUGUGUGAUAAAUAACAUUCUAACUAUAUCCUUGCAUCGUGAAUAGAAUCAUCAUCUAUUUUUUCUUAUUUUAUAAUGGAACAUGGAUAGAGGUAGACAGAGAUAGACAUAUAUCUCUGUAUAUCUCUUGUUAUUUGUCUUUUAUAAUGAAUCAUGGAUAUAGAUAGACAAAAUAGAAUUCUAGACGUAUAUUUCUGUCUAUUUUUUUUUAUUUGUCUUUUAUAAUGAAUUGUGUAUAGAUGAACAAAGCUAGAUAGAAGUUUAAUUUAUUCCAUCACUAUUGAAUAGUUAAUUUACUUUCUUACAUAAUCUUGUUUUCAUUUUAUAAAAAAGAAUAUAUGUCUAUUCCUAUAGUUAUAUAUUCACUUGAGAUUAUUUGUUAGAAUCGAAUUAGAUAGACAGAGUUAGUGGUCUAUCAUUGUUUCUUCAAAAUAGAUAACAUUCAAAUAUAUAUGUUGAAUUAACAUUGUAUUGAAUGAUGAUUAUUUGUUAGAAUGGAAUUAGAUAGAUAGUGAUAAUGUUCUAUCUCUGUUUGUCCCAAAUAGAAAGCGAUAGUGCUCUAUCACAAUUGUUAUACAAACUAUCAAAUUGUUAUGUAAAUUAUUAUCACAGUGAACAGAAAAUCAUACAUAGAUAAAGAUCUGAGCCCAACAAAUUCACGUUGUCUUCUUAAGACAAAUUUACUCACCCUAGUGGUUGAGAAUUUAGAACAAUUGCCUCCCUUGAUAGAACAGAUCAACUUUCUUCUAUAUGUAGCACCUUGUAUAGAAGAUUUACGAAUGAAACCUUGUGAAUCUACCGAAUGUCAAGAUUGUGGAUAUGGAGAGAAAUUUGUUUAUAGAAAACAAAUGAUUUUGAUGUGAUUAUUUCUCUCAACCAAAAGGACUUAUUUAUAGACUUUCCUUGGCCAUUUGAAAAGUUAUGUCCUUUAGUUAAUAACAUCUUUCACGAAAUGAUGCAUCCAUUCAUGAAUGAACAAUCAUACCCAUUUAUUCCAACAACAAUAUCACUAUCUACUUGGGAAUAGACAGGGAUGAUAGUCUAUCACUAUCUAUCCAAAAUAGAUUGUGAUAGCAUGCAAAUAUACGUGUUGAAUUAGCAUUGUAUUGUAUUGAAGUUAUUUGAGAAUUAAAUCAAAUAGACAGUGACAAUAUUCUAUCUCUGUCUAUCCCGUAUAAAAGAUGAUAGUGUUUCAUCACUGUCUAUCUGGAAUAGACAAAGGUACUAUCUUUGUCUAUCCUAGAGGAAAGAAAAAGCAUAGAUGUAAAUAAAAAAGCGUGAAGGUUAAUCGUGUGAGAUUGUCUUUAUUUUUCUUUUAUUUAUCUUAAGCAAAUCAAAUUUCAUGUUGAAAUAAACUUAAUUGAAUGUUAAAUUUGAUAGAGAUUUACUCACAAGAAAUCACAGCUCAUACAACAAGUAAUCUUUUUGAGAUUUGAAUCUUUUUUUUAUUUUUUUAUUUUUUUUAAGAUAGAGAUAAAGAAAAGAAAAUAUAUAAGGAAAAUUUUAUUAUUUUUGGCAUUUUUUUUUGGCACUCUUUUACUUUUAUCAAUAUUUUUUUUUUAAAAAAGGAAAAACUUUAGUCUUAUUUAACUUAUUAUUAUUAUUAUUAUAUUUAUUUUAUUUAUUUUCUCGGCCACCACCCCUCUAUUUUCUUCUCUUCUUAUUUAUUUAUUUAUUUCCUUUUCUUUCUUUCCUUUCUUCUUUCAUUGUUUUAUCUUCUCUUACAGUAUAUUUUUUUCUUUCUUUUACUUAUUUAUGUUACAAUUAUAAUAAUUAUUUAUUAUACAUGCUUAAAUUUAUGUAUGCAUAUUUUCCCUUACAUUUUACAUUGAAUUUAUCUGGACAAUAUUACCAAAUUAUUUUAUAUUAAUUAAUUAAUUAAUAAUAUUUUUACAUCAUACUUGUCUUUACAGUUUAUCCUUCUCACAAAACUCCAACGAUGAAAUUAGAAAUAUCUGGAAGUCCAUUAUUUUUAAAUUCUUGAGGUGAGGGGAUCGACUCCUUGAAAGUCGAAGACUGAUUUCCAAUAUAUAUAUUUUUAAAAUUUUUAAAACUAUCUUUUUUUUUUAAUAUAUUUUUUAAAAAUAAAUCUAUAUUUAAUGAGGUUUCCUAAUCAACUAUUUUUUUAAUUACUCACACCUAUUUCGCUAAAAAAAUCCUAUGACAAAAUCUAAAACUUUUUGGAAGUCCAUUGUUUAAGAUCUUGGUACAUGAUCUUAAACUAAGAUUGUUUAGAUCUGGUAUGUGAUCGUGUAUCAUUUUCUACAAAAUCACGUAUCAUGAUCGUCUAGAAGAAUUAGGUGCGUUUGUUGUUGAUUAAUCAUGUGUUAACUGAAACAUUUUUUGUAUUUUUUCAUGGUGAGUAUGUUGACUUUUUAUUUUGUCGAUUUGUUAUAUUUUUAGAAAAAAGUCUUAUUUAAAAGUUUAAAGAUAAAAUUGAUGUUUAAAUAUAAUAAGAUAAUUAAGAAAGUAUUGAUGGAGAUUGAAGAGAGUCUGUUAUAACAUGGUAGCCAGUCUAACUCAAACAUAACUCAUAACUCAAUUGGUGGAAUUGAAAAGAGGUUAAUGAGUUCCAUAUGUACUGAUUAGUUGAAAAGUCAAGGAACGUGGCCAAUAAUUUGAUAGACAAUUAAUCACCAAAUUGGUAAGAAAAUGGGAAAAGGUAACAUGAUUGGUCGGAUCAGUCAAAGUUCUAUACAUCGGUAUUUGCUUUGACUUUGACUAAUCAUUCUGAAGAAAUCACCCACAUUUUUCCUUAUCACAUUUUGUCCCUACACAAUUUUUCGUUUAACGAAAAACUUCAAAAAAAAAAAUACAUUUUCAAUAACAAACUCCCUUACUAAAUAUAUAUAUCAUUCUUUUUAAUAAACAAAGCUUUAAAUACAUCAUUUACAAUCAUUUAAAUUUGAAAACAAUAUUUUGAGAAACCUACUUUUUCAACAAUGUUGUUUUUGUUUUUUAAAAUUUGACUAAAAAUUACUAUCUAUCAAACAUCCAAAUUAUUGUAAAACAGGAAGAGAAAAUAUAUUUAAUUGUUAACAAAAUAAAAAUAAAUUGACUCCCAAACGAGAAACAUUAAUUUUUAUAAAUAUAAUAAACUGACAAUAUAUUUAUGGCCCGUGUAACAAAAUAAAAAAACUUAUAAAAUUGGUCAUUUUUCUCAAUAUUUUAGAUUUGCUCCUCAUUUUAAGUGUCUUUCGUGUUUGUGAUUUGUUUAGAUACAUACAUUGAACUUUCAUCCAUUUUGUGUAAUUUUUGGCUUUCAUCUCUCCUUUUCAAAUGUUUCUGUUUUUGUUUUUCAAAUUUUGAAUCUUCUAAACUAUGUUUUAAUCAACUAUAUUGAAUUUUACACCACCUUUACUUUUAAUAUUUAUCUUAUUUGAUUUAUUCAAUAGAUAUUCACGAAAAUUUAGUAAUCUAAUAACUAACAUAAAUGUUUAAAAUAUGUUUCUUUUAAUAUGUAAUUAUGGAUUAAAUAAGUAAUGUUUAAGUGGGAACAAAUUAAAUGUUUUGUUUUGUUGUUUUAGUAACAUUUUUAACAUCUUAGUGUGGAUAAUUCAUAUUUGGUGUCAACCAGUGCAAAAAGUUAAAAUGAAGCUCAACAUUUAUAAUUUAGAAUCAUUUUAAGAUGACAAGUUUUAAAAUUAUGUAUAAAAUAUUCAUAUCAGACUUUAGGUAUAUAUUAAGUUUUAAAUAUUUCUUUUUAUAUUUUGUAAAUAGUUUCAUUUUCUUUUACUAUUCCUAACCGAUUCCUCAUAAUUUAUUUAUUUACAUUGAUAUACAAUUUUCAAUUAAUUAAGUUUUCAUUGAUUUGAAUUUUCUUUUAAAUCUUUCCUAGUUUUAUCACGUUAGAUUACAUCUUUUAAAAAAAAAGUUAUUUAGUAAAAAUAAAUUUCAUUUAAAGAAUAAAAUUAUCUUUUGUUAAUUACAUAUAUAUCCAUCCUACAAUUUGCCCAGUUUGUAAAUUAUAUACGUAAAUAGUUAAGUUUUGUUUAGAAAAAUUAUUUUAAUAUAUAUUUUAAAGAAAAUAUAUAGCAAAAUAUCACAAUUUAUGUGUGAUAGAACAAGAUAAACUACGAUUUGUAUUUAUCAUGAUACAAAUAGACACAAAUAGUAUUCUAUUAUUACAGUGAUAUUUUACUAUAUUUUAAAAAUAUUUUGGUGAUAUUUUGCUAUAAUUAAAAUUAAUCUGAUAAUAUAGGCUAUGGGUGAUGGCCUAAUUGUGUAAUAUUUUAAUUGAAAUAUUUAAGACAUGAUUUCAUGCUUAAAUCAUCCUUUGUAAAUGUACAUAUAGUGCUAUUAGUUGGUAAGGUAAGAAACGGAUUAAAAAAAAUGUGGCCACAAAAGUCUACAAGGAUUAUAUAUGGUAUAUGCCAUAUUGACCUUUGACUAUUUUUGUGUGAUAAUUAACAAUGUAUGAAUAAAAAUCCUAAAACUUUUUGACCACGAGACGUUACCAUUAAUUAGUUCCAUCCUAGCUAAACAUGACCACUAAAUGUGUGUAUAUACAAUUUUGAGCAACAUGGUAAAUGUGUAUCUAAUCAUUAGAAAAUAUAUGGAAUUUAUUAAAAAAAAAUAUUGUAUUUUUGAAAUGUCACGAUGCAAGAUUCUUAAAAAAAACCAUUCUGGUGCCAAUUAGAUCAUAUUUGUAUUUUUUUUAAAAUCAAAAGAUUAUAGGUUGAAGUUUAGUUAUUUAAAUUACACACAAGGGUUUGGAUUUGAAAUUGUGUAAUUUUUUAAUAUUUCAAACUCUAAGUCGAUCGUAGGUUGAAGAGUGGCUUUUGGGUGUAAACUUGAUGCGAUGUUUUAGUAUUCUUUUAGAAAAAUAAUUUAAUUUAAUUUUCUUUAUCAAAUUUGAGUUUUGGUUAGAAAAUGUGACCUUUUAAACUCUUUUUUCUUUUUUUCUUUCUUUUUUUCUUUUUUUUUUAUUUUCUUUAUUUAUCAAACUCUAAAUAGUUUGCACGUUGAGAAGAUGUCAUUUUUUUUUUUUAUUAUUUGUUUUUUGGAAAAAGGAAAUUGUAUGUUCAAAUUCUGCAAUCUUUUGAUUCUUUUAAACAAAAACACCAACCUGUGGUCUUUUUAAGAAGUUCACACAUCAUCUCUCUUUGAAAGUAUAAUUUUUUUAAUUGUUUGAAUCUUACAUAACUUUACAAACUAUCGUCAAACUUGCAAUAUUUUUUUAAAAAUCCUUAGAAUAUGUGGCUUCAAUAUAGUUCUUCGUCCACUCUAAAAUUAUAAUUUAUUACGAAUUUGUAUUUGUAUUAUUAUAUAUUACUGUUUAUUUUAUGUUCUUUUAUCAUUUUUAUCUGAAGUUCAUUCUUAUACAUACAACCAUCAGACCCUCAAAUAGAUGAUGAUAUGUUAUGGACGGAAGAGUAUCUCUUCUCAUAUUUCCAUAUAUUGUUUAGUAUAUGAAGUUCUAUUUGAUGUUAUGGACGGAAGAGUAUCUGAAGUUCAUUCUUAUACAUACAACCAUCAGACCAACUUGGACUCUUAUUGUUUCAAGGUUGUCAAUCUUUUAAUUUGUGUUGUAAACUUUACUAUAAUCUUUUUUCAUUUUCUCGGUUAAAGAAAAUAGUAAUAAUAUUUUUCAAAAGCUGAAGCUAGUGAUUGAAGGCAAAUUUAAUAUCCUCCCAACUUGUGAGCUUGAAAUAUAAAAAAAGAUAUCCAACAAGUGGCCAUCAAUAUCUAAUGGAGAGGAAAUAACAUUGCAAGGCUUGAACAUAAAACUUCUCUAGACCACCUAAUCUGAUACCGUCUUAAAUUACCAAUUCUUCUAAAGUUUAAACUAGUGCACUGAUUAAAGUAUAAAUUUAAUAUAAUAUCUAAUACACUUUACAUAUUAUCAUUUGCUAAUAAAGUAGUGUAUUUUAAUUGACUUUUUUAAAUAUUUAAAUAAAUGAAGUGUUUAUAUGUAAAAAGAUUGUCUAUGAAGCUUAAUAAUCCAAAUACAAUCUUAUAAUUUAAUUGACCUUCUAUCUUUUGGUUAUCUUUGAAAGGUUGGAAGAAGUACAUAGGUAAAAAUUCAAUAGGAUAUUUAAAAAAUAGUUUAAUAAACUAAAAUAUUUAUGAUAUAUAUAGGAGAAUUUUAGAUCCUACUAGCGUAGACAUAUAUAGAAUAUGAAAUUUUGUUAUAUAAAUAUUUUCAAUAUCAACCAUUUAUUGUUUAUCAUUAUUUUUAUAAUAUUUUCAUAUUGUAAAUAAAUGUCCCACCAAAACAACACAUAAAUAGAUAAAACAACCAUAUAUGUAUGCAUGUAUAUAUGUAGGAAAGUUAUCUAUAAUUGUGAUAUAGACUACGAUAAAUCAAGAUAGAGUAGUAUACCAUAGAUAGAAUGUGAUAUUUUACUAUAUUUUGAUUCAUUUUGUUAGGUUAGAAAAUAUUACUAGAUAUAUAAAUUAAAAUUAUUAUUUUUGGUGGAUAUAUAAUGUGAAAAAAGCAUAUGUUUGUAUUUGAUUUAUUUAGCUGUCGACAGACAAUCAUGUUCGUACAAUUUCUAUUUCUGUUUGUACUUAAUAGUUAUAAUCAAUAAAUACAAUUAGAAUUAAAACAUGGUUAUAAAGUUGAAUUAUUCAAAAAGAAAAACAAAAAGGUUGAAAUUCAAAGUUAUGCAGCUCAAAGCCUCAAACCCAACAAAACACAUCAAAUAUAUAUGCGUGAAUGGAAUCCACUCAAUUAAUUUUUCAAUAAUAUUUAUUUUCUUAAUAUGCCUUUUUCAUUAUUAAUGUUUUACACUAUUUAUAAUUAAUUAUUUGUUUCUUUUUCAAUUUUGCCCCUCUUGUUGACUGCUCAAAUAUAAUAUUCAAGUGUGAAAUGAAAAGUCAGCAGAUUUUUAAUGCCAAUUUGGUAACUACUUCCUUUAUUUCUUUUUAAAAAUUACAUCUAUUUGAAAAUAAUUCUUAAUCAAAUUUAAAAAAAAACAAAAUUUUAAAAGUUAUACUUUUUAAUUUAAAAAAUUAGCUUGAUUUUUUAUAUUAUUAAUAAAAAGUAGAUAACAAAAAAAGAAAACAAAAUGAUUUUUAACGUUUGAAGGCAUAAGUAAUGUUUUGUAAAAUUAAUUGUAAAAAAAAAUAAAAAAAAUGAUUACUUGUUAAGCAUCUAGCACAACAUAACUAGAUUGAAUUUUAUUAGUUUUAUUCUGGAAUAAAAUAAAAUAAUUUUAUAAUUGAGAUUUUUUUAAAAAAUAUAACAAAUCCGUAAAAUAUUUAGAACAAUUUUAAAAACAAAAAAAAAACCUAUAUACUCAUAAUGAAAAAUACCAACAAUACUUCAGUCAAUAAGCGAUUAAUCGACCACACGCGUGUGCAAGUAAUCUCAUUCUAAAUGAUAGUGUACUACAGUUUAAGCGAAUGAUCUACGAUCAUUUAAGUCAUAAUACACGAUCAUGUAUUUCCUUUUAACGAUGAAAAAAACUUUAAAUUUAAAUGAUCAUGUUGACGAUGGUAAAUGAUCAUGUUGAUAAUUUAAAACGAUAUUAAUUUAAAUGAUCUUUGAUAUUCUCGGAUACGAAGAAGAUGAAGAAAAAAUAUUGAAACAAUAUUGAAAUAGCUUUGAAGAAUAAUCUUGUCAAAAAUAAUGAAAGUAAAAUAGGAGAUUUAAAUUGAUGAAUAAAUUGUUUUAAAAUAUAAGGAAGAAAAUCUAGAAGAAGAAGAGAUAAGGAAUUAAGAAAUUCGAAAGGAGGAAGAAGGAAAAGAAGUGACAAAUUAUUCACGAUAUUUAAGAACAAAUCUAAAAAAUAUAAAAAAUAUUUUACCGACUUUAUCAGCUUUGGAUUUUUUUUACGCCAGCUUUAGAUAUUUUUUGAUUUUGUUAUUAAAUUAUUCUUUAUAAUUAUUGUUUAUUUAAUAAAAUCAAAUAAUUUUAGGUGGGAGAUUAUUUAUUAUAUUUAGGUGGGUGAUUAUUUAUUAUUUUUUUAAAAAGUUACAUACACAAUAUCAAUAUAUUAAAUGAGUUGACUGGUCAUAAAUAAAAUGGAGAGAAAUUACCGAUUAAGCUUAAUAUUAUCUCAAAAUAUAAGAAAAUAAUUUUAUUUUGAGAUAGUCGUAAAUUUAGUCAUUAGAUUCAAAAUAAUUAAAUAUUUAACAACAUUUUAAAAAAAUUGUAAAUAUAGCAAAAUUUGUCAAAUUUUAUCAAUGACAGAAGUCUAUUCUGAUAGACCAUGUUGUAAAUAUUGAUAUAUCACUGAUAGACCAUACGAAUCUAUCAUCGAUACAAGUUUAUCGACGAUAGUUUUGCUAUAUUUACAAUUUUUUUAAAUGUUGCUAUAUCAUUAAUUAUUAUUCAUAAAAUAGCCAUCAAUUACAAUUAUCCUUUUAUUUUUGUAAGAACAAAUUACAAGACAUUAAGGAUACACGAAAAAUUGAAUCGAACAAAAAAAAGGAGCACGCUCAUGAAGAAUUGAGGUUUUUCUCUUUUAAAAAGAAGUAAAAAGAAAAUCUCACGUUAAAUUGAGGUUUUCUAAUUUACAAUAGAUAUCAUAUAUUUUCUUUCUCAUAUUUUACGAACAUUAAACUUUCAAUUUUAUAGUUUUACUAGUGAUUUUGGAUCAAAUGACAUAUAAUAUAAAUUAUAUAAUUGACAUAUUUACAAAGGACAAGGUUAAAAGGAAGCAUGAUAUAUGCUAAAAGUAAUAACUAAAUUAAAGAUUAAAGUAGGUCUAAUAAAGGGUUGACUUAGGUUGGGUUGGGUUGAGCUAAACUAAAACCAACAGCCUUGGUCGAGAUUAACUCUAGCCAAACGUCCAAUAAAACACAUUUUAAGCGUAUACCUCAACCUAAAAUAACACUUUAAGCUAGAGCAAGAUAUAACCUAAGAAAAACGCUCAGUCGAGGUCGAGACUAAGGUCGACCUAGUUGACCUUAGCCAAACACGAAACUAGGCAUACCCUUUAGCUUAGUUGGUUAUUUAAUUAUAUAUAAAGUGACCAGAAACCUUAGGAAAUACCUCAAGUAAAUUUUUUCUAUAAAUAUAUCAUAAUAACCUCAUAUUAGUAAUGAAAACUCGACUUUCAAACUUUCUCUAGCUUUCACACUUCUUUUAUCACUCAUGGACUUAAGUACCAUACAUGUGUGCAUGUUUUCUAUACAUAUAUCAUAUAAUGACUUCAUAUGAAGUAACUUGAGUUUGACUCCCAAACUCUUACUAGCUUCUACACUUUUUGAUUACUCUCGUUUAAGCAUUAUAGUGUGUGUGACAAGCACCAGACAUAUAUAUAUAUAAUUUUUUUCAGAUCAUGUUUUUUUUUCUUUUAAAAAAAUUUCUAUUCGUGUUAUGAGAACACGAGUCCAAAAUUUGGCAUUAUCAAUAUACAUGUAUAUAUUGGUGUUAAAAAAAGAGUGAAACAAACAAAAAAAAAAAAAGAUUUCAUUUGCCAUUAAAUUUUGUAUAAAAAGUGAAGAACAUUGUAACAAAAUGGAAAAUAAAUUAGAGUGAAACAAAUUGCAGCAGCCAGGCUAAAAAUGUAGAAAAUCUCAAUACCCUAACAAAAAGUUGUUUUUAAAAGCAUUUUUUAAUCUUUAAAAUUUCUUAUAGUUUUAAAACCAAUUUUAAAUUGAAAAAAGAAAAAGAAAACUCAAUCAAAUACCAAAUAAACAUUUUUUCUUUUUAAUUUAUAAAAACUAAUUAGUUCAAACCAUCCAUUUUUGAAUUAGGUUUGUAGGGUGAUAAGUUUAAUUGUUGUAUUUAAUAAUUGAGAUCUAUGAAAUUAAAAUUACUUAAUUAUUAAUAAUUGAUAAAGUUUUAGCAAUUAACUUCACAACCCUUUCUAAAUAAAUAUUUAGAGAAGUAGAUUUAUAAAAAUUUUGGACAAAUAAGAUUAGUAAAUUUAGAGAAAAAUUAAAAAGAAAUGCCAACGAGUUUGAAGGUGAAAUUAUUAAAAAGUUAAAAGUGUACAAAUUAGAAAAUGCCAACAAAAAAGACAUUCAUAUGUUAUAUUUGUUUAUUGGCAGAGAAAAUGUGUUUUAUUAAUUGGCCAUAGAAUUUCUUGCUACUUGCAAUAUUUAUAUUGGGCCAAGUCAAUUUUUUGUGGCCAAAUUGGGUUUCUUUUUCAUUUUAUCUUUUAUGCAAUGUGUUUAAAGAAUAUUAAAAUAAGAUAUUCUAAAAAGAAUAUAUAUAUUAAAACAAGAAUAUUUGAUCUUACAUGUUCAAUAAAUGACAUAUUAGAUCAAUUUAAAGUUUAGUCUAAUAAUGACAAAUCAAUACCUUAAAGACCAAGUUAAAAAUAUCUAACAACAGAUCUACCAUUGGAAUUUGGCUUGACCCCUCCAACUAUAUGCUUUAUAUUAUAUAAUUGUGUGUAUAUAUAUAAUUUUAUUAGAAAAGAUCAGAAUUUCCUCAAGGGUUAACAUUAGCCGGCGGAUCUAUAAUUAUCGAAAUGAAAUGGAUAGAUUGCUAAUAUCAAAAUUCUAGAUGAUGUACUACCCAACCAAAACUUGUCAUGUACAAUGUUACAACAGUAAAACAAGUCACAAAUCUAGAAAGUUAUAUAGAGGCUCUAUAAUAUAAAUGUAAUUAACUUUUUUAAUAAAGAAAUGUAAACCAAUACUCAUUCAUUCAUGUGUUAAUUGAUUUGAUACACUGUAGCUAUCUCGACGCUUUUUCAUGUUAAAAUCAAUUCAUGAUAACCUUAUUAUCUAACUUAUAUUCAAUAAAUAUUUUUCAAUAUAUGCUAUAAGAUAAUAUAUGCUACGAUUUUAAUUUUCAUUGUGCAAUCAAGUCUUCACAACAUUCAUGCAAAAAAGAAAAAAAGUUCUCUACAGUAAUUGUACGAUAGGUAAAAUCAACGUCGAGGUGUGAGCAAUUGAUAAACAAAUGGAUAUACCUCAUCCCUUUUUGUCAUAUGAAACCAUUUUUUAUGGGAGAACACAUGUUUUUUUUAUUCAACCAACUCAAUACCUGAACAUAUAUAUCAACAUAGUGUAAUUUUAAAGUUAAUUCUAUUGCACAGAGAGUUUAAUAGCUAAAAAUCUCUUGGAUAACACUACAAGAAAUAGGGAUAGCCCGACACAUUUUCUAACAUCAGGACAAGGGUCAUUGGUUGUCAAAAAAUAGUAUAUCCGCUGAAGUUGUAAGGUUUGUGUCGGCAAAUUCAAUGUUUCCCGACAUUACGACAUCGUACACAUUCACGUCGGAGAAAGGAAAACAAUUAAAUAAUAAUUUUCUUUUUCCCGGUGCCAUGCAUAUACACGUUAGGAAUAGCCAACUAUUCCCAACUUUAAAAUUUACGGCAUUGGGAGAAAGAAAACAAUUAAAUAAUUAGUUGGCUUUUACUCGACGUCAUGCAUUGAACGUUGGGAGAGUAGGGGGCAAUAUUUUCGACGCCAUUAAGUAACACGUCAGAACUAGUUGCUUUUACUCGACGCCACGCACGGGACGUUGGGAAUAUGGAAGAAAAUAAUAGCUCAAAUUGUAUUUAAUUUUUUUGUUGGUGUAUUUUUAUAGGUUGAUAUAUGGAAUGAAGUUUUGCAUACCUAUGGAGAUGACAAUUCACCUUAAUAAAAUGUGUUAGGAAACAAAAUACAAAAAUCAAUUAUAAGAUGGAACUUGUGAUAUUUUAGCUAUCAUGAUAUACUGUUUUGUAGCUGUCAUUUAGGUUUUGUUAAAAUAUUAUCGAUGACUUUGUUUGAUAUGAAUGUAUGAAAAUGAUUUGCUUAAUUAAUAUUCAUUUGAGUUCUAAAUUUUAGGUUACAAACACACAAAAAAAAAAAAAAAGAACAAAACAAAAAACACUUGUAAAAAUAGUAAAAUAAUAAUAAUAAUAGGGCCUAGUCAUUACAUUUUCUAAACUGUAAAAGUUAGCAAAUUUAAAAGUCGAUAAUUCUCUGAUAGUCAUACAAUAUCACUAAUUAAUUGUCAUAUUUUUUAUAUUCGUAAUAUGCAAAUAAGAGAUGUCAUAGACUGUUUUUUUAAAAUGUUUUUGUCAUCUAAUGCAAUUUCUCAAAUAAAAAUAAUAAUAGAAGAUAUUUUAAAAAAGUUCUAUCAAACUUUCGACGACUUUUGACGGAUAUUAUUCACCUGUUGGGAGAUCCCUAACUCUUGAUGGUUGAAAUUUGAGCGUCGAGAAAUAGUAUCCUGACGGGCAUAUAUAGACCAAACUCUUGAUGGUAGUCUUGGCGUUGGGAGUUCAAUUUCUGACACAUUUUUUUUAUCAUUUUCCGACGAUUUCAUGCAUCGGGAAAUGGUGUUUUCUUAUAGUGUAUAUGAAGAAAACAUUGUAAUAAAACUAGUUAAAGUGUUGUUAUGUGAUCCCCGUUGAGAAUUUGCAUGCUGAUUGUUUAACCAUCGUCUUUUGAUUCAUUCCUCGUCCCCUUGAUAUUUCACCAUUAUUUUCAGGUUACAAAAAUUUUAUGUCAUGUUUCUCUAGUACAUGUAGAUAAAAUCUACGAGAGAAACAUCUAAUGUCUCAAUAACAAUCACUACAUUUAUUUGUAUAUAUAAAAAAAAAAUACUAGCAAUUUUAACAUGUUUUUUUGCGGCAGCAAUAAGAGCUAAUUGAAGUUGAUGGGAAAAAUACUGAAUGUAAAAAUGCAUCUUCAAAAUAAGUGCUUUCAAAUCCGUUAAACUCACCUUGCAUAUUACUUGCUUCAUCAUAUCUUUGUCCUCGCAAAUUUGAAAUACUUAAUAUCCAUGCUAAGAAAAAAUUAAAAAGCAUCCAUUGUUUUCUUAAGUGAUAGAGCACUUGUUUUGUUGACAUGCAUGAUUCCAACAAAUCAUUCAACCACGUGACAUGACAUUUAUUUACAUAUCUUAUUACAAUUAACAUCUAAGAUAUAUCUUUUGAUUCAAGAUAGAAAAUUGCUUCUCAAUCAUAUCUCUUAUAACCAUUAAUCAAGAUACAAAAUUGCUUCUCAGUCAUAUCUCUUAUGACCAUUAUCAAUUUCGACUGAAAUAUAAUUCAUUUAUCUUUUUGAAAAUCAGGUGCAAUUAAUUUUAAAUUAUUCGAAGAAAUGCAAGCCCUUGUCUUAAUAAUAAAAAUUGUAUACAAUCAAUUGAUGCACCUAAUCAAGUUUUGAUACUCAACUCGUGUUUGGUUCAAACAUUUAAUUCAUAAAAGUCUCAAUACGUUGUUUUUUUGUUUCAAGAGAACCUCACACUAUCCAAAGCUUGAUUGUGUGCACUAUUAUAUAUGGUGACCAAUAGGUGUUUGUAAUUUAUCUUUUUUUUCUUCCAAUUAGAAAAUCAUUCCAUUACAUAAAACAAUCACCGAUCCUUUGCUUUCUUUCUGUUUUGAACAAGUAAAAAUACAAACAAUACGUGACAUCAUUUGAAAUGUUGUAUAAUAAACCAAUUAGAAUAUUCCUUACCGCACACAGAAUUAAAUCAUAUUGGCUUUGAUCUUAAUUUCGGAAAAGUAUGAUUUUCAAAUUGACAAAAACAUUUUUGUAAAUAUGCUCUAUAAACUUCAUCUUGAAUAUUACAAUUAUAAUUGAAAAUUUUAGUUCUUAGACUAGGAUUCCACUAGUAUUCCACUAGUAUUUCUUUUAAGAGAUAUUUUUCUUGUUUGGAAAUGACGACUUCAUAAUUUCUAUCUUUAUUGUUAGGUUUCUUUCAAAAUAUCAUUUCAUAUUGAACUAGAGUUAAUAACAAUUUUAAAUUCUAUACAUAAAACUAAAAAUAUAUAUAAUAACUAAAGAGUUCAAGAAUUUAAAACUUGUUAAUAAUAUGAUAUUAUAACGUGAUGAAUAAUAAAUAAAUUAUCUUGUAAUUUAACUCUAUAACUAACAUAUGUGUGUAUCUAUGCAUAAUGUGAACAUUUAAAUUACAUAUUAAAAGAAAGUAAAUGUUAUUGUUGAGAAUCGAGAUUGAAUUUUUUUAUCAAAAUGUUGAAGAAAAAAACAUUACACAUACAUUAGAGAAACGGUCCAGUUUUAUGAUUAUUUUCGUAACUAAUGAGACUACCUUCCAACCUAAAAUCAAGGUUAUAUUUUUAUUUAUUUUAAUUAGAUAUUUAUAAUUUAUUAAAAAAACUUUCUAGUUUAUCCCAUAAUAAAAUCAAGGUAUUAUGGACUAAUCAUCGUGCAGAAGAGGCCACUUGGGAGAAUGAAGAACAUAUAAGACUAAAGUAUCCUCAACUUUUCUCUUCAACUAACAAAUUUCGAGGACGAAAUUUCAAUAAGGAGGUAGUAAUUGUAAGGCUCAAGUCACGAAGUUACCUUACGCGAUAAGAAGCACGACACGAUAAGGAGACUACACAGAGAACCCUCACUGCAGUAUCGGCUUACUUCACCAGAAAGUAACAUCAUUGCCCACGUAAGAAAAACUCGGUGAACGAUUUGACCUUGCAGUCCAAUAUGAAUCUAAGAUAAUGAAAUGGCAAGACAUGUGGCAUUCUGAAAUUGGAUCUCUUCUCGCCGCCGACAAUAAUAAUCAGUACAACAUGAGGAACCUCCACUAGAAAAAGGCUAUAAAAAGAGAAAAUCACAGUCAUUUUUUGUUGAUCUUACCCAAGCUUUCAAAAAGAGAAAUAUUGGAGAAGUUUGGGAGCCUUUGAAGAUUCAAAUCCAAUCGGAAUUUGACAAGGGCUUGCAAGCUAGUACAAGGAGAACUUUGAGUAAAGGACCCAACGCAGAAGCUAGCUGUUGAGUUUGUUAGUGGUUACUUUUUUAGUAAAAAAAUUUAUAAACUUCGUUGAAUGAAUCCUCAAACGUGCAUCUUUGAAAAUUUUGUUUAUAUAUUUUUUUCUUAAAUUUUCCAAUUCCAAAAUACACCGGUUUAUGAUGAGUUAGAAGGAGAUGAUCAUACCACACAUUGGAGGUGACUGUAGCAUGAUUUAAAGGAUGCAUGUGGUGAGUUACCUCAUAAGUAAAAGAGCGUAGGUAAAUGAAUUUCUUGAGGAAAAAGUACUUAAAAAUAUUCCUUCUAAACUUGUGGUUUUGCAUAAUACGUGUGUAAAUCUAAGUAUGUUAUAGUGUCUUAUUGUUAUCUGGAAAGAGUACAUGAAAAUUGUUAAGAAUUGAAUUAAGAUGACCUUUAUACCCUACGUGAUAUGAUACUCCAUUCUUGUUGUGUGAUCUGGAAUGGAAUACCAUAUUCAUACUGUUGCGAUCUUGGAUAUGAUCCCUCAUACUUGUUGUGUGAACUAGUAUGAGAUGCCUUUUUCUUGUUGUGGGAUAUGGAAUUGGAAAACCCGCUACAGGUAAUAAAAAUUGACAAAACUUGCUAGUGGUGUUGAGUUUACUCUGUAUGAUUGCAAAUUGACAAAAGAGAGUGGUAAAAGCUUGAGCCAAGGUGAGGGUACAAAUAUUGAAUUAAUUUCGCGGUAUGAUUUUGCAAACUCACCAUGUGAUAUGCGAGAAGACACACGAUACGACACUACUACAAAAACAGACUUUUUUUACGUUUGCAAUUUUCCUUUUUUGACGUUUUUAAAAAAAACGUCAAGAAAGAUUUUAUUUUUAAUAAAAAACGUCAAGAAAUUUUCUGAAACAUCUUUCUUGACGUUUAUUAAACGUCAAGUAAAAUAAAUUUUCCCUUGACGUUUUUAAAACAUAAAAAAUAUCUAUUAAUUUUUUGACGUUCUUAAAACGUCAAGAAGCGUAUGAAUUCGACAUGCUUGACGUUUCUUAAACGUGAAUAAUUUAAAAUUUUACUUGACAGUUUAAAAACGUCAAGAAAUUUAUAAAACAUUCUUGACGUUUUUAAAACGUCAAGACUAUUCUAAAAAUUUCUUGACGUUUUUAAAAACGUCAAGGAUUUUUUUAUAAAUUAUUUGUAAAACGACGCCGUUCCAUUUAAGUUCAUUUUUUCUUUUCUAAAACCUAAUUUGCUGCGCGUUCGAAGGGAGGCUUCUUCAGAAUCUCAAGUUUUUGCAUUCGUCGUUUGUCGUUCUCCCCUUCGAGCUUUCACCGUUCACAUUCUCCCUUUGUGCAUUCGUUCAUUCACCGUUCGAAACUCGUAAUCACCUUCUCUGUUCGAAAACACGUAACACAUUCACCUAUGUUCGAAAACGCGUGAAUACAUUCACCGGAAAACCUCCAUUUGUCUCCAAUUCUUGUGUAAAAGGUAAUAAUUUCCCUUUUUUCCUCUGUGAUUAGAACUUGUAAUCUGUAAUUUAAAAUUGGAAUGUGUUUAUUGCGAUUUUUUCCUUUGUGAUUAAAACUUAGAAUCUGUAAUUUCAAAUUGAAAUGAACAUUCUGUUCAGAAAUAGGGCUUGUUUAUUGUGAAUUUCUCACAUUAAUUUACUAUGUUGUGGCAUUGGGAAUUAAUUAGUUUAUGCUUAAAGUAUUUGAGAGAAGUUUUUAGUAAGAGUUUUAGGGAUCCUUCGCUAAAAAACCAUCACUUAUCUGAUUUUCUGAGUAAGAGAUUUGCAGAGCUUCUAUGGUGAUAUGAGUUAUUUUUUACCUUUUAGGAGAAAUUAGAUGUUUCAUAGAUUUUAAUUGUGUUUGGGAUGUUUUUAUUUAAUUCUAGGGUAUUUGGGCUUUAACGAAAAUUGUAUUGAUAGGGUAGUAGUAUUUAAGACAUUGCUCUAGCUAUUUUUUUUUCUAAAUUUUUAUGUUUUGUUAUUUUAUCAAUUUAAAAAUAAAUUUGUCUUUUAUCCAAAGUGAACCUCAUAUUUUGUUAUUCUUCUUGUUAGCCCUUGUAAUUAUGGGGUUUCAACUACUAUGGCUUAAAAUGGUAUACAUAUCACAAGAUUAAUCCAAAUUUUCUAAUUUUUUUAGAAAUGUUCUAUGGGCUAAUAUUUUACACAAAUAUAGGACCUAAAUGAAACCAAUUUAUCCAUCUUUAUUAUUAAUAAUAUAUUAAAAAAUAAAAAAAGGAAAAAAGGAAAGUGAAUCAUAAAUAAGAUUUGCAUUUAUUAGAUAACCUAUGUAAAAAUUCAAGUGAUUAUAAUCAAAAUUACCUCUUAAUUAUUUUUCUUUUAUGAUUUUGUUCAAAAAUUAUUUCCUCCCGAUUUCUCUCUCACCUUUCAAUCUCUCUUUCCAUUCAUUCUUUCUUUCGUUUUGCAUUAUUUUUCAUAUAUUCAACAUAAUUAUAUAUAUUGAAUAAUAAUAUAUAUAUUAUUUUAAUAAUGGAAGAUUUUGAUAUCAAUUUGUUUAUAUAUUUUAUUUAAAAUAUUGAUAUCUUAUAUAGUAAAUAAUAUGUUAUAUUUGAAACAAUAGUGAUUAUGUAUGAAAGUUGUUUAUGUUUAAGGGAACAAGGAUGAGAAAAAAUUAUUAUGAGUAUAUGUAAUAUAUAUCAUUAAAACAUUAGUUGUUCUCUAAUAUAUUUAAUGUUGAGGAAAAUACUAAAUAUGUUUGCAAUGCAGAGACUUUGAUGAAAGAAUUGAAAAUCGAUGGAAUUGUACGAAAAAAUGGUCGAAUGGAGAUGAUAUGUUAAAUUAGUUUAUGAAUAAUAUAUAUUAAAUAAUACAUUAUAUAUUUUAUGAAUGAAAUGGUAUGUUAUCAACUUGUUAAAUUGGUUUACAUAUUUUAUUUCAAAUACUCAUACUAUAUAUAAUAAAUAAUAAGUUAUGUUUGAAUGGUAGUAUAUUAAAUAUAAUAAAUUGAGGAACUUUGAUAAGUACAUUAGAUAGAAAUUUAUGGAAAAAUAUGAAAAUAAAAUAAUUUAUUUAAAAACUGGAAUAUGAAUAUUGAAAUAAAAGUUUGAAACAACCUACAGAAAGUCUAAUAAUAAGAGGAAAAAACCAGUUCAAUAAGAAAAACUUGCAUCUCUUUCAGUUAUGACCAACAUGUCCACAAUGAUCACAUUUAACACAUCUCUUAAAGUCCAUUUUAGAAAGAAUUCUAAUUUUCUUUGGUCGACCAACUGAACGUUUUACAUUCGGUGGGAGGAUGACAACUUCAAUUUUUGUAUUAUUGAAUAUAUACAGUAGUAUAUUUGUAACAAAUCACAUAAUAUAAAUGUAUAAUGCAGUAGUAUAUACUACAAGAAAAGUGGUCUACGACGACAAUUAUUUUCUGUCGUGAAUAAAAUCCGUGACAGUUAUUUACACUCAUCGAAGCGGGAGUCAUGGAAAGUUAUUCUAUGAUAGUUUUCAAAAACUGUCACAAUAAGUUUUUUCAUGACAGAAAAUAAAUGUCGUUAAUUACUAUUUUAUGAUGACAAAUAACUGUCAUAUUUUAUAUUAUGACAACAAAUAACUGUCAUAUUUUAUAUUAUGACAACAAAUAACUGUCAUAAUUUUCGUAUUAACGACAGUUUAAAAAUGUCACAAAUUCGUUUAUUAUGACAUUUUUUAAAUGUCAAGGAUAUGUCAAUCGUGAUAGUUAUUUUAGAAAUUAAAUAUCAUUGUGCUGCUAUUGACGACAUUUUUUUCCUAUCAAAUAUAGGACAAUCAUGACAAUUUUUCUUAUAAAAAAAUGUCAUUGUUUUAAUAUUGACGACAAUUCUGGAGUGUAACGAACUCAUAUAUUAUGACAUUUAUUUCAUGUUGCCAAUUCCUUAAUUACUAUCGUUUUUCCUUGUUCUCCAUGUCGCUUCGCCAUUACACGAACCAUUUGAAUGACAAUAAUGUUAUAAUGCAUAACACCCAUAUAGAAACAAAUGGUCGACACUUCUAAUAUAAUAUAUGCUAUAAUACAAUUUGUAAUAUUCGUAUAUUUUCAAUCAAGUUUGAAUAAUUUAAAGUAUGUAAAAAAACAAUAUAAAACAUAAAUAAUUUUUUUUUUACUAUAUACAAAUGUAUAUAUUAAUAACAUCAUCUGUGUAUUGCAAUGAUAUAUAAUGAAAUUCAACUACAAUUAAUGUAUUAUUGAAUAUACGUAGUAUAUAUAUAAGGUACUGAAAAUUUAUCAUAUAUUAUUAGGAUUUUAACUAAGAUUUAUGUAUUACCAUAAACUAUUAGUAGUAUAUAAGAAGGUAUUGAAAUUCAAAUAUGAAAGAAUAUAUGAUAAAACAAUGAACUUAUAUAUUAAAGAAAACAUUGAACUUAUAUAUUAAAGAAAACAAUGAACUUAUAUCUGCCACUAAGUACGUAUUAUUAUAUAUAUACAGAUGUAUAUACGAUAAAAUGAAUUAUAUAUUAUCAAAUAUAUGAAGUAGUGUAUAUGUAACAAAUCACAUAAGAUAUAUGUAUUAUGCACUACUAUAUAUAUAAUAAUUAAAAAAAAUAUUGAUCCAUUACAUAAUGUGUGUGAAAUGAUAUAUAAAUUCAGUAUGAAAAAAUUACAAAAAAAAGAAAACUAUGAAUGUAUUAUUGAAUAUAUGAGUAGUAUAUAUAAAACAAAACACAAAACAUAAAUGUAUUAUUUAGUAGCAUGUGUAGAAGAUAAAAUAAAAAUACAGAACAGAUAUAUAAUCUGUGUAUGAAGUGGUAUACCGAACAUGAAACGAAGAUAUGCUACUAAAUGGAAGAAGAAACAACAAUAUUUUUUAGAAGAAACAACAAUAUUUUUUAGAAGAAACAACAAGCUAGGAAACUUUAUAAAUAAUAUAAGUUUUGAAAAAUGAACGAAAAAAUAAAGACAAACCGAUUCAAAAUUACCAAAUAGAAAGGAAAAAAUAGAAUAAAAACAGAAAUCGAAAAAGAAAUUCAAAGUCGGAAUUCACGAUGGCUUGAAAAAAACUUUUGGUUUAAGCAUUAAAUUGAAAAUAGUUAUAAUGAAUGAUGAUUAAAAAUAUUAUUACCACACAAAUUAUAUAAUUUAUACCUAAAUUAUUGCAAAGGUAAUACAUUAAUAAAUAUAAAUAUAUAUAAAUUAAUAAUUAAGGAAGUUAAAAUUAAUAUAAUAAAUUUGGUGGUUGAUAAUUAAGGAAAAUAUUCUUUAACAUUUUUAAAAAUAAUUAUUUUCAAAUAAUUAGAUAAAUUUUAAAAUGAUCCUAAAAUACCACGAUUUUCUACCUACGAUAAUAAUUGAAAAAUUAAGGCAUUUGCAUACUCAAUUAAGACAUUUGUGUAUUUUGUUUUCUCUAAAUCUUUCUAUAAUGGGUAAUUAUAAUUUAUGGUCAUUUUAGCAAUAAUAAUUAAGGAUAUAAUAAGAUUUAAAUUUUUUCGCAAAUAUAGCAAAAUUAUCGGUGAUAGACUUGUAUCAGUGAUAGACUUGUAUUGCUGAUAGACUCGUAUAGGUUUAUCAGUGAUAGACCAAUAUUUGCAACAUGAUCUAUCAGUGAUAGACUCCUAUCAUUGAUAUAAUUUGACAAAUUUUGUUAUAUUUGUAAUUUUUUUAAAAAUGUUGUUAUAUACUUAACUAUUUUGAAUUUAAUUGUUUUGCAACUAUUUCUUCUAUAACUAUUUAAGAUUAUUGGAUCCAAGUUCAAGUCCAAGUCCAAGCCCAACAAAUAACUAGCGCAUGAAAAUCUUAUUAGAGCCAUUACCCCUAGAAAAGAAAAAGUUAGAAAGAACUUAAGGCGAAAAACACUCAAAAUUUAAAGUCUUUAUUAAAUUUCUAGAGAUUUAAUUUGAAGACAAUAACUAUGGACAACAUUUGAAAAAAAUAACUACUCUCAAGCUUUUGAGAUAAGAUACAACUCCGAUCCUCUCAAGUUCCUAAGAUCUAAAAAGUACCAACACUUUUGAAAUUCUUUUAAGUUAUAAAUUCUAAAGAUCGUUAAGCAAUUCAAAAACUUAGAGACCGAUCUAAACGAUCAUCUGGUCUAAAGAUCAUUCAUUGAAGAAAGAUCAACAAGUUCAAAAACCAGUCUUCUAAGAACACUUUUGAAAUUCUUUUAAGUUAUAAAUUCUAAAGAUCGUUAAGCAAUUAAAAAACUUAGAGACCGAUCCAAACGAUCAUCUAGUCUAAAGAUCAUUCAUUGAAGAAAGAUCAACAAGUUCGAAAACCAGUCUUCUAAGAGAUAAACAAGCCUAAAGGUUUGAUCAUUCAGAAAGAUCAUCAAAUCCAAAAGUCAAUUAUUAAAAAGGAUCAAUAAAUUUAAAAUAUUAAAAAAAAAUCAAUAAAAAGAAUCAAAUGAUCAUGUAUUAGAGAUUGCAUUCAUUAUAAUAUAUUAAAAUUAAUAUAAAUAUAAAGUUUAAAAUUCAUAGCUUUAAGUUUCUUCGAAAAUCUUAUCCAACAAUGAUAAAAUAAAAUAACAAAGAUUAAAAUAAGAUAGUUCGGUCCUCCACAUUAAAAAAUUGUAAUUAUUUAACUUAUAAAAUUAGGAAUGAGAUGUUUUUAUAAUUUUUUUCAAAGGUAUUGUAAUAAAUGCUGGAGUGGAGAUUUGAACCUAGGACUUUUUGUCUACAGGAACAUAGAGGUGUCAGUUGAACUAAGCUCAUGUUGGUAAUUAGACUUUUAGAGGAUAAAAAUGGAGAUUUAAUUUGAAAUUAAAUGGUUAUAAAUUUCAAAUAUAAGAAUCAAAUUAUUUGUAGUAAGGUUUAGAUUGUAAAUAGUUAGAAAUUUGAGAGUAAAUCAACUAAAUUUGAAGGAAGGUGUAGAAUAACAUUUUUUUGUGUAUUUCAUUUAUAAAAUAAGCUUGAGUUUAAAUAAAAAGGAGUUUAAAAAAAGAAACAUUUUUUCAUAAGAACAAGUUGGAAAUUUGGAACAUUAUAAAAUUGUCAUGUUAAUAUAUUUAGAGAUAUGGAGCAUGUCAAUGAUUUAUUGAUGCAUAAGACCAACAUGUCAAAUUUUCUAAUCAACCCAACAUAGUUCCAAUAAACAAAAUUCUUAUGUUUUGAACCAACAAAUAAAAAUGGAGAGUUUUAGAAGAUGUAAACACUUAACCUAAUAAUUCCUUGAAUAACAAUGAAUAUUUAUUACUAUUAACCUUUCUUACAGAUCCUCUAGCAAGAGUAAGCGCCCAUGGCCUAAUGGAUAAGGCGUCUGACUUCUAAUCAGGCGAUUGUGGGUUCGAAUCCCACUGGGCGUGCUCGCUUUUUCUUUUUUUACCUUUUUCUGUUUCAUUCCUUCUUUUUUCUAUACAUGGUACGAAAUGUACAUAAUAUUCAAACAUUAAAAAUAAAACAUUUCAAAGUUACAAGUAAAAUCGAAACCAACCUGAUUGAUGUAAACUUAAACACACCACCCCCAUUUGUAUAAACUACAAUCCCACCAUCAUCUCUCUAUUCAUUACUUAUACAAUACAAAAAUCCCCAACUAAACAUUUACAUCCCUAACCAUAUUUGUAUUUCCAUUCCUGUUCUCCUCUUCAUUCUCCCCGGUCAGCUCCUCCAAUGACUUUCCUUUGGAUUCUGGCACCAAUAGAGUAAACAAUGCUCCACAAAGAUUCACACAUCCCAACAGAAUCAAAGCAUUCUUUAUUCCGAUCCCCGUUGGGUAACCCGGAUCCGUCAAUGUCGGAUCCUUACUCUGUGCCGCAUACAAAAACCCAAACGCCCCCACUAUCGCCCCUGCUUUCCCCGCCGCCGCCGAUAUCCCAUGGCACGUCGACCUCAACCUAGCCGGAAAUAUCUCCGCUGGCACUAUGAACGUCGUCGAAUUCGGCCCAAAAUUGGCAAAGAAAAAUGUCAACGAAUACAUUACAACAAACCCAAUUCUGUGAGGUUUCUCCUUCCAAUGAUUGUAAGGAAACGCCAGAGCAAACAUGAAGAUCGUCAUCAUUAUAAAUCCCAUCAAUUGAAUGAAAAAUCUACCCAAGUAAUCAAUUAGAGCCACUGUGAACCAGUAACCGGGAACGGUCCCACAGAGUGCGAUUAAUGUCUGAGCUUUUGCGAUUUUGAAACAUUCUUCUAAUUCGCUCAUCGUCUUCGCCGGUGGAAGCCAUUCAAUGGCUGUGAAAAUGUCUUUUUGGAAGAGGUUUUGGCUGUAAAAAGCUAUGUCUAAAAGAAACCAUGUGGUGGUGGUUCCUAAUAAAUGGAGCCCGUGCCGUUUGGCGAAUUCACGUGAGAAUAAACCGAAACGGUUUUGAUUUGCAUGUGAUUCGGUCGUGAAAUUUUUUUCCUGUUCGUUUAAUUCCAGAUUAACUUGCAGCACUUUCGACAUAUCCGCCGCAGCUUGUUUGGCGUUUUGAGCAACUAAGGCAGUGUAUCUCGCCGUCUCCGGCAUUUUCAUCCGCCAGUAAUAUGUUAAUGCGGCCGGAAUUGCGCCGAACAUUAGAACGAUUCGCCAUACAUAAUCAGCCUCCGGUAUGGUGGGGCGAAUGGGAUCGUUCAUGUAUGGUGGUGCUGGGAAGCGGUUGUUGAAAGCGGCAGACACGAUUAAAGCGACGAUUCCUCCACCUAAAAUUCCAAAGCCUUGCAUUGCGAAGACAGCGGCGAUGAAUGCGCCGCGGGUUUUUUUGUUGGCGUAUUCGGACAUGAUCGUGGCGGAGAGAGGGUAGUCGCCGCCGAUGCCAAAGCCGAGCCAGAAACGGAAGAAACAAAGUGUGGCAAUUACGGAUUUUGGGGAGUGGCUGAAGGAGAGGCCGGAGGCGAUGGAGCAAACAACCAUGAGAAUGAGGGUAAUGCCGUAGACUUUUUUACGGCCGAGCUUGUCUCCGAGCCAGCCAAAGAAUAGUUGGCCAGAGAGGGUGCCGCAGAAGGCGACGCCGUUGACGGCGGCAGCGAUGUUGGGAGGGAGGGAGCCGGGUUUGGAGCCAUUUGGAAUAUGGUAAUAGAUUCGGCCGAGAAGCUUAGUGACGAUGGAGAUACAAAAGAGAUCGUAAGCGUCGGUGAAGAAACCCAUUCCGGCGAUGAUGAUUGCAGUGAAAUGGUACCAUUGGGUUUUUGCAAGAUCGAGUGCGUUUAGAACUCCAACUUGUUGUUGACUCAUCUUUAAGUUUUUGGCUAUGGAAGCUUUGAUUUCUUUAUUUCUUCUUUUUGUACUGAAAUUAGCAAAAAAGAAGAGAAAUAGAAGGUUAGUCACUUCUUGAUUUUUGGCCUAAAUGACGGGAAAUUAUAUAUAUACAUAGAUAUAUAUACACACAUAUACAUAUAUAAUUUGAGCUUGUUCCAAUAACUUUCGAAUCAUUUUUAGUGGAAAUUUUCAUGAAAAUAUUGAUAUUUAAUUGAUAUAUUUGAAAAAGAAAAAUUCUAAUAUGGAUGUGAAUUAAAUAUUUUUAUAGUUUUUAAUGUAAGUUAACUUGUCUAAUAUUUAUAUUAUAUCUAUAUUAUUCUUUUUAUGUACUUUGCUAAUUUCGGUUCAUUAAAAAUCAAUUCUACCUUUCUUAUGGAAAGGUUUGAAAAAUAUUUACACGUCGAUGAAAAUUUAACACUAUACCUACACUUUUGUAAAAAUAAUACUACUACUUUUUAGAGGCGUAGAUUGAUUAUUAUAAUUAUAAAUUAUUAUAGUUGAAUUAUAAAUAAUUUGUGUCUGACGUUUCGUUUAGGAUAUAAUAGUACGUGUUUGGUGUGAAUUUUUUAAAAGAAAAUACUGUAUCAUGUAGCAAAUAAUAAAAAUUAAUUAAUGUGAAAUAGUAAAAUCAAGCAACAUAUUACUCCUAAUUAUAUUUAUCAAAGUUUGAUAUAUACUCAAACGAAGGUUGGCAUCAGCCUAUUAUUUAUAUUAUUUUCAAGUCAUUUACAUUAAAAAUUUGUAGGAAUUUUUAAAGUUCAACUUAAAUGCCAGCUCCUUAGCACAAAUUAUGAAUAAUAUUAUUUAUUUAAACCAUCUUCAUUUGAUUGUGACUUGGGAGAGAUUUACAAUGUUUGUAAUAUUUAAUUUGGAGUAGAUGAAAAGAUAGUGACAUAUAUAUAUAUACACAUAGAACACGACGGUCAUAUUUUAAUGUAUUUUAUGAUCAAGUAAAUAUCUUGAACUGAUUUUAUAAUUGGAAAAAAAAUGAAAGUCUUCAAAUGACAUAUAUAUAUAUAUAUAUAUAUAUAUAUAUAUAUAUAUAUAUAUAUAUAUACUAUCAACAAAACCCAUGAAACGUAACGUCAAACUCAUUUAGUAAACAAUAAUUAGAUUAGCAAACAAAUAAGUUCUAUAUCAAAUGCUUAGGUCACAGUUCAACAACUAAUUUGAUUAAGUUAAAAUGAGUAUAAUACAAUUGAUACAUAAUAUGUUAAUAUAUUAAUAGACUCAUUAAAUUUUGAAUUGAUAUUCUAUUACGAACUUAGAAUUUCAAUCCAUUUGGAUAUAUAAGUUAGUGUGUGAGAAGUUUAAUUUUUUUAUUUUCUAUUUUUGUAAUAAUUGAACUACAACCUUACGUAAUUAUUUAAUUUAUUUGUAGACUAUGAAACUAACCUAAAUUUGUGAAAACUAAUUUUUUUUAACCAUUAACUAAUUAUAGUUAUGAUUAGAAGAUUAUAGAAAAAAUGGUAUAAAAUUAAUAAAUUAAAUAUUUUCAAAUGAAUCAAAUUGAACAUAGUUCAAGUAAGAUUUAAAACCACUAAAAACCACGAACGUAUUGAAUCACCCUACUUUAACUAUACUAGUACUUUAAUUAUACUAAAACAUUCACAAAUGCACAAAAAGGAAUUGUAAGAAUAAAAGUGAGUAAUGAUUUUGAGAUGAAACUAAAUGAUUGUCCAUAAGAGAGAAGAGAGAGAACCUGAAAUUUGUGGAAAAUGAUAGGGAGUGGUGCAGAAGAAAUCCUUGAUGAUGGGCUGAAAGAAGAUGAAGGGAAAAGGGGUGUUUUUAUAAGUGAAGUAAUCGAAAUUCCAGAAAUGCCCCUGCAGGCAUCUCUUGGAAUAUACCAUCUUCACAACCAAUGAUUCAUCAAGUCAACUUCUUCCAAAGUCUCUGUUCCCAUUUUUCUAACCAUAUUUUUAAUUUUGCCUGAUUGACUUAUUUGCAUUUAUUGUUACUCUUUCCGUACAUGUUGUCGAUAUUCCAAUCAUAUCAAAUGGGUAAAACACAUUCCACGUAUAUUAAAAAUCUAAGUUCAACGAAUUAACGUUGUUUUUUAAAGAUAAUUUUAUUCACCUUAGUGCUCGAGUUUGAGAGUAAUUAUCUCUCAGGAUAGAACAAAUUAAUUACCUUUCUUCUAGAGGUAGCACCACGUGUAGAAGAUCAACGAACAAAACUUUAUGUUCGAACCAAUCUUUAACGAAUUUGAAAAUGGAGAGAUACUUUUUAGAGAAGGUAAAAUUAUAGAACACCAAAACCAAAUUCAUAUAUCAAAUUUAGAGAAAGAACACUUAAUUUAUAGACUUAUUCGUGGUCAUUCGAAUAGUUAGGUCAUUUCUUUAAAUUAGUUAUUAUCAUGAAGUGAAGCAACCAUUCAUGAGAGACACCAUCGAUCAUAUAGUGAUGCAACCAUUCAUGAAAGACAUUAUUUAUUCUAACAAUUAAAAUAUUUGUUGGUGCUCCAGUCACUUCUUCCAUUGAUUUUGUUGCAAGUUUUUGGUGUCAUUCACCUCUAACUUGCAUCUUCCUAGUUUUGUCUUGAGAUAUUUGAAGCUAAUUUAUGCAAGAGGUUCUCCAACCAGUGUAGUGUCACCCCUAUUGCAUUUCGAUGCUUAAAUAGUACCAUGAGUGACUAAUGUAAUUAAAGCAUAAAAUAAGUAAGGGUCUUUGUCUCUUCUUUGGAGAUUAUUAACAUUGCUUCUCUUUGGGUAUGGUCAAAUCACAUGUCUCCGAGUCCGAGUAUGUGUGAUGAUACUGGUAUCUAAGAUAUUUCUAGCACUCAAGGUUAUAGGGUGUUAGUCUUGAUCUGACUUGACUAUUUCUCUUUUGAUAUAUAUUCAUCAGCUCGAUAGUUGACUCAAACCCAAAGCAUUAGAAUUAUUUCCUUUUUGGGACGCAUGUUCUCUUAUGCAUCAUCACGAUAUACCCCAUGAGCUUGAACUCGCUCAUGAACUUUAGGCCUUGCCUUGGACAACAUCUCUCUCAACCAUAUUCAUUAUUCAAUAUCAAUUUACACACAACACUUAUUUAAUAAUCCUCAAUAUAAAUAUAUGAAUACAAUGCUUUAUAACUUAGUUUAAUUGGAGGCUCCUUGGUGAGCUUUAAAAUAACAAAAGUAACAAAACUUAAAACAAGAAAAUACACCAAAAUUUACCUCUUGUUUAAAGUGGUCAUCCAAAAUGUCAACUAAAGGCAUUAAACUAUAUAUGAUUGAUGUAGAAGUUUUCGAUUUUUGAAGUCUAUCAGUAAUAUAAAUUGUAUUAAUGAUAGACUUAUAUCAUAAAAGUCUUAUCACAUAUAGAGUAAUUGGGUGUUGGUUGUGAUUAGAAGUCUUAGUUGUGAUUAGAAGUCUAUAAUUGACCAACUCUUUUUUUAUUUUUUAUAAAAAAAUUCUAAUAGUAAAUAUAAAAAUGUACUUGAACUCUAGCCAAUAGAAAAUGUUAAAAAAACCAACUUUGUAAGUGAAAUUUCCAAAUUUUGAAGUCUAUCAACAAUAAACUCCUAUUAGUUAUAUAAAAGUCUAUUAUUGAUACCAUAUAAUUAUUGACAAGUCUCCAUCACAAAUAUUUUUGUAUAAUUAAUAUAAUUCGAACAAGGAAAUGUAAUAGUCUAUCAAAUAUAACACACCUUCAAUUAUAAGUCUCUAGCUAUAGAUACAUAUGUUGUUCAUAUCAUUAGGUUAAUUAAUAUAGCCCUAAUAGAAAAUAAAAGAUAUACAAUUAUUUCAAAGACGAGACUAUUAUAAUUAUUUUAAAUAAUAAAACUGGCGAAAACAUUUAUAAAUAUAGCAAAAUGUCACUAUCUAUCAGCAAUAGACAAUGAUAGAUCUUAAUAGACUUCUAUUAUCAAUCUAUCAAUAUCUAACAAGUCUAUCGAUCACACCUAUAGACAUUGGUGUUUUAUUAUAUUUAUGAAUAUUUUUAUUCAUUUUGCUAUAUUUAAAAAUAACUUUUGUUAUAAUAUAUAUAUAACAUAAGUUUAUAGAGAUUAACUAAUUAUCGGAUAGAUUUUUUUAUAAAUUUUUUACAUUUUGUGUAUCCCAAAACCAACUAAACAAAAAUAAAGAAUUAAAGUAGGAAAAUUAUUAGGGACAAUUUCUAAAAAUAUUUACAACCAUGACAAAAUAUAAAAAUAUAUAAACUAACAUAGACGAUAUCUAUUCUAUUGGAAAACAAUAUUAAUAUUACAUCUUCUUAAUUAAUUUUAAACCUCCAAGAAACCCAAAAAAAAGUUGACUUAAAAAAGUCAUGUUAGUAUUUAAUCACCUAAAAAUCCGUUAUAAUAUUUGAUGAAUAUAUAUUUUGAUGAAAUAAUUAAUAAUCAAUAAUUAAUUUAAGUUUCGUAGGUUGUUUCUAGGUGAGGUAUCCAAUGUUUCGUGCACAACCCAUUUUUGACCAUCAUUUAUUUAAAACAAGAGAAUGCUUCUUUAGUAAUUUAAUAAAAAUUAUGUUUAAUAUAAACUAUAUUCUCAACUAGGUUGAUCAAUCUGUUUUACAUUAAAAGUUUUGUAAAAUUAAUGUCUUAUAACAUUAUAUAUAAAUAUUACAAAAAUAAUAUAAUUUGAAAUACAAUUUAGAAGUGUUCCGUCACUAAUCAUUUUAGGUAGUUAUCAAAACACUUAAAUUAAAAGAUCAAACUUACUUAAAAUUAAACCAAACACAUAUCUAGAUAUGAAAAGAAUAAUCUACCUGCCACAAUUUUAGAAAGAAAAAUCUAUCUAUCAAAUAUAGGUAAUUUAUAAAAGAGAAAACAUGUUUAAGGGAUAAUAAUAAAAGAAAAACCAACACUAAAAACCAACCAACAACUUUGAUUGAGAUUAUUAUUAAUUGGAAAAACAUGACAUCUUGUUCAACAGCUAUGGUUUUUGCAAGUUAGGGCAAUGCAAUUUUAUGGACAUUUGUAAUAAUUAUUAAAUGUAUCUAGUGAUGGGUAAUUUUUGGAUAAGAAGAAGCACAUAGUCAGUAAAAUUUUCAAAUAUAUAGGACAUAUGAACACAUUAAUAAUCAUUAUAAAUAAACAAAACUAAUAAAAUUUAAAACUUAUUUAAAAAGUGAUCACAUAGUCUAAAUUGAUACACUUCUCAAAUUAGAAGAAUAAAUUGAUAUCUCCCUAAAAUUAAUUUCAUAUAAAUCCAAAGAUAAAUGAUUAUACGAUUUUCAAUACAUUAGUUUAAUUGUUCUUCUACAACGCUGCAAUUUGGAAUAAAAUUGCGAUAUGAAUGCCUUUUCAAUUUUUUCCACCAAAACUUUGGAAGUACACUUUUGUCAUGAUCUAAUUUAGUACGUAUAUUUGGAACUUUAUGUGUAUGAUUUGACAUAUAUUGAUAGUGAUUUUGACGAUGUAUUAUCUUUGAAUAAGUUAUAAUUACAAGGUACUUUGAAUAAAUUAUCUUUGCUUCUUUAAUGUAAUUAUAACUUGUGACUUGAAUGUGAACAUGAAAUAAAACAACAAUCAAGACAGAAAAAAACUUACAAAAAGACUAAGAGAGCUAUACCUAUAAUUGUUAAAAAGAAUAAAAGAAUUACGAAAUGGCCUAUUCUUCAAAAAGAAAAAGAAAAACAAAACAAAAUAGGAAUGAAAAUAUAAUGAUAAUAACAAUAAAAUUAUUAAAAAAGACCAUAACAAAAUUUUCUUACCUAUAUAUUAUAAAUAUAUGGUGAACUAAUAUUUAUAUGUAUGUAUGUGGGACGUGGAUCUUGCUUAAUGUUUUAUUUAAAGACUUUAUAUGUUAUAAUUAUUAGAAAGAUGCAGUCUAUUUAACAUUUUUUUAUAUUACAAAUAUAAUAUAAUUAAAUAUAUGAGAUAACUAUCAAAAAAAAAGUUAUCAAACAAGUAUUAAAAGUCUAUGGGAACGACUAUUCGAUUUUUAAUUCACUACUUUUGUAAUUUAGAAAAUGUAAUCAUAUGGAUCCUAUUAUUAGAAUUGUUUUUACUAUUUUGUAAACGUUUCUAAUUAUUAUUCUAAAACAUUAUAUAAAAUAAAGUAAUAAUAGUUGAAUUAAUUUAUGCACCAUCUCUAUAGAAUAUCAAUGUAAUGCAAAACUUUCUUUUCUAUUCCGUUUUAUAGUUGUUUAUGACUUCUCUCGUUUAAAUUGGGAGAAAUUAUCAAAGAAGAUGGUCUAAUUAAUGUUGUUAGGGGUAAUUUUUAUUACCAAAACAUCAUAAAAACAAUAUAUCAAUUUUUUGGGUUGAUAAUCAAAAUGAGAAUAGAAAAGGAGAUGAUUUGGAACUUGAUAAUCGAGAUCAAGCAUCAUAAAAUACUUAAUGUGACAUAUCUCAACCAUGCGUCGAUCCAAGGAAUAAUCUUAAUUAGGCCUAUAAAAUGGCUAAGAGAAGGUGUUGAAACUUAACUAUGGAUUAAGUGGUAAGUCGAAGGGAAAAUGAGAAAUUAUAAUAUAGGUAGAAAUUUUAUGAAUGAUAGUUGAGUUUAUAACAUUUUGAAAAAUUAUAAAUAAAGCAAAAUUUAUCAAUGAUUACUCCUAUUGUCAAUAGACACUUAUCAAUAAUAUACCAAUAUUUUCAACGUAGUUUAUUACUAACAAAUCAGUUCUAUCAUUAGUAAAUUUGCAUAGAUUUGGUUAUGUUUACUGUUUUUUAAAAAUGUUAUGACUAUAUAUGAAUCAAAUUCGUAAGUUUUGCCACUAUCCCUAAGAAAAUACCAAAUUGAAAGAACCCAAGGCAAGGUAAAGCGUGGGAAAGGAAACUUGUAUGGGCCUAGCCCAUGCCGAGGUCGACCCAAAGAAGCCACCAAAAUGGGAUGAGCUACAAAAAAACAUGAGAUAAAAUGUCGUCAUGGCCAUGGGCCUUCAACCUCACUUCGAUGAUAUGAUUGAUAGAAGCUCUAAGAAAAGGAAUGGUGAAUCGAAUCCUCAUGACCCAAAACCAUAAGAAACCGAAGAUUUUUCAAAGGCACGGAUUAUGUUGAUCUUAGACUUCAAAGGUUUAUGUAUGAAUUAAGUAAUGUUCUUUGUUGAUAGGUUACUGAGCCAAUAAUUUGUCGCUCUACACUUAUCUUGUUUUAAUUGCAUAAGAUUUCUGAUGAUAAAUUAUCUUGAUUUUACUAAAAACUUGAGAAAUUAUAUAUGGUAGGUUUUUGUUUCAAGAAUUAUAUGGUGAAACAAAUGCUAGGGCUUCACAAAGUAUUUAACUCUUGAAAGACAUAUUUAUAUUAUAGGUUUUUGCUCGAGAGACCACUCCUCAAGCUUGUACAUUGUCAGAGUGUCAGAUAGGUUUCAUAUCUCCAAUUUUGCCACUAAUUCCGUAGUUAACCAUAUGCCUUGAUUUAGGUUUGAUAGUUGACAUUAUCUUAGAGUAGAAAUAUGAUUUGUGUGAGAUUUCAACUUUUGGCUUUAGAAAUAGGUCUUGUGCUUAAGGAGGAAAAUAAUAAGAGUAGGAGUAGAAGACUUUGUUUUCAACCGAUGUAAUGGGGAGGGGGUUGAGAUUGAUUUUGAUUUCAAGAAAUCUAAAAUGCAUGAAAGGAAAGGGUAUUGUAAUUAAAUUCAAUAAAUAAAAGAUCCUAGGUCUAAAAGAAACUUCUUAUUUCGAUUUGUUCGAUCAUGACAAUUUCAUUGCUAAAUUUAAUUUCAUUGCUAAAUUUAAUGUUAAAUCCCAAUCAAUUUGAUAAAAAACAAUUAGCUCAUAGACAAAGAAAUAGGGAAAGAAUCCUAAUGACCAAAGUUAGAAAGUGAUCCAUAGCCUUACAUCAACGUGGUUUUUGCUUGAUUUACAGAGUUAAGAUGAAAUCAAACCUAAAACCUAGUGUUGUAGAUGGGUAGAGGGCGAAAAGCCGAAGAAAACAACUGGUCAUAUGCCUAAAAUGACUGUCCAAUUGAUCAAAAGAUAUGUCAUAAAAAUUGAAUCUAUGGAUUUCUAUUUGUGUUACGACAUCGCGGACAAUGCCAUAGAGAGUCACAACACCCUCCUUUAGUGGCAAUUUCGUAAUUUUUGGGUCUUUUGGAUUAAUUUCUUCAUUGGGACUUCAACUUGAUCUGAUUUAGCUCCAUUUUCUUCGUAAUGCUCGAUUCUAGAUCUUUGAUGCUUGAAACCUAUAAAAUAGUAAAUCAAGAACUACGUAAAAUCAAGAAACGAGCUCAAAUUAAAUGAAACAAAAUAAUGUAUUUCCAACGUUAUCAAUAAUGUUGAUCGACAAAGUGACUUCGCAAAGUGAAGUUUGUAUGCUUUUGCUAUUGAUGAUAGCUUCUUGAUUGACCUCCAUUUCAAAGUGGUUUUCACUAAACUUCUCGUCUGGAUUCAGUUGUGCCAUGCUUUAAUCCUUUUCUUUUUCUAAAUUUCCUUGCGAUUAAUGGAAGUAGGGCUUGAAAUGCAGGUGGGUUAUUCAAAUCUCUCUCUUUUUUUUCUUUUCCUUUUUCUUCACAUUCCCCAGAUUUUACGAUUCUAAAUUUGGAAAUUUCUUUGAAGACGAGCACCAGCUAGAUCUGGUUCGGAUGAAUCUGGAUAAAAAAUUGCUGAUUCCUGGUGAGCUAGAGCAGAGAUAUUGGCUGGAACUUGAAGAUGAACGGCUGUCCUCAAUGUCAUUUUUCUUGAACUAUUCUCUUUUGGUGGUGAAGAUUGGAUGCCCUAAUUGCUCAUAUUUGAUCAACAUUUAAAAAUUAAUUUUGCUUUCAAAUUGUUGAAAAUCAAAAUUGAUCAUUGUUGUGCCGUGUCGAACCACUGCCUUAAAAAAAAAAAUGGCUUUCGAUUGCUUUUCAAGAUUAAUAUUACUUCCUACUCAAGCGUGCACUUGCGGGAGUAGAAAUGAAAUUGAAGAAAAAAUUGCUCAAACAAGAAUUAAGGUUUUGCAAGAAGGAGAACUCAACACGACAAAAACCUUUUCUUUAAUAUAUAUAUAUGUAUAUAUAAAGUAUAAUGGUUUUAGAAUAUAGAAUAUAUUAAUUAAUAAUAAUUAUUAAUUUCAACUUAACCAUUAUUUAUAAAUGAAAACCAUGAUAGCCAUUCCCAACAAUUAAUUAUGUAUGGUUAUCGAAUCAAAGUUGGUCAAGUUUGUAAAACUACUUCAAUGUAGCAUAAUUUUAUUGGUAUGUUAAUCUUGGAUUUGUUUCUACAAUUUCUUAUGUUUACAUAUUCUUAUUUUUGUUCUACCACCACAAGAAAUUUUGGAUUUUCCAACACAACUCCAUAUUAUUGGGAGAAACGACGUCGAGAGAUAGGGUGUGAGAUCUGAAUUUGAAUAGAAAGAUCAUUUUGAAAAAUAAAUGGUUAAGUAAAGGAUUUUGAAGAAAAUGUUCUUGAAGAUUUAGACAUAAUGAUGUUUCGCAUUGAAGCAAGACGACAUGACUAAAACAAGUAGCGAGCGAAAUUUAAUAAGCAUUUUAAGGUUCAAUAUGAAAUGAAGUUAGGCAUGAAGAGUUAUAAAAAGUUAGAGAAAUAUUAUAAUUGGGCUUAAGUAAUGGGUCACAUGUAAGAGUUUAAGCUAAGCAUGGUCAUGAGAAAUAUUAAGCUUACACGCGUAGCACCUUAAGAAGGAGUUGGCAAGCUUGGGUGAAUUAAGGAUGACUAAUCUGAUUAUGGAAUAAUAUAAAUGAGAGAAGAGGUCAGAAGAAAAGAGUGUUACUCUAAGAUUUUGAUAAAAGAAAGUAUCAAGUGUUGUCUUGAUGAGAAGUCACUAGCGAGAAGAAAAUUUUUGGGGGAUUAGACGUUCUGAACAAGGGAAAUUUAGUCCAUGAGUGAUUUUCCAAAAUGAUUAAAGAAUUUAAAGCUUUCUUCUAAAUUAAAUUCCUUAUUGAUUUGAAAUGUUGUUCAUAUGUUAAUAUUUAUAAAGGAACGAUUUCAAAGCAAGCUUGUGUUAUAAUGCAAGUAAAGUUUUACAUUAAUAAUUGUAGGCUAUGUUGUGAAUAAAUCAUUAGUCCUAUUUCUAUUAACUAAUGAGAUAACUAUUAUGUGCACAUAAGAAAUAAAGACAAUCAUGUAGAAAUGACAUGGUAGAGUGAAGUUGGUCAAUGUGUAAAAGUGUUGGCUUUUUGGCCCUUAAUUUCAAAUUAAUUUAUUUUAAUUAUUUAAUUAAUUUAUGUUUUGAUGAUAACAAAUCUGAUUUUUUCUAUUGACAACUUUAUUAAUUUGAAUAGUUCACAUCGUAGAGCUUGGAAAAAUAAUUCUAACACCUUUUGAAUCACACAAAUCGAAGUUCAAACAAAGAAAAUAUUACUAAAAGAAGCUUAACGGAAAAAUACCCGAGAUGGUGACGUGACGACCAAGCAUUCAAUUUGAACCAAUUAGAGAAAGUCACUUGGAGCAACGGAUGAGUAACAAAUGUGACUUUUAGUUGUGUUUUAUUGACUUUUAUAAAAAAAAAUGAUUUGAAAAAGAAAAUGACUUUAAUAUUAUUAUUUUUCCUUGUGUCUAACGACUAAUUGAAUUUAAAUCUCAACCAUUCAUUUUUCUUUUACUUACAUCUAAUGACCCAAAAUGAUUUUGAAUUUAUCUUUCAUCUCUUUUUAAAUACUUCACUUUUCCCAAAUUUUAAAGAGACAAAAUUAUUAAAACUUUACAUCUUCAAAAAGUACAAAAAGCCAACAUUGUUAUUCUCUCUAAAGCUUUCAAUUCUUAUUCUUUUCAUCUUAUUCUUGAGAGAUUUUUAUUGUAUUGUGAGGAUUAAAUUUGUAAGCUUCUUUUUAUAAAAAUAACCAAACUCAUAACACCUACAUAUGACGAACUCCUGAUGCUUCAUUUUGUGCAUCGAAGAUCCUCUCUUGAUACAUUUCUUCGACCCCAAGUUCGAUGGACAUUUAUGCAUAAGGAGAUUCCCUUUUUUUGUAAUGUAUGAUUGGAUUUGAUAAUAUUCAAGUUGUCAAAGUUUGUCACAGUGCAAUGUUAAUGUCCUAUGGUUAUCCUCCAGUUAUGAUAGUCAAUUUAUGUAAUUAGGUUGGUUUUAAGUUUUAAAGUACACUCAGACCAUUUUUAAAGGUUUUUCAAGUAUUUUGUAAGUUUUGGGGAGCGAGUAGACCAUUUAAGGACCUUAUUAAAUUUUAUAAGUUUUUGGAAUCUUAGAUUGUUGUUACUCUCUUUCGAAAAAUUUAGAUAUUUUAGGCUUUAAUGUAUAGUUGGAGACUUUCUAAAAUAUUUUUUAAACAUUUGUAAACAUUUAAGUUGUUUUUAUAAUAAAAAUGCCAAAACAUUUUUAGGUAAUUUUUAGGUUAAGUUUGAAAGUAAAAAUAAGUUGCAGUUAGACCGUUUUAAGUUGUUUCGAGUGUAAUACCCAAAAAUUGAGGUAAAUUAUUAUUAUAUUUUACUUAUUAAUUACUUUCUACUUUCCUAUUUUCAAUUCUUUUCUUUUUCAUCAAAUUAUAAUAAAACAUCCAAAAUCCUUCAAAUUUUAAUAAAACAAAUCAAGAAUUAAGUAAUGAAAAAUACCUCAAGUUUGGGGUGUUACAUAGACAGUGUGAUAUUUUAAAAUAUUUUUAACCUUUAGGAAAGGAAUUUACUCAAAAUCCAUAUUUUCAUAUUAUCUAAAAAAAACUAAUGGCUUAGACACACCUAUAACAUUAUUAAUCUUGUUUAAAAAUCUAAAGUUGAGAUAUACACAUACUCAAAUUUAUAAUAAUGUACAAUACAGUUCAUGACUCUAAAAAGUCUAAAACAUAGUUUUGAAUUACUUUGGAUCCAAAACUCAACCCCAUAUCGUCUCCUGUACACAUCUCAAAGAUAGCUAAGUAACGUAGAUCACUGUUCUAACAACCUUGUUAGUGCACAAGUAUUUCAAAAAGCUUUAUUAAUUUUUUAAGGUAGUAUUUCAAAAAGCUUAUUACAUUUACUUUUAAGCUUUAACUAAUUAAAUGUCUACCAAAAAAGCUCCUUGCAUUGAUGUUGAUAAUCUCAAAGACUAGAUAUGAACAGAAGAAAAGCCACUUUAUCUUUUAUUAUUUUUAUAGAUUUUGCAUUCAUCUUUUUUCUAUAUAUAUCUUUAUAGACUUUAUUGGGUUUUGUUGGUCAAGACCACCCCCACCACAAAUUUAUGCAGACUUGUUUCUUCCUCAUUUAUCAAUGGAAAGUGAGCUUGUAUUGAACACUUUUGACUUAUGAGUCAUCCUUUAAAAUAAUAAAAUGUAUUAUUAUUUUCUGAUUGUGUGGAAAUAGAUCCUCAACGUGUGAUACAAUAUGAAUAUAGAAAUUUAAGAACUUACACUACUUUAGAUCAAAUUAGCCAACAUUUUGCAUUAAAAAGAGUUUUAUUUUGAAACUCACAAUUAAGUUGAUGCCUUAACUUAACACUUGGGUUCAUAAUUCAAGUAACAACUAAAAAUAACAAAUAAUAAAAACAAUAAUAAGAACACAAGAAAUUGGUUACCCAGUUCAAUGACACAACAUCUCUACAUCGGAGAGACCUUGACCCAUAGAAAAAGAUUAUUUUAUUACCUCAUAAAAUAAUACAAGAGUACACAAAAAUGGUCAAUAAUACUAGCAUCACCACAAAUACUUAUCAUGUUGUAUAUAGUGAAACUUGAUAUACUGAUACAUGAAUCAGAAGUAAGAUUCACUGCAUUUGCCACAUUAACAUCGAGAGAAAACUCCCCAUGAAUCUGAAGUUACCAACCAAUACUGACAAGUUCCCACUUGAUCAUCUAUGACCUUUUUGAGCAAAACCUCUUCGACAACAAUUGUAGAGAAUUAAUGUCAUGUGAUCAUGAUACAUUUAGUGUUUAUAAUCUCCAAUCCACAUUCGUCUCAACGACACUUUCAAUUUCUUCGAAUCACUCUCAGUUUCUGCACACAGUUAAAAGCCCAUCUUGCGCCCACUACAAAGAGUUAGGAAAUUCUUGACGCCAUAAUGCGUUGGGGAUAAGGCAAGAACACGUGGGGAAGAGAUUUCUCGAUGUCGAAAGCUCCGUCAGCAAGAACGUUGGGAGUACAACGUCGAGGGAGCUUUCUCUGACGCACGAAAGAGAGGACAUCGGGAUUGCCUUAUUGUUAACGAAGUUCAAGCCGACUUGUGGCUGACAUCGACAAUGGAGUAUGCCUGACGUCCCCAACGUGUGUUAGGGAUAAGGCAAUCCCGACGCGACGUCGAGAAAAGUUUACUCCAACGUCAUUGAAAAGACGUUAGGAGAAUCCAUUGAUCCCGACGUAGAGUAUACGUCGAGAUCCAUUAUUUAUUUAUUUAUUUAUUAAUAUUAUUAUUUGUUAUCGUGAGGUAUUGUUUUGGGUUUCACCUUCCAAGACAACAAACAAAAUUUACAACAAAUUAUUAAAGUAAAAAAAUUGCAAUUCAUAAAAUUAAAUAGUAAGUUGUUGUUCUCAAAUUGUUCAAAACAAUUACAUUAAAAAAAAAAACUACAAUAUCUCAUAAAACAUAGCCUGGACGUCAGAUUCAAAGAACGAAAUCUCUGCAACCCCCCUCCAGCCUUUCCCCAAAUAAAUUAAUCCUUCUCCCAUUUCUAUACAUAAUCAUCCCCUCAUAUAUUCAUUUGUCGAUUUCGUUGCGGAAAAAAAAAACUUCCCCAUUUUCUUUUUCCUCAACUCUUCGUGCAAGCCCUUUUUGUGCUUUUCCUUUCGACUUUUCCUUGUUGCUCGAACUUCGCAUUUGCCGCCUAGAAUUUUCCUUGCCGAUUGAAUUUUUUUUUUGAACUAACUUUGGACAAGUGCUAUACUAUCCUUGUGUGCCUCUGCGAUUUUCGAGCAAGGUAGGGUUGAAGGUUGUCGAUUUCAAUAUGAUUUUUGCAUAUAGUCGAUGAUGAGGUCCAUAAUUUUCCAUCUCUGAUAUUUUAUUUUUUAUACAUUUUUUUCCUGUUAUUUCAGUUUCUUUCAACAUUUGCGCUUUUUGUAAACAAUUCUUGGUUAUCAUUGCAAUUUCUUUCGUCUGUGUUGAAUGCAAUUUUGUUCCAUUUAGAAAUUUAUUUCCUUUGCAUUUCUUGUUUUGUCAUUUCUUGAAGUAUCUAUGUUGUACUUCUUCAUGAAAUAAAUCUCUGUUGGGCUAUCUGUUAUGUUCAGAAAUGUAUACUCCUAUGCUAUUGCAUUUCAUUUUCCUUCUUUACAAUUUUAAUUUACUCCAAAUAAAGGCUCCAUUAAGAUGUGGCCUUUGAGUCAUCUGAUAUGCUUAUGCAUUGUUUAUUCACUACUACUGCCAAUUUUUUCUUCCUACCUAAUGUGGUAGGUCUCAUGGUUACGGUUUGACCUUAUCCUAUCAUGUGCAAAGAUUAUCUUUCCUUUUUGUUUCUUUUACUCAAUAAACUGGUAAACUAUUUCACUUCUACCAUCUAUAUAAACAUCAAAUUUCUUAUGUCUUCUUCUAUGUUGUAUCCCCUAUUGGACGUCAUUCUUCUUUCCUCUGUUCAAUUUUCUUGGUAGGCCAUCUACGUUUGGUUCAUUUUUUUUUCAUGUCUAUAUUCUUUUAAAGGCAUACUAUACUUCACAUUUUUUUAAGCAUUUAUGCACAACAUGUUCUUCCAUGUUCCAUGUUUCAUGUUCCAUGUUCCAUGUUCCAUGUUCCAUAUUCCAUGUUCCAUACUUCUUUUUUAUGUUUCUUCUCAUUAACCUUCUUAGUACUGAUGUGUGUGCUGGACAAUGUUCUCAUUUGUAUGUUCUUUUUUUGGCAUAGUGUACUCCAUGUAUUUCUUCAUCUAUGAAAUAUAAUUUUUUUCAUGCUUUAACCAUGUUGUCAUUUGAUGCUGCUUGUCAUGAACCAUGGUACGAACAAAGUGUGUAUGACUACCAUUGUUUUUUUUUUUAUGUGUUAUUGUUUAAGGCAUAUAGUCCAUGAAGUUCUUCUUGUCAUGUUUCUUGCCCUCAACCAUUGUACCAAUAAUAUAUGUGUGUGGCUGCCUAUGUUUUGAUUCAUGGUUAUGGUUUGUAAGGCAUACUAUGUUCCAUGAUGUGUGUUGUUGUAAAUUGUUUUUUGUAUUCAUUUCCAUGUCCAUACGUUUCUGCAUUUCUACGUUAUGCGUAUUGAAUAUUGAUGUGUCCACUACUAAAACCGCUUCAUCGUAUUGAAUGGUUUCAUAUCCUCUCAGGCUAUUUUUUUUUUAAAAAAAAAACUAGUCACAUUAUUCUUUAUAUUAACGAGUUUCCAUUUCCAUUUCAACAUUGGACAACCCGUGAAAGUACACGGUACAUAAUUAUAUGAUCGUUGCGGCUACUAUUUUUUUCAAUAAUUUUGUUUAGGUCGACGCACUCACUUGUGUAUACUUUUUUUCAGGACACCCAACUCUGUACAUUCGUUCAAAUAGGUACUACGAUUUUGCCGUUUUGUAGUACAACUUUCCAUUUAUUCUCCUAACAAUUUUUAUGUCGUUUCUUGCACUGUAUUUACAACGUUACUUUUCCCUUAUUCAAUUGUAAAAAAAAAAUUGCACGUUAAGUUCGAUUAAUUUAUGUUUUUCGCAGUAUACAACAUAAACAUUGGUUCAUAUUAUUGGAAAGCAUAUGCCGUUCCUAUACGUUUCUUAUUAUUGUGUACAAAUGUGUGAACUUAUUUUUAAAUUUCAAUGCAUACCCGUAAUCCCGAUUCUGUGACACUUUAAUUUCCACACGCAUUUUUUAAAAAUUCCGACUACUUUAACAAUCCCAAUUGCUAUGCUUUGAAAAACCAACGACCAUGAAUUUUGAAAAAAAAAAAGAAUUUAGGGUUUCCAACCAUUACCCACUCUUUUAAAAUACAAUAACAAUCAUUUUAAAAAAAUUCACAAUUACUUUUCUAAAAUAUGAUCAACACUUAAAAAAAGAACACCGUGAUUAUUUAAAAGAUAUUUUGUGUACAAGAUUACACUAGGAUUUAAAAAAAUAUAUGGUUUAGUUUUCCACCAUCACAUUGUUCACACAAAUUUGACUGCAUCUAUGACCCUACUUUCUAUUAUUUUUUUUGCAUAAAUGGCCACAGUUAUUGUGUUUUAUGUUUUUUAAAAAAUUCAAUCUGUACGUUUAGUAAAUUGAUUAAACCUACCAUAAACAUGGAAAUACAUGUUGGAAGAGAACACAUUAGGGGUGAAAAAACCCGAAUCAAACUAAAGAACAAAACCAAAUAGAUUCGAUUCGAUUCGAGUUGGAUUAGGCUUCAAUAGUAAUAUUACUCAACCGAAUCGAAUUGAACUGGAUCGGUUUGAUUCAAUUCAGUUCAAAUGUAAAACAUUUAGGUUAAAAACUUAAAAUUGAAAUUAAACUCAUUCGUUCGUCUUCCUCCAUCUACACGAGUUCAUCAUUCUCCAUUGUCGGACAUUCUCCGUUCGUCGUGGAUCUUCCUCCUUCGUUUGUCUUCCUCCAUCUACACGAGUUUGUCAUUCUCUGUUGCUGGCCAUUCUCCAUUCUUCAUGGGUCUUCCAACUUCGUUCAUCUUCCUCCAUCUACUCGAGUUUGCCAUUCUUCAUUCGUCUUCUGUUCUGUCUUUCGUCUUUUAUUCAUGUGGAUCUGAAAAAAGAGGAAGAAAAUUCUUCAUCGGACAUUCUCCAUCUUCGUUCGUUGUGGGUCUUUCGUCUUCUACCUUGGGUCGAAACCGCAGGUAAAUUCCCACCUCUUUUUUAUACGAUUUUCAAAUUUUUUCCCUCUUUUCCUUUAUUGUCUUCACAUUGGUUUGAUUAUGUUUGUUUUAUGGGGAACUUUUGUUCAUAAUUCCUUUAUUGUCUUAUGUAUUAGCUAGUAUGUGUUAUGUGCCCAAAUUUUGUGUUAUGUGUUAUGUAUUAGCUAGUUUGUGUUAUGUGUUUGUGUAUAUAUUUCUUGACUGUAUUGGGUGGAUAUGUACAUAAGAGGUUGCUAUUGUGGUUGCUAUUGAAUGCGUUUAGGUUAAACUGAUUUCAAAAGGUAUAUGAAUUAUGUUCGGUUGCUAUUGUAUAUAUUUCUGUUGAGAUUAAAUUGAUUUCAAAAGAUGUUAUGAUAUGCUUUACUUAUUAUUUUCUUUGAUGAUUAUUAGUUAAAAAUUGUUUGCUUUUUUGUUGGUUUGGUUGAUGAUUAUUUUGCACGACCUAGUCAAGGAAGCGAUUGUAGAACAUACUUGAGCGGCUCAAAGCAGAUACAGGAAGGGCAGAAUCCUGAUAUAGUUAAUGUCAUUAAGGAUGCCAUGGUCUGCCAAACCGACUAGCUAAGGCUCAUUGCAGAGUAGCCGCAGUUGGCACUCGAGGAUGAAAGAAGAGGUCGUUCUAGCAUUGCGAGCCAUACCUGAGCUCAAUAGGUUAGAAAGGGUGUAAUGCAAUCGAACACUGAUGAACAAUUUAGUAAACAUGAAGGAUUUUCUCGAAUUGUCAGAUGACGAAAGCUUGACUACUGCACGGUGAUCCUAGAGGCGCUAGCUGAUUGUUUCUUUUACUUGCACGGACUAUUAUUAAUGUUUUUUUAUGACUCUACUUGUUCACUUUUUCUUCUUGAUGUUUUGUAGUGAUAUUGAUGUUAUGUGUUUUUUGUUCCAAUUAUUCAUGUAGUAAAAUUAAUGCGACGUAAUUUAAUUUUAUAUAUAUAUAUAUAUAUAUAUAUAUAUAUAUAUAUAUAUAUAUAUAUAUAUAUAUUUGCAUUUCUUAUUCCGCUUUUACGUGCUGCAUCAUAAAAAAUAAUUGAAAUUAUUUGACAAUUGUAAUCAAAUGUAACAACUAAUCAAUAACAUGUUCAACAUAGACGUUACCAUUCCACAAAUUAAAUCAAUUACUUCAGGCAACGUCGGAUCAUUUGGUAAAAAAAAGUUAUGGACUUUGACUAUUGGAUUUUAAAUAUGAAUUUGAUAAAAAGAGAAUUAAUUAAAAUCUAAAUCUAUCAGAUCACUACCAACAUAACUCUUCCCACAAACACAUCUUAUUAUAACCCUACCCACAUAACACUUACCCCAAAUACAUUUUAUCAUAAAACUAUCAUAACACUAGCUAAAUAACUCUUCUCCCAAACACAUCUUAUUAUAAAAAUAUUAUAACACUAUCUACAUAACCCUCCUCCAAACACAUUUUACCAUAAUAUUAUCAUAACCCUAGUAACAUAACUCUUCCCUCAAACAACUCUUAUCAUAAAACUAGUUUUAUCAUAACCCUAACCCUUCCCCCAAACGGACCUAUACUGUUUAUACAAUCUUUCAAAGUUAUAUGUUUGGGAACCUAAAUAAAUUCUAGAUUUGCCAUUGAUUUUGGAUUUCCUGAAACGAGUAUUGAAUUUCUGAGCAUCUUCUUCAUAUUGUUAAUUCUCCUUUUUUAUAUUUUCACUUUUUCUUGUUUGCAACUUUUCUCGUUUCAAUUUUCUUUUUUCUUUUCUUUCACUACACAAUCAUGUUUGGGCAAGUGCAGUACUAUAGAAGGCAAUUGAUUAAUUUUAGAGAUUUUUGUUCCAAUUACAAUUUUAUGGCUUCCACUACAUUAACAAAACAUGUGGCUUUUUUCCCAUUUCUACGUCAAAAAAUCAAUCCCAAUCCACAAAGUGAGAUGUUAAGCAUUCGUCUUUACAACUAGACUAAGAAAAUGAUUUAAAAAAUCCAAUAAUAUAUUAAAAAGAAUAAAACUUCUUAAAAACUCAGCAACCUAUUUUGCAUAUACAUUUAGUCUAAAAUUGUAAUGAAAAAUGAUAGUUAUUAUGUGAUUAGUUGAAAUUGAUGAUAUUAAUUAUGUAUAACCAACUUUAUCAAUAAAUUUAAGGUUAGUAUGAUAUUUUUUCCUCUUGAGAGUGUUGUUAAGAACGUUUCAUCUUUUGGAUUUUUAAUUUUCAAUUAAUUUCUCCUUUUCCUCUCAUAUCAUAACAAGAAACAUAAGUUAAUAAACAUAAGUUAAUAAGUAGGAAAAUUAUAUCAAAUGACAAAAACAUUUAAAAAACAGCUCAUGACAUAUAUUUUUUGUAUAUUGUAAAUAUAAUAAAAUUAGUGAUAUUAUGCGACAAUUAAUAAUAAAUACUUUAAUGCCAGCAGUGAAUUCUGUUGCUAAGACCAACGUAUUCAAAUCGUUUUCAAACGUCAUUUGGCAAUUGAAAUUAAGAAUUCUUAACUAUGUUCUUGUUUAUUAAGUCUGAUACAAAUGGAUCAAUUUUUUUUUAUAGUUUUUUAUCUACUUUUUCCAACUUAAAUAUUACAAAGUGACUGCUAAUUUUUUUUUCAUCCAGUUUUGUAAUAUUUGUUUUUAAGCUAAACCACAUAUCCAAAAUUUUAUUGGACGGUCAAGAAGAAUAACAAAUUAUGAGUUUUACUUAGGGAAAAUAGUAAAAAUAAUUUUAAAUUGUUAUAAUAGCAAAACAUAAAAAUUAGAAAAAUAAAUAAAUGAAAAAAUCUCAUAAAUACUCUUAUCCAAUAUAAAAAGUACAAUUAUUUACCUAAACCCAAAAUACAUUGUAAUUGAAAUAACACAUGCCACAUAAAAAAUUUCUCACAAAAACAUAAAGAUUAGAAAAUUUGCCAUUGAUGGAAAGUUUCACCUCAUGUCUGCAAAAUUUAAAAUCUAUUUCAAUGUCUAAAAGAUGCAAUUCAUUUGAAAUUGUAAUUGCAAAAUUGAGACACAUUCAAUCAAAGGGUUUGACUCUAUACAUGUCGAACAGUCAUAGUCGAAAGCUUCAAGUUGAAAAUGGGAGCAUUGUUGAUAUUAUAAUAAAGAUGAAAUCAUAAAAUUAUACUAUAGAAUUGAAAACUUAUAUGCAAGAUACGCAUCGGUGAGUUCGUCCACUGAAAUCGGUGAGUUCUUCAUACAUUCGAGAUUCAUUUGAGUUAUUCUCUCUUGUUAGCAAUAAAAAAAUUCUCUUUCACACUGUGUUUAUUUCUUGUCGGCUGCCUCUCAUAAUCUCUUUAUUUUCUUUUCUCUAAUAAAAUCUAAAAGUGAAAGAUUCAAAUAAUUUAAAAAAUGUCAUUGAGGCAUAGUUAAAUCCUAAAAUUUAAAUUUAAAUUGUUAUUAAAAAUAUAUAUUAAAAUUUAAAUUCAAAUUGUUAUUAAAAAUAUAUAUUAAAAUGUAAAUUCAAUUUUUUUAUUAAAAAUAUAUAUUCAAAUUUAAAUUCAAUUUUUCAUUAAAAAUAUAUAUUCAAAAUUUUAUUGAAAACUUUAUAUUAUGUGUUAUUUAAUAAAUUGUUUAAAAUAUAACAAAUUUGAAAAUAGCUAUUAGCAUAAAUCUACCAACAAAAUAGCAAAUUUAGUUAACAUUUAUCAAAUUUGAAUGUUUUUUUUUUUUUUUUUGCACUUUUUCAAUAAAAGAGACACAAUAAAUUAUUUUUUUAGUAAAAAUCAAUCAAAAUAAGUGUUCAAUUUGAAAUAUAAAUUCAAAUAACUAUAUAUUAUCUAAUAAAAAUUUUUAAAAUAAUUUGAAAUAUAAAUGUUUUGAAAAUAGUGGAUUAGUGAUUGUCAUUAUUUUAGGGAUUAGAUUUCACAAUAUUUGAACUCAAAAUACUAUGAAAUCUAAGGAAAGAGGAACGGUUGAAAAUCUUUUAACAGUUUUUUAGGGAAAAUAUUUAUUAAACAUAAGUUUUAUGAAAUAAAUAAAUAAAUGUUAAUUAAUUUGAUUUAAAUAUUAAAAAUCCAAAAAUUUGUUAUGAAUUAUAGGCAUAUAUUUAGGAGAUAUUGAGAAAAUCUUGUCAAUCUCGAAAAUAUCUUAAAUUAGUUAAUAUUUUUCAAAAGUUUGCAGAUACACUUUAUAGUAUGAUAUUUGGUCUCAUUAUUUGUAUCAUGUAAAUACAAGUAAACCACGUAUUAUUCUACAUAAAGAGAUAUAACACACGUAUUAUACUUUUUGAUUACACAUGUAUAACAAUGAUGCUUGAAAAUAAAACUUCACAUACAAAAUAAAACGCUUCAUUAAAAUAAAUAUGAAUAUUGACGUAAUUAAAAAACACAACGUGAAAAAUAAUUAUCUCAUACAAGAGACACAAUAAAUUGUUUUUUUAAUAAAAAAUCAAUUGAAAUAAGUGUAUAAUCAGAAUUAGCACGAUUGUAGUGAUGAUAAAACUUUGUUUUUAAAUUAUUAUUAACCGUAUGUACUGUGUAUUAUCUGAUAAUUUUCUUUAAAUAAUUUGAAAUAUAAAUAAUACAAAAUGUUUAAUUUAUGUUUACCAUUAAUAUUUAAAAUCAAAAUAUUAUGAAAUAUAAUGAUUUGGAAAUAGUUGAAAUUCUGAUGACCAUUUUUUUCAUUAAUCAUAGGUACUAUGUAUUAUCAUAUGAAAAUAAUAAAGUAGUGAUUGUGAUUGUUUUAGAAAUUAGAUUUCAUAAUAUUUGAAUUUAAAAUAUUAUGAAAUCUAAUGAGUAACGGUUGAAAUUCUUUUAGCAAUUUUGUAUGAAAAAUCGAAUUAAAUAAGUAAAUGUUAAUUAAUUUGAUUUAAAUACUAAAAAUUAAAAAAUUUGUUAUGAAUUAUAGACAUAUAUUUAGGGGAUAUAGGAGAAAUCUUGUUAAUCCAAAUUAGUUAAUAUUUUUCAAAAUUAAUUGUAGUUUGUAAAUAGACUGUAUCUGUGUGUUAUUUGGCAAAUACAUCGUAUCUAAAAACACUUAUUCUACUUAAAAGUACAAACGGGUAAAAGAAGAUCGAAAAAAUUAUGUAACCACCCGUUUUGCCAAAAUUAAUUUGCUAUUUUUAAGUUUAGGUAUGAAAAAUAUUUUUCCAGUAGUCGCGUAACUUACAAACACGCUUAACUAUGAUCUUUCGAUGGAAUCCGGUGAAUGGUCACACCCAUGUGAUAAAUAUUUAUAAGUGACAAUAUUAAUUUGUUUCUAAAAUAAUAUAGCAAAAUUUUAAAUUCUGCCAAACGAUACACAAUAUGAAUUUUUUUUUUACCUAUAGUAUAAUUUGUAAAUGUUAUGGUUCAUUAUAUUAAACUUUAUUUAGAAAUGCUACUGUAGAUAAUAGGAUGUCAUACGUAAUUGCCCAAAUAGAUUGAAUGAAACCUAAGAGUAGAUGAAAACGCAUCCCACUUAAUUCUAAUAUAUAUUACUUUGUAAAACAUCAACAAGAAGAAUAAUCAAGUAAGUAUACACUACAUAGUCAUGUAUAUAUACAAUUCCUACCAAACAAUUAAUUAGAGGGUUGUUAGGAUCGUUCUUUAUGUUUUUUUAAUAGAACAAGUAGUUGGUCCGAAUAAAAAUAUUGCUAAAAAGGAAAAAGGCAUUAACACUUACACCCAUAUUAGUCUAUAUAAGAACACAGAAUGGCACCAAAUUUUGCAGUGAAGAUCAAUCUAAUAAGUUGAAAGCAAAGACCAAUAUAGAAAAAAAAAAAAAAAAAAUGUCUCUAAAAUGGGUUAUGGUAUUUGCAAUUGCAAUGGUGCUUCUCACUGCUGAGACUGCAACAGAGGCUCACCGGCCAACGCUAACUCCAAAUGAUCCGGAAAUGAAGUCGAUGGUGGGUCAUGCUGGUGACAAGACCAUUCCUGCCCAUGGAGGAAAAGGGUGCAAGAAAGGCCCGCAUUCCAAUUGCAAGGAACACCAUGGCUGAGUCAGAAGGGUCUUUCUCUGACGAGAUAAGGCCGUGCUGUUGGGGAGAACUAAAUAAAACUACUGCGUUCAAAAAGCCUAUAUUGGCUGCCCUCAAAGAUUAUCCAUGGUUUCAAAAUAUUGUAAUCUAAUGUUUGUGUGUUGAUGUUGGUGUCUUUGUAAUAUGGUUGUUUGUUGUGAGAUCUAAUAUCUAUAUAAAUGCUUUUCUUUUGUAUUCCGCAAUUCUAGCAAGAUCUUUAGCUUAACUCCUGAGCUUUUUCUCUCUCUCUCUCUCCAGAAUUUGCCAAUGGUAACAUUAGACUAUGAAAAAAGUACACCAAUGGUUAUAAAAACGCUUCAAGAAAGAAGUGUACAAAAUGAAUGAUUAUCUAACCAUGAGCCAAGCAAGUCCAUGGUUGACCAAAUCCUACCAGGACCAAUAUGAGGUGGGCCAACCAUUUGAGAAUGCUUUGGAUGAGACUGACAUAUACACUUGGUUGGUCCACUCCAUUAGGAGAAUAAGUUUAACUUAAGCAUUAAAUUGUGGGUAAAAUGCUCAAUACAUCAGUAUUGUACGGUUUCUUUUUUUCACGCAGACGUUGAUCACCUUCUGUAAACCAUAUCCUUCAGGUCAUGUGAAGUAGACUAAUUUUACAAAACCAACCAAAUAUUGAUCUAAAUAGUUUGUGGUAUAUAUUUUUCAUCUGAACUACUUACUGCAAAUUAAAUCCUAAUACAAAUUUUGGAAUAAAGUAUAAACUACCACGACCCUAUAGAUUCAUUAUAAUAUCGGCCUAUACUAUAGACUUCAACAAAGAUAUGUAAUAUAAACCAAAUUUUAUCAUUUUGUAUAGAUUAUUGUUUUCUAUCUUAAGAAUAAAAUAUUUUUCCUUUUAUUUAUUUUAUUAUUAUUAUGAUGGACUACUUUCACGUUAGAAAAAUUGCAUCAAAUGACAAAAAAAUUAGAAAAAAACAGCUCAUGACACAUAUUUUUUGCAUUAUGACAAAAUUAGUGAUAUUAGGCGGCUAUCAAACAGUAAUCAUAAGACUAUCAGACGUUAUUACAGGGUUAUGAUCAGCUGUUAAAUUUAUUAUUUUUGCAAUUUAGAAAAUGUAGUGACAUGAACUCUAUUAUCAUAAAUGUUUUGCUACUUUUGUAAGAGCCCCUCCAAAUAAUGUAAAAUGGUCCAAAAUAAUUACAAAAUAAUAUAAAAUUUUAGUAUUAUGAUAGAGACCGAUAUACUCAUGUUUGUAAGAUUAGAAAAAUAGGAGUGAAGACUAAAAUAUGGUUGAUAACACAAUUUUGAUGAAUUCAAAAUAUUAGAAAACUCAAACCCAUAUAUAUCAUCUAAUUUGGAUAAUCUCAAGCAAUAUGAAUAGAAGAAAAGCUACUUUGUGUUUUAUAUCAUAAAUUACAAUUGUGUCAUCAUGUUAUUAGCACUCUUAUUUAUUUAUUUGUUUCUUCUCUCUUUAUAGUCUUUAUUGGGUUUUGUUGCUAAAAAAUCACUAUCUUCAUCACAUAUAUGCAAACCUGUUUCGCCCUCAUUUAUCAAUAGAAAGUGAGCAUGCAUUGAAUACUUGACACUUAUGAGUGCCACUAAUGCCUCUCACAAUAUACUAAAUUCAUUUUCUUUCUUAGUACACAAUUAAAGCAUAGACUUUUACAAACUUAUAUUUAUUAUCUGCUGAGUUAUAAAUUUUGGGAAGCCUUUAAAUUGUGAAGCUUCUCCCAAGCAACGAAUGUGUGUGCAUUGAACUUUCUAUUCGAAAAAACAAAAAAAUAAAUUACUCUACUGGAUAAAAGAAGAAGAGUUUGUUGGAUAUUUGUCCAAACAAAAAUAAUAAGAUUUUUUUAUUAAGUUAUUUUUUAAAUAAAUGAUUCUAUUUAAAGAUAAGAAUAUUAUUUAGAGAUAAAAGAUUUUCUUUCGUAAUAAUAAUAAUCUUUGCAUUAAGAAGUUACAGACAUGUAUUAUUGUGAUUUUUAAAUAGCUAAGUUAUUGGCUUAGUUCAGCGUGCGCGUUGAUGGAAAAUGGACUUCGAAAAAGUUCUCUCUUUAAGAAUUAUUAUUUGUGAAGGUAGUCAAAUUACCAUUUUUAUGAAGAUGAAUUACUGGAAUUCUGCAAGUAGUUUUUACACUGCAACUAUUGAUAAGAAAUAUGAAAGAAGACUGAAAUAGUUGAACUGUAGUCCAUGAGUUUAGAGAAAGCCUGAGUUUAUCUUCAAGAAGAUUCAAACAUAAAUUCAGGAGAAGUCCGUACUUGAUUAAGUUUUUUGCUCAUUUGAAUCUUAAUAAUAUUUUUAUAUGAGGUAAGAAGCUCCCUAGACGUAGAUGGUAUUCAUCGAACUAGGUUAACAAAGUCUUCUGUGUUAUUAUUAUUAUUAUUUUGUUUCUUUAGCUAUUUUUUCAAUUAAUUAUUUUUGAUAUUGCUAGAUGAUAUUUUGAUGGCAUCACAUUUAUUUUAAGUUAGUUUCCAAAAUAUGAUUGAAACGUAGAGAGUGGACAAAAUUUAGAAAGUUACAAUAAAUAAAAAGAAAUUAUUGUAAAUGGUAAAAAUACUAAAAAUAUUUACAAAAUAUAAAAAGUUUCAAAUUAUAGAAAAUAUAAAAAUUUCAUUCCAUCCGGGAUAGAAUUUUAAAUUUUGUUUUAAUUAAUUUGUAAAUGUUUUCAUUCAUUAGAGUAUAUUUAGAAAGGCUCCUGUAGAUAAUAAAAUGUCGUGAAAUCAAGUAGUACAUCAACCAAAAUGAAAAUGCAUUGCACUUAUAUAUUAAAUUGUUAAAAAUUACUUUCUAAAACAUGAACAAGAAGAAUAAUUAAGUAUACACUACAUAGUCAUGUAUAUAUACAAUUCCUGCCAAACAAUUAAUUAGAGGGUUGUUAGGAUAGUUCUUUUUGUUUUUUUAAUAGAACAAGUAGUUGGUCCAAAUAAAAAUAUUGGUAAAAAAGAAAAAGGCAUUAGCAGUUACACCCAUAUUAGUGUAUAUCAGAACACAAAAUUGCACCAAAUUUUGCAGUGAGGAUCAAUCUAAUAAGUUGAAAGCAUAGACUAAUAGAGCAAAAAAAAAAAGUCUCUAAAAUGGGUUAUGGUAUUUGCAAUUGCAAUGGUGCUUCUCACUGCUGAGACUGCAACAGAGGCUCACCGGCCAACGCUGACUCAAAAUGAUCCGAAAAUGAAUUCGUUGGUGGGUGAAUCAUAAUCGUGACAAAAUUACCAAUCCUUCCCAUGGAGGAAAAGGGUGCAAGAAAGGCCCACAUUCCAACUGCAAGCAACACCAUGGCUGACUCAGAAGGGCCUUUUUCUGACGAGAUUAGGCCAUGCUGUUGGGGAGAACUAAAUAAAACUACUGCAUGCAAAAGCCUAUAUUGGCUUCCCUCAAAUAUUAUCCAUGGUUUCUGAAUAUUGUAAUCUAAUGUUUGUGUGUUGAAGUUGGCGUCUUUAUAAUAUGGUUGUUUGUUGUGAGAUCUAAUAUCUAUAUAUGCUUUUCUUUUGUUUUUGGCAAUUCUAGCAAGAUCUUUAGCUUACCUCCUGACCUUCUUUUUUUUCUCUCUCCAAAAUUUGCUAAUGGUAACUUCAGACCAUGAAAGUACACACUAACUGUUCUGUAGAACACUGUUCUGACAACUUGUUAGUACUCAAGUAUUUCUACAUUUCCAGUUACUUACAACUAAUUAUUAAAUGUCUAACCAAAAAGCUUCUUGCUUUAAUUUGGAUAAUCUCAAGCUAUAUGAAUAGAGGAAAAGCUACUUUAGUGUUUUAUAUCAUAAUUAUUAUUACAAUUGUGUCAUCAUGUAAUUAGCACUCUUAUUUUUUUAUUUCUUCUCUUUAUAGCCUUUAUUGGGUUUUGUUGCUAAAGAUAUCACCAUCUUCAUCACAUAUAUGCAAACCUGUUUCUCCCUCAUUUAUCAAUAAAAAAAAGUAAGCAUACAUUGAACAAUUUUCACUUAUGAGUGCCAAUGAUGCCUUUCACAAUAUAUUAAAUUUAUUUUCUUUCUUAGUGCACAAUCAAAGUAUAGAGUUUUACAACCACAAUCAAACUAUAGAAUUUUACACACUUAUAUGUAUAUAUUACCAGUUGAGUUGUAUUUUCUUUAGAAUUAAUAUAAAAAAAAUUAUCUCAAAUAUUGAAAGGGUGUUUGGACCCCAGAUUUGAAAGAAGUGGAGUCGACUAAAUCCUUGUCUGGAAAAACUUAGUAUUAGGGUUUCAAUCAUUCCCGCAUACAUUUUCCAACUCCGUCCCCUAAUACUUCUCACUCCCUCUCACUCCUUUGUGAUUUUCAGUGUAAUCCUUCCUCUUCACUCCGCGUAAUCCAUCUCACUUCUUCCUCCCUUAUCGUGUUCCUUCUCUUUUUCCAUCUUUCUGUUAUCAUCCCUCUUCGAAUCUCAUAUCCGUGUUUACUUUUCGUUUUCCUCUUGAAACCAUUUUUCUUCUCCCUUUUUGGUUUUGUAAAUAAGGUCUAUUUUUGUAGCCAUUAAUGGUUGGGUUUCCACCCCUUGCCUUUAGAAGUCUUCCUCUUGCAUGUCCGAAGAGACUACUCAGUGAACAUGCAAGGAUCUCUUCCUUAUCCCUCCGAGUUUUCCAUGUCGCUCUGACGACUUGUGUACCGAAACGGCUGUGAACAGAGAGAUGCUACUUAUAUUGUGGGAUCCAAAGAAUGGUAGGGACAUCAGCAUUGGAGCACGAUAGGGGUGUUGUCAGUUCUUAUCGGGUUUAUAUCUCAAACAUGCCUUUAUAGUCAAUGAUAAGUGUAAUCUAGAGUUCAGAGAAGUAUAUUUCUUAUUCAUAUUGAGUCAAAGGAACGUUACAUAUAUUUAUAUAGAGAAUAAAAUAAACCCUAGACACUAUGUACAAUUACAAUAAAGGACGUAUGAUAUAUAUAUAUAUAUAUAUAUCAUAACAAUAAGGUCCUCUUCUGAAUUAUCUUAUUCAUUUUUUUGUGUUUCUUUUUCAUGUAGUAUGUUCAAAAUGUUGCUUAUGUGAUUCGUUCUGAAAAUAUGUUUAAAAUGUUGCUUAUGUCACCUUGAGGAGCACCAAUACUGUUUGUGAAGAAGAAAGAUGGGUCGAUGCAUCUUUGCAUUAACUAUAGAGAGCUUAAUAAGGUAACAGCCAAGAACAUAUAUUUGUUUCCCAGAAUUGAUGAUUUACGUUCAGGGUAUCACCAAUUGAGGAUUAGAGACAAUGAUCUUCCUAAGAUCGCUUUUCAUUCUAUAUAUAACCGUUAUGAGUUAAUUGUGAUGUCUAUUAGUUUGACGAAUACUCCUGUUGUAUUCAUGGAUUUGAUGUACAGAGUGUUUAAGGAUUUUUUAGACACUUUUGUGAUAACUUUUAUUGAUGGUAUCUUGGUUUACUCCAAGAUAGAGGUUGGGCAUGAGAAGCAUUUGUAUUGGGUUUUGGAGACUUUUCGAGCCAAUAAGCUAUAUGCUAAGUUUACAAAGUGUGAGUUCUACCUGAAGCAGGUGUCUUUUCUUGGCCAUGUAAUAUCCAAUGAGGAAGUUUCUUUGGACUCAGGAAAGAUUGAAGUUGUUACCAAUUAGCCUCGUCCUUUUGUAGUCAGUGAAGUUUGAAAUUUUUUGGGUUUAGCAGGUUACUACAGAAGAUUCGUGGAAGGUUUCUCUUGUAUAGCCAGUCUCUCAACUUAGUUGACCAAGAAAGGGACUCCUUUUGUUUGAAGCUCAACAUGUGAGAGCAGUUUCCAAGAUCAUAAGUAGAAACUUGUUACUGCAUCAGUCCUUAUAAUGCCAGAUGGAUCUGGAAGUUAUAUGAUUUAUAGCGAUGCUCCUCGAAGAAGGGAUUGAGUUGUGUUUUGAUGCAGCAAGGUAAAGUGGUUGCUUAUGCCUCCCGACAGUUGAAGAUGUUUGGAUUUAUGUCAUAAAAAUCGUAGAUUGUAAAUAUAAUUCAUUGACCGUUAUUAAUAAAGUGUUAUUAUUGUAAUGAAUGUUAUUGAUUAUAUUAUUAGUUUUGUCUUAAUAACUCAAAUCCAAUAACCUAACAUCCUAAGUUGUUUGAUGAGUCUUGAAAAGUAUGUAGAGACAUACAGGAAUCAAUGUUCGAGAUCAGCUUAAAGGGUCUAUAGUAUAGGGAUAAGACUGAGUACCUUAUCUUGGUAACGCUAUGGAUACGACUCACUUUGUAUUUGAUACAAAUGCAAUGAUCCAACAUGGAGAAGAUGAAGAUGUAGAUGUGUUGCAGUCCAGAGGAUCAUUAUCAUCAUCUUCAAUGUGUUGUUGCCAAGAGAAUCAUCAUCUUCAUCUUCGAUGUGUUGCAUCCGAGAGGAUUAUAAUCUUCAUCUUCGAUGUGUUGCAACCAAGAAAAUCAUCAUCUUCAUCUUCGAUGUGUUGCAACCGAGAAAAUCAUCAUCUUCGUCUUCAUCUUCAAUGUGUUACAACCAAGAGGAUCAUCAUCUUCAUUUUUAAUGUGUUGCACCCAUGAGAAUCAUCAUCUUCAUCUUUAAUGUGUUGCAGCACAAGAACCAUCAUCUUCAUCUUCAACUUGUUGCAGCCAAGAAGCCGAACAAACAAAAAAGUAGGACAUGGAGGAAACCAAACCAAGAUACAUGCUUGCAUGGGGCCUUCAAGGAAUAGCGGGAAAAAAAGUCAAAGUCAAGUUAUGUGUAAGAAAAUUUAUUAUAAGAUAAAGAAAAGAAAAGAAAAGAAAUUUUUUAAAAAAAUUUAGGUUAAAAGAAAAGGUAGUACAAAAUGGUUAAAAAAAUAAAUGAAAAAAAUUAAAGAAACAAGAAAAGAAAAAAAGGCAGACAAAAAGUAAUUAAAAUGAAAAGAAAAAGAAAGAAAGAGAAAAACAAAACAAAAAAAACAAAAACAAAAAACGAAAAUAAAAGAAAAUAAAAGAAAAAUAGAAAAGAAAAAGGGACACUUGCAAAAAUAACAAAAAAAUAAUAUUAAUAAUAGGGUCCAUGUCACUACGUUUUCUAUAUUGCAAAAUUAGCAAAUUUAAAAGUUGAUAACCCUCUGAUAGCCCUCUCAUAAUCCUUAGAUAGCAUUCUAAUAGUUGUUUCAUAGCCGUUUAAUAGCACUAAUUAUUUGUCAUAUUUGUCAUAUUCGUAAGAUGGAAAAAGAGGUGUUAUAGCUUAUUUUUUCUAAAUGUUUUUGUCAUAUGUUGCAAUUUUUUAAGGAAGAACGAGAAAAAUGAAGGAAAAGGAAAAAAGAAAAAAACUCUUUCAUAAUUUUUUUUUAAAAUAAAUUCUAUCUUUAUCUUUUCUUUUCUCCAGCUCGACCCUCUUUCACUUUUUUUUCCUCCCCCUCUCCAUCAGCCCCCUCUAUCUCUCCCGCGACCAAAAAGAAAAACAUAAAAAUGAACCCCAUUUUCACACUAUGUUCUCCCAAAUAGGUAAGGAAGCAAACGAUGAAGCAAAAAUAAAAAGAAAAAAAGUUAGAGGAGCCAAAUACAUAAGUAUCAACAAACGUGUUUGAUUGUCGAGAUUACCUAAUCUUUUACUUUAGUUUUUAAAAAAAUAACAAAUUAAAUAAAUAAAUAAAUAAAAUUGCUUUAAUUUUUUUUUCUAAUUAAAUCCAUGAUCGAAGAAAAAAUAUUGGAGAAUUAAAAAAAAAUUCACAAUUCAUUUUGUUUUUCUAUUGUUGCAAAAAAAAAAAAAAAAAAAACUUUAUCCAAUUCAUAAAUUCAUUUCAAAUUUAAAUUGAGUAAAAAGAGAAGGGGCGAACUUUUUAAAUUCUAAGUUUGAGGCUAAUUCAGGUUUAAGCUGCACAAAUUUUACUAAAAAUUCAAAUUAGAAAAUUAUGAAAAGAAAGAAAAAACUUUAACUUAAAUUCAUGAAUGAGCAAUAUUCCAAUUUCAUCAAUUUUAUAAGUCUCAAUCUCCCAACUAAAUUUAUCGUGAAUUAAAUUCAAAAUUUACUAAACUUUAUAUCAUUUAGUCACAGCUAUGUCCAAGUGCGUAGUCUGAUUAAUUUUGCAUAUUAACUUGAGUCAAAGUCAAUAACAAAUCAUUUCUAGUUUUUGUUUCACCUUAUCGUUUUUUAGAUUCACCCAUCCAUGAAAUUUCGACCAAUUAAAUUCUGCGGCGUUAUCACAACAAGCAUUACGAUAGUUAUAAUUUGAUUGAGUUUGGGUAAUUAACUUUUCUCAUACACAAUCCAAUUCAAAACCUAAAUAUAAAAAUUGAGUCAACCAAGCAAAUGAGCCCAAGCCCAAGCCCAAUGACAAAGCGCCAUCUAAAACCCACGAAAAUUCUCUAUAAAUAGAGACCAUUCCACAUUUUUAGGAUCUUUGGGAGUAGGAGGAAUUGAAGCUUUGAAUAUUGUACCUCUAAAGAAUUGAAAAAGUUAUUAAGACGUAUAAGUUAUUAUCAAUCUCGAGAUUAUCAUCUUCUAAAAGAUUGAAAAAUUGGAAGGUUAAAACUUUUCUGGAAUUCUAGUAGAUCGAAGCUCAAAUAGACUUGCAACUAUAACUUCGUAUUAACUUUUCUGGAGAAGUUCUAAGUUUUAACUUUUAUUCUAAAGAAAGCAUCAAAUGAAUAAAUACUAGAGAUUGUAUUCAUUAUAUAAAUCAAUAUACAAAGUUCAAUUCUACGAAAUACAGUCAUGUAAAAAAAUGUGGCGUGAACAUAUCCUAUAAAAAUCUCUAAUUUAUAAUUUCAUAACAACAUGAUUUGUUUGCUGAUGGAUGAGACCAACUUCACUUUUUGUUACCUAAAUAUUUUCACUCGUAUUUGUUAGCUUGACUUUCAAAUCCAAAACCACUAAAUGGCCCUCCAAAAUUAAAUUGCCAACAAAAACUAAAGGGGAAAAGGUUUGUAGUUCAAUUAAUGAUGGGAGAAAGUUUGUCCGAAAUCAACGUUGGGUCUUAAUUUCAUUUUGGUUUAACUUUCGCAUCAUUUAUCAAAUUUUACAUGUAAUAACUUACUUUUAUUUUUAUGAAAUAUUUUAAUUAUUUAUUCAUAGUUUGAAUGAAGAUAAUGUGUUUGGAAACCGAAGCUAAAUAAAAAGUAUUGUCUUAUUAUUAGGGCGUGAAUUAUGGUUGGAAACAUUGAUAGUUCAAUUAUUCUAAUACAUUUCUUCUAACUAAUAUGCCGUGAAUUAUGGUUUCUAACUUUUGAUAAUCAAUUUUUUAAUAUAUUCUUUUAAUAAAGGUAGUUAAUUGAGGGAAAACUACUUUUUGGAGGGAUAAUUUAAUUGGUUUUCCAGGUUUCAAAUUAGCUAAUUCAGUUCUACAUUUUUUUAAAUAGAUUUUGUCAUUUUACUCUUUUUUAAAUAAUAAUAAAAAUUAAUAUUUAUUAAUCAUGGUAACCAAUUCUAUGUUUUUUUUACGAGAGAUCUUAGGUUCAUAACCCCCACCCCAAGUUAUACUUAAAAAAAACUAUUUUCAUGUUUUUGUUUGACAAAUAGAUUUCAUUCAAUUUGUUCUUUUUUAAUUUAAAGGUGUUUUUAACCGACAUACAGGAAGAUACUGUGAGAUUCAAUCCUUUCUGGACACUUGAAGUUGUAAUUACUAUUUCUCGGGUUUUCUGUCAUAUAAGUCAAUCUUUUUCAGCAAGCAAGCUAAUCGAUGUUCAGAAAGACUAAUCUUUCAUAUAAAAACUAGUUCUGUUUUGCUUCUUGGUGAGUUCUUGAUAUAUAUUGUAUAUGUGUAGAGUAUAAUGUUGUUCACCGAAUUAAUAACUAAAUAGAGAACCGAAGUGAAGAUAUCUCUAUUGUAAGCCUAGCAAGUAGCAUAGUACUGAAGUAUCCAUACUCAUGUGGGCAACCUGAACAAUGUGAUGUAAAUCAAGAUAAUAAGCAACUAAUUGAGACGAGAUUCUUUUAUAAAUCUGGAUUGUUCAGUAUAAGUUUGUUUAGUAUCUAAACGAUAUUAAUUCUGAUAAAAAUAUUUGUACUUAUAAACUUUUAGAUAGUUAAUAUAAGAUCUUUUCAAUCGGGUUCAUGACUUGCAGAUGUAGGUGUUGUGGCAUUGAAUUGGGUUACCAACACUUUUCUGCUAUGUUAUCUUUUUAGUCUUGCUCAUGCAGUUUUCUCGGUUAUUAAUUUGGAAUUUAUCUUGUCUCUUUGAUUGAUUGAGUGCUUUUUUUUCUCUCUAUUAUUUUUUUCUUUUUUUGGUUGUAACUUUUUUUUCUCUCUAUUAUUUUUUUCUUUUUUAAUUUACUAAAUUUAGGAGUGAUUUUUAAAAUCACUAAAAACUCUUACAUUAUUGUUUCAUCCACGUUAUUUAGGAUAUUGAUUUUUACUUAUUUCAAACUCACAAACGAGAGGGAAUGUGUUACAUGAUAUAUAAUUUUAAAAAAAAUUCAUCUCUUAAUUUAAGUUUUUUGGUUAAUCGAUGAUUUAAGAUAUCUCAAUAACUUUAUUUUAAAAGUAUUAAACUAAUUUUGAUGGAUUAAGUAAAAAUAUGAUUAAGAGUCAUUUGUGGAAUUUAUUUUAAUAAUUUUAUAAUAACUCUCAACCAAGGUUAGAGUUAUUUUUGUAAAACUAUAAUUACGGACGAUUGUUUUAAAAGUUAAUGUAAUUAAUUACAAACUCACUCUAAAUCAAUUUCUUCGUAAUGGGUGGAAAGAAGUUAGCAUUUAUUUUGGUAAGAGAAUGGUCCAUCUUGGCUGCUGUCUAGUAGUAUGUCCACUUGCAAAAGCAAAAUAUAAAAUAGUAAAAGAAGUUAUAAAGCAUUUUCAAACAUGGAAAAAGUUUUUUAUAUAUAUAUGGAAAUUUUCAAAUAUAAUAUAAUAAAUCAAAAUACUUAUAAAAUUUAAAAUAGACAAUAAUAAAUAUGGAUAGAUUUUCAUAUUCAUAGACAUUAAUAUAAAUCUAUCAAAAUGUUUAUCAAAUUUGUUCACAAUUUUUUUUCUAUAAUUUAGUUUUGAAAAUAGAAAUAAAGGAACAUUUUGAAACAUAACAAAAUGAACUAAAUAUUUAUAAAAUAUAACAAAAUUUAAUAUUAUCGUUGAUAGAAGUUUAUCGAUGAUUGUUUGGAUGCUGAAUUGAUAUAGCAUGUCUAAAGUCCAUAUGUUCGAGGAGUUUAUAUGUAUUGAGAGUUCUUUAUGUAUCUAUAAAUAUUUAUCACCGAUAGAAUUUAAAAUUAAUUUUAUAAUAAAUAUUUUCAACCGAUUUUCUAUUUACAAUGAUUAAAAAAAAUAAACUAAAAUAAAUAAUUAAAUAUAAAAUAUUAAUUUUGUUUGCCCACCAUCCACCUUUUAUUCAAGUCGGUAGGUCUUCAAUUCUUCCUUAGCUUGUCAUUUUGUGCAAAACUAUCACCCUUUAUUUCAAGUCAGUUGAUAACCUUAGUAGCAUUUCUACAGAUCAUGAUUAGUUGAAUAUUGAUAUUUUAAAUAAAUUAUAAAUAUAGAAAAAUAUAUCAAUGCUAAACUACUAAUAAUAUUGUCUAUCACGAAGAAUGCUAAACUACUAAUAAUAUUGUCUAUCACGAAGAGAUGUACUAAUUUAAUAGUAUUAAGAUGAAGUUACUAAAUUGUUGUUAAAUCAUAUGAUUUUUAUAUAUUAAAGUCGUACGUAUUGAUAUUUUGAAAGAAAAAUAAUUGAAACACUGAAUUCGUAUUGAAGUCGUUGAAGACACGUUAAAUAAAAUUACAACUAACCAUGAAUUAAUGGAUGAAAAUAAAAUGUUUUCUUAAAUUAAUAAUUGACUAAUAUUAUGAUUCAAAGACGAAAAUAGUUGUUCUCAAACAUAACCUUAAUAAGUAGUCAAUUGCAAAAAUAAUCCAACAGUUUGCUAUAAAAAGCCAUCUUAAGUAGUCAAUUGCAAAAAUAAUCCAACAGUUUGCUAUAAAAAGCCAUCAAAAGUUGGAGCAUUUCAACAAGCAAGUGAAACAAAUCCAGAAAAUAAAGAGUCACAAAAUGUCUCAUAAACAUUUGGUUAUUCUUCUUCUUGGAGUGAUUCUUCUUAGCACCCAAGUGAUUGCCCGGCCUUAUUACUUGUCGGAGAACCACCACAGACUGACUCCCUCCGCCACCGUCCCAUCGGCAGUCGGGGAAUCUUUGCAAAAACUCCCACCAUGGUUGAAGAAAAUUUUUCCCAAAAAGCCUCCCAAAAUCCCAAAAAUCAACUUGCCACCUCCACCGCCGCCGCGACGCAGACUGAAACCGCCUUCUUCCAACUGAUCAAUGCUAAAAAGUUGUAGUGAUUUGAAGGUGUUUAAUAAAUCAGCACCGCACCAUCACUGUGGUGUGUGCUCUCUCUCAACUCUCAAGCUUAAUUAGAUGAAUGAUUAUUGGAAGUUUAUUUUUAAGUAAUAUGUUUUUCUAAUAUUAGUACAAUCUAAUUAAGUACAUGUCUCAUGUACUGUGGGACCAUUUCUCUCUUUUUCAAAUAAUAAAUGGAAGGCAAGUGCUUGAGUAGUCAAUCUCAAAGAUGGUGUGUUGUCGUCCUUUGUUAUAUAAUAUAAAUUGAAAGAAUAUGAUUGUACUGUUUAUGAUUUGAUGAACUUAUUUAUAAAUAUAUCAAAAUUUAGACUUAUAUACACAACUUUCUCAUUUAAGUAAUAUCAGAAUAUAAUAUAUUAAGGGGAAAAAUGAAACUAAUAGCAUAGUUAUGAGUACUAACAUGUUGUUUGUCAUUGGAGAGAGUGUCAUCUUCGCAAAGUGACAAAUUAUUUCCAUGCAAUUUGAAUCAUUUGCCCAAGUGGACCACAGUAACAGUUUUGAUCCCGUGACAGACUCCAAUCAUAAUUCAUAACAAUAUGUUUUUUAAUUAGCAAUCAAAAAUCAUAUAAGGAAAAUUUGUCAACCAUAUUUGAAAAAUAGUCUUUCCACCCCAACCUAG
rnacentral:lncRNA from 1 species